AAAAACAUGCAGCUAACAGAACCACCACUCCACAUUCAAUCAAAUAUAUCUUAUUUGACAGUAUGCUUAAGAUAUUAGCUUGGGAAUAACAAGUUCCAUCUAUUACAAUGACGACCACAUCUUAGGAGUGAUUAGUGUUGCUUUAUUUAUUUAUAUUCUAAAACUUGACUCUAAAGAACAAAGUACGAAUGACACUUAGGGCUGCUUGUGCAGGUGGCUUUGGUGCCAAAUAUUGGACAUGAUCCUCUGCUGUAUGCUCUCAGAGCCGUGCAAGUACUGGCCCUUUAUGACAAGUUAGAUGUUCUUGACAUCAAUAAGGUGACAGAUUGUAUCCUUGGGAAUAGAGCGUCUUAGAUUCACAAGUUCCUUGAUGAACUUACCUUAGACUCUGUUUUGCAUGUAAAAGGUCAGAUUACGUUAUGUUAUGGAAUUUUAUAGCUGUAUAUUGCUAACCAGACAUUGAUUGGGGGGGUGGCUCUAUGGAGAUUGAAAUUGCUAUUGCUGGAUUAUCUCUGGUAUCGAAUGUUAUACAUUUUUGUACCUGAAUGAAGAUGAAUCUCUCUCUGGGGAUAUAUGGGGAGAAGUUGAUGCUCGGUGUCUUGUCCUCAUCUUUGAUCAAUUAUUAUUUUUGUGCUUCUUGAGGAUGUUUCUUAAAUAAUUGACAUCCCUUCACCACUUUUUCCCUUCGAAGAUUCUCUCAUUGUGCUAGAUGCUGUCUUGCGAUACUAAAACGGUUGGAUUCGAUAAAUGUGGAGAAUGCUGUCAGAUAUAUGGUGAGUUGCCAAACUUUGGAUGGCGGGUUUGGUUGCAUUCCCGGUGCAGGGUCUCACCUGAAAUGAUACCAUUGCAAACAGCCUUGGCUUCCAUCUUGAUUGUAUAAUCACCGUGUGAACCACUGACGUCUAAGAUAUCCUAAGACAACGCACUAAUGUCCUUGCUCUCUCAACUAAUCUACGUGGUAGUAUUUAAUAGUUGGAGAAAAUCAUUCGGUCUAAUAGCUAUAUCUACAAGGAACUAUUUGUCGCCAAAAUGCCAACUAAGAUUCCAGAAUCUCGCCGUACCAUCACAAAAGGUAAAGAAACUUCAGAGUCGCCUAAGAUAUUAUUAAGCUACGAUCUUCACAAGACAAUGAGCUCCUUAGGAUCGGUAAGACUAUAGUCUCAUAUAAAUUAAAUACGGUUUAAUCUUGGUGACAGUAUAUUUUGAGAAUGUAAACUCGACAUCAAGGCAUACUUAAUGAAUUUCAUAAAUCAUCUGUUUCAAAUAAUUUUUCUUUGCAAUUCCUAGGAUCCUACAAUGUGCAGUUCAGAGUCUACAUUCGGGGACACAGCAGGUCCACAAUUGACGGCAAGUAUCCCAAUCUGAAUAACCUCAGGACUUAGUAAAGUAGUAAUCAUGAGAUUAAGAGAACCGCUUAAAUCCUAGAAUGCUUUGCUAACUGAGCAAGGAAGCACACUUCAAACGCGUAAGACCCGCAAUGAGCGACAAUCGAAAAUUGCAUUCUCAUAAGCAGUCACGGAGGGCCUCAAAAGAAUUGCAGUUCUUUCCUCCCCUAGCUAAGCAAUAACGUAAGUUUCUCCAGUCCAAUGUCCUACCCUUGAAUAAUAUAGAGCAAAUCUAGCAACCCAACCCAAUCUAGCAAGUAUGUCAUAACCUCAUGCUGGAGCUCUUUCGUUGGUUUCUAAUUUCUGAUUGGUGCUUAGACACUCAUGUAUUUGCUUAAAUACAUGGUGGUCUUCAAAUUAUGUUCCAAUGUACACAUCCAAAGGAUAAAACCGAGCUGCCACAGUUUCAAGACAUUCCUUAGGACUCAUCUUAGACGUGAGAAAGUCGGAAGGAAGGAAUUGCUGAUUCAGGAGGAGAAUUGGGCAUAAAACAAUAAAGCACCAAGCAAGUAAAUUAAGAUGCAAAAGAGCCUGACCAAGCACCUUCCUAAGUGGCUCAUUUUUCUCACUUCUUUCAAUUCAAAUUAGAAGAUAUUUGCAAAACGGAGAACAUGAACGUGGGAGCAAUCAUGACGCGACGAGAUUUGGUGUUUCUACUUCAACAGAUAACAAAACCAUGUGUAUUUUGUCUAGCCAAUUGUCCAGUCGAUCACGUACUAAAUUUGACCUGUGGAAUCGCCAACCAUAUGCAGCAGACCUCAAAUUACCAAUAGAAACCACAACUGCCCAAAAUAUAAAGAAAAAAAAAAACCCUAGAUAUCGCAUUUUAAUUCUGCAUGAUGAAGCAAGAAGAGAAGAACUGGCUGCUUCAUUUUCAAUCAUCAAGAGCUCAUCACAGGUAAAAAAGAGACAGUGGAUACUUAUUAAAGCGACCAUUAACCAAACUUUAGAAUGUACUUACAGACAAACUCUUCACGAGAAGAUGCUUAAUAUCCUGUGCACAGGAUUACGCUCAAUCGAGCAGUUCACAAAAGCGUAGCAACAUAACUAGGCUAGGCAUACAGACCCUUAUACAACUAUUAGCAUAUGAAACUAGAGCUACAGCUCAUGCUUAACUAUGCAAAAACAAAUCACACGAUUACAUUCAACUAAACACCAACUUCCACACCAAAAAAAAACACCCCAAAAAAAAGAAAAAGAAAAAAAGAACACCAACUGCCGCACCUUUCUUACCUGUUCUUCAGCGAUUAGCUAGUGAUCCAGAGCUCGAGUUCAGGCCCAUGACUCCCGCCACUCAUGGAGUUAAUGAAUGCAACCGUUCGAGCCUCAUGUGGCACCAAAUUCCUCCAGCUGAGCGGCACAGAAGAAGAAAGUGUGCACGAGAGUGAACAGUGGCACUGAAGGAGGACUUGAAGCUCGUGGACAUCGAACUCGAAGCUCACGAAUGACGAGCUUGAAGCUCGCGGACGACAGAACCUGGGAAAGGAGAGACGACGGCGAACGACAGACUUAAGCUUGCGAGGAGCGAGCAAGUAUUGGAUUCGGAGUCGCAGAGAAGCGAGCGACAGCGAUUUGCAGAAAGGAAUAAGAACCCUAAUCCUAAUCCACUUCAGGCCCUUUUUCCCCUUUCUUUUUUCUUGUUCUUUUGCCGACUCUGUCUCUUUCUUCCUUUUCUUCUCUUUAUUUUUCUGGCCCUGCAGAAGGAAACAAUAAGGUGAGUUGAGAUCUAUUGGGACUACAUUUCUCUUGAGAAAGGCCCUUUUGUUAUAGAUGGUGAGGGAGGUAAGAUACCCAACGUCGCCACCGAAGUGGACAUACACAACAUAUGGAGAUUCCCAGUAAGAUGGGGAAUUUUAAUAAGAUUUUCCUUGGUUGCGCGUUUUAGAAUUAGUUCACUGUCUCUCUUCACUAGAAUAAAGCAGAAAUAGAAAGCGAGCAAAGCAGAAGAAACAACGAUGAUCUAUGAAUAGAAAGAACGCGCACCGUUUUCUGCAGAGAAUCCUCUGUUUCUGUUUCAGAGUCCGCUGUUUCAAUUUCAGAGCUCUACCCUAAUUCAGAGCUCCACGCUUGCUUCGCUCCAUUCAGAAUCUUCUCUCUGUAAGACUUCCAACGGUCACGCCUAAAACCCAAGGGAGAAAUACUACAGUCGGGGAACUCCCCGCUACCUAGUAUGGCUAUCGAGCAAUUAUCUGGUAUUUUUUAGCUCAGUGGAUCAAGAAUCCUUCCCACUGAUCCGCAGUAUAUAAUUUCCAAGUCACCCAAAAACUCUAAUUCAUUAAUGCCCUCGACAACCUUCAGGCUCGGGCACUGGUCAAUCUCUAACUGCGCUUCAAGUUCUUCAAGUUUGACAAACCACCUAAGCUUUUUAACGAAAAGCACUGUUUUACAUAAAAUUCUUCCAAUGAUUCAAACGCAGUAACAAAUUGAAUAUCCUGUACCUCGGCAAACCCUGACAGAAUAAAUUUUACAAGCAUCUUUUGGGAGCUUGGGAAAAGGAAGACUUCCCUCCCAUGAUCAGUCAACUCGGGAGCUUGUGGUUCACUGCACCCCGGCUCCCCCGGCAGACAAACCAACCUCUCAGAAGAUUUGCAAUCCUGAAUACGUGAUCUCUCCGACGAUUCUAAGACAUCUAGAAAUUGAACAUCAAGUUGCUGGUACACCUUGCUUUCUCUCGAUUUUCCCGAACUCGUUGAAAGGAGUAGAGUCUCCUUUUCCGAUGGAGGAAGCCCACCGAGGUGUACUUGUUUCCCUCGAGUUUCGUAGAGCUGUAAAUCUAUCAAGUUUGGAGGAAGUUAUUUGAAAGCUGGCAAGCCUAUGCCAUGUACAGUAAGUUCUUUCAGCAGAGAAAGCGAAUCCAACUGUGUAGUUGGUACGCAGACACUUGAAAAGCGAAGGUACAGCUUCCUCAGUUUGGACAGCAUCCCGAUCCACCGCAAGUCACAAGUUUGAAUAACAUUUGAUGCCUCUCUAUAUUCAGAGCCAUCGGAUAGGACCAACUCAACUAGAUUUGUAAGGUAUGAGAGAUUAGGAAUAGUCAGCAACAAAAGAGAAUCCAUCCGUAGAGUGGUCAAACUUAUGGGGAGCUUUGGCAACUCUUGACAAUAAUCCAAGUCCAGUGUUUGGAGUUGACGAAACUCGCUCAUUGUAUAGGGCGUUUUUGAAAUUGGUCUCCAACGUACAUCCAGCUUCGUUAACAACUUUAAUUUUGAAACAGAGCCAAGAAGUUUAAUCAAGCGAUCCCAACCAUCAAAACAGAUGUGCCGCAAAUUCUGUAAUUCUCCAAUUUGUUCAGGCAAUUUUUUAAGUUGCGAACAAUCCUUAAAACUCGAGUCCCUCAGCCAGCGAUCACUUUCCAUCAAAGCAGCAAAUAUAGAAAAUUUCAACUUCUCUAAAUUUGAGCACUCAGAAAAGGUUGGUGUCCCACUCAUCGAAGUACUAUUCUCAAUAGUGAGAACCUUCAAUUUCCUUGCCCCCUACAAAAGCCAAUGAAAGAGCAGGACAAACAAGAAAUAAAUAUGCAUUCAGGGUACCAAUGAGAAAAUUAAAUAAAAAAUCCAUAAAAUUCUGUCCUUCAUUGAAUGAGAAAAUUAGACUAAGAGGGGAAACUAGCAUACCUUGAUUAGGCUAUCUAACAAAUCUUUUGUGAUUUCUAUCCCAUAAAGAUUGGCCACAACCACGUUUUCUAGACGCAACAAAUUGGUUGCCUCCAAAUAAUGUUGAUUACCACGAGGGCAACACAAACGGAUCCAUUUCAACUCAGAAAGACAGCCCGUAAAGUCACCUCGGUAGAUUACACCAUCAAAACAAAGAAACCGCAGACGUGGAAACCGUUUGAUUUGCUCCAAAGUGACAGUCAUACGAUAAUGAGAAUGAUUCCAUGGCAAAUCGAGUGCUUGGACGCUUUCUUUGAUCUGCCAAUUCGUAGAAGAGGAGAAAAUGAAACAAAAGAGUAGCUCUCAAGAUAAAAAGUGAAUCUUGAAUUAAGAAGAGGGUAUAAGUAAUGUUCUAUUCAAUUUAGGCCAUACUUUACCUUCGUUGAUCUUAAUUCGCGAACGAUGUCGUCUUCAUCCCACAAUCCGAUAUGCUCUUCUCUGGCAAUUUUCCUUCCAAGGUCUCUAAAUUGAUCGUGCAUCCAAAGGCUAUUAUUGUCUAACUCCUUUAUCAUGCAUCUGUUAAUGAGGACAUCCAUGGCAUCCUCUGGGUACAAAUUACAAUCUUUCCACACGUACAUUGGAUUAGUCUUAUUCCCACCAGCGAAAUAGCAUGCAAUAUCAAGGAAUAUCUGCUUUUCAUUCUGAUCUAAGGCAUCAUAGCUAAUCUUUAGCUUUGCCAAGACAUCCUUAUGAGGUGUUUUCUUUAGCCUCUCUAGCCACUCUUCCCAUAUCUCUCUCUUUUUCCCAAAAAGUGAUGAACCAAUUGCUUGAAGAGCUAAAGGUAGUCCACAUGUAGUAUCAACAAUGCCCUUUGAAAAAGCGCAAUAAUCAGCCGGAGGAGAGUCUUCAUUGAAGGCAUGCCUACUAAAAAGUUUAAGUGCAUCUUUACUGAUCAACCCCAUCAUUUCAUAAUCCUUAAAUUCAUACUUAAGUUUCCUGUUAGUCAAAACGUUCUUGUCCCUAGUGGUAACAAGUAUUCUACUACCUCGAUGCAAAGAUUUCUCUCCAAUUAGUUGUAGGAUCUGGUUGGCCUCAUCAACAUCAUCCAAUACAAUUAGCACCUUCUUGUUGGAAAUUGUUGCUUCAAUCAUAUCAAUCCCUUCAUCAAUCUUAUUAAUUUUGUGAGCCACUCUAGAAUAAGAGAUAUCAGACAAUAAUUUUUUUUGUAGCUCGACUAUGUUCUUGUUUUUUGCUGUUUCCCUCACGUCAUCAAGAAAGUUGCAAUUUCUGCCAAAUCGAGGACAUAGUUCGUUGAAGAUAGUCUUGGUGAGUGUUGUUUUGCCGAUGCCGCCCAUCCCGUAGAUUCCAAUGAACUGCACAUCAUCAGAAUCAAUGUCUAAUAAUUUCUUUAUGUUUGCUAUUUGAUCUUCCAUUCCAACGAAAUCUCCGGUUACACGUCUCCGUUUUGUCUCGAGCUUGGCCACAACCUCGUCAACAAUAGCCUGGAUGAGUUUUAAAGGGCUGCCACAAAGUUGAACAGUUUCAAUUGAGCAAACGUGACAAAUUUGCAUAUUGACCAUCUACUAACCAACCGGGUGGGGACGCGAUCAAGUUCAAAAAUAUAGAAGAGAAAUGUUGAUCUUUAUAUCAGGUAGAAGAAUCAGAAUUUCUGGCAAAAAAGGGUAGAAGAAUCAAAAUAUAAACAUCUAAUGAAUUAAUGUACUGGAAUAUUUACUUAAAUAAAAAAAUGGCAGCCCGAUUAUACAAAAUAAUUUUCACAAUCAUGGUUAGAUUGUUACCUUGAAUGUUUCUCCACCUCCCAUCCCUUGAUGCCACCAACUUCUACGAGAGACUCCCGCCACGUCUUUAUAUUCUCGGAGCUGAACUUAUGCUCCCGAUCCUCCAUCUCUUGCUCCAAAUUCGAUAUGACAUCCUUGUAUAACGGUGUUUGCAGCUUCACAUUUUUGGGCUUCACGUCAUAGAAGAUGGGCAAUAUGACCUUCUCUUUCCCAUCUUCUUUAUGUUUAGAGGUGUUCUCCACCAUUUUCGCAAGCUCAUCAAGGCACCAGUGACUUGAUGCAUAAUCUUUGGAGAAGAUGGGUAUGUAAAGCUUGCAAUUGUCAAUCACAUGCAGAAGGUUGCUAAUUUUUUCACCCGGUUGAAGCCCUACAUCAUCGAUGAAAACACGAAUCCCGGCAUCUACCAAGGCUUCGUGGAGGAUAUUGGUGAAUAAAACACGAGUAUCAGGCCCUCUAAAACUCAGGAAAACCUGGUAUUCACCUCCUAAUGCGUUGCUGGUGCUCGUUCCUGUCCCAGAUUUUGCCAUAGGCGCUCACUUCGCACUUAACAACGUCAGCCCUCUCACCUCGUCUCUGAGUUCUCAAUACGACAUUUCACAUAUUUGAAUCCGAUCCCAUUUGCCAUCCAAAACGCGGAUAGGCAACUUCGUAGCAGGUGCUGUUUCUAGUUUACAGCCAAUCAAGUUGAUGACUUCAAAAAAGAAAAAUAAGGCGAAGGACGAUAAUGGAGAUGCACCUUUUUACACGCCCAAUGUCCUUCGAGUUUCUCCUUUGUGCUUUUCACUUUGUCUUGAUCUCUCCGCCUUGAAAACUUACCUUCAAUUAUAAUCAAUUUCCUUUAACAACUCAAUUAUUGUCGUAAAAUGUGCGUUUAUAUUAAAAAGUAAAUGAUCAUUUAUGUCCUACUAACAACUAUUAGAAUGUAAGCAUGGUGUAGUUAGUGCAGUUUGGAUGUCAAAUCAAACCAAACUAUAUAAAUAUGCUAGAAUAUAUUUUGAGUUUGAGCACCUUGGAUGAAAUAGGAUCGGAUGAGAAUUAUAGGCGCUCGGCCACUGUUCAAAAUUGGUGAGAGGAAGCGCAGUGAUGACUUGUCAAUGGCCAUGAUGCCAGUCCUUGCUUUGAGCACGAAAGAAAGAAAGAGAAACCAUGAUGGUCCUGACCACGAGAGACGGCUUUUGCUCAGCUGAAGAAGAGAAAACGAGAUUAAUGAUGGCCAUUGCCGAUAAUGGGCCGAAAGGGAAGAAGACGAAGAAAGUUGCAAGGACGGUGUCUUUUCAUGUUGGCCACUCAUUGUUUCCUUACUUCUGCUUUAUUUGGUUCCCGCUGAAUUUCCUCUUUAAGUACCAAGAGGAAGAGCUCUUAAAGUCAUAGAGAGCUCUGAAGGCUGCACAGAGCAUAUCGAAAAGCGUGUCGAGAGUUCCUCUCGAUAACACCAAAUAUUUAUGUUCUAAACAGGAUUAAAUCUUUCGUUAAGAUUUGCCUCUUACUUUUAAGAGAUUGGGAAAUUUUUUCAAGAGAAAUUUUGAAGGCUAAACAUUUUAUGAAUUAUUGAGUAUAACUAGGAUUUGAAAAAUAUCAAGAUUUUUUAAAUGGCUCAAGUAUGAUUGUAAAUUUCAUCAUAUCUUUUGAAUUAUAAUUGAAUAUUGUAUUGCUCUCUCUCAUAAAUAUAAGUCAUAAAUCGAAUCACGUAAAUUUAAUAUCAGAUUCAUUUCUUUAGUUUGUGCAUUUUAUUCAUUUUUUUUCCAAAAAGGAAUAUGGUUUGAAGGAAAGUGAAACCCAACUAAAAGAUAUUCAAUAUGAUCAGCAUUAGGGGGUAUUGUUCUUUUAUUGCCAUUUUGUCCUUUGAAUCGCUCCAGGCCGUGUGUACCUUUCACUUUCCUUCCUUCAUUUUCCAUGAUCCUAUGGUCACAUAUAUUUUAUUUAUUUAGUUUUGGACGCAACAUAUCAAGAAAACCCUAAAUUUGCAACUACAAUCUUGAUAUAUUAAAUAAGUCUAUUUUGCAUUAUUUGACAUAGAUUUUCACGACGUUUGUUAGCGAUGCAUUUUUUUUAAUUAGCAUGUUUAAUAUAAAUCAUUUUCAUAUUUUAUCUCUUAAUAAUUUUUCAUGAGAAAUUGAAAAUCAUUAGGAAUAUUAUCCUUCGAAAUUUGAAGUAAUGAAGCUCGGAUAGAGCCUAGCCGCAAUUAUUUAUUUUUUGGCUUGUUUUAUUUAUAAAUGUCUUUCAUGGCGUUAUUGGUUGGUUUGACUUGUUGACUAAAUCAGUGCACUGUACGAAGUCUUCGAGAGGAUGACUUGUACACAUUUAUUUUCUCAUUCAUAACACUAGUAUCCAAAUCAUUGGACUCAAUUAACACCGAUUCAUAAACGCAAACCACUCCAUCCACAUACGUUAGAUUAGUUCCAUUCACAGGAUGGCUAGCAAGACACUAGCAAUGAGUAAGAGACACCAUGAUCAAAUUUGAACAAAUUUCUUUUUUCAAGAAUUGCAUUCAAAAUACACCUAAUGCACUCAUGACGGUUUAUAGGAACUCAACUCUGCACAACAAUCCUUUCUAUCACAUGGCAAUCGGAUAUCAUAACUAUGGUCAUCUUCGAUGCACUACUUUGUUCAACUUAGCAACACCUUAUGAAAACGCUACGGAAAUGUACAUCCUAUGCUUUCAAGCCAUUGCCUCAAACAAUUGAAAUACAUGAAAAACGUGCAUGAUUACUUUUUAGUAAAUUGGAAGAUCACCAUAUUACAAAAUCCCCAAAAGAUGCCAAAAUGCCAUUCAUCAAAAUCACGCUUUUACCUUUUUAUCAAUCACGCAUGUUGCGCGCAACUUUAAUAAACCCAAAAGGUUUUAGGCAUGUGAAAAUCGAUGUUAUCAAAUGAUUAGUUUUUGGACCUAUUGCUUUGAGAGCUAAAGGUAGGCCAUCUACUGUAGAGACAAUGCCUUAUGAAAGAAUGUAGUUAUUGAUCAAAGGAGUUGUCAUCGAAGGUGUUAGAGAUAGUUAGAUAUCUUCUAGAGAUAUUUAGGAAUUUUUCUUUGAUUUUCUAUAUCUAUUUUGAUUAUGUAUUUGUGAUUUAAUUUCAUUGGAUAGUCAUCUAUUGAAGCCUACAAAUAGGCUCUCCAUGUAUUAUUUUCUAUAUAUCCUAACAUACACAAAUUCUCAUUUUCUCUCUUCUGAUUUUUAACAUUUAACUCGAUAUUAGAGCUGACACACCGAUGCUCCCUAAGCACUCUAAUGCACAUUGCACACCGCCACUCAACAAUCAACGGCAUCCCCAUUGUGUGCACAAGUCUAAUCUAAGGAAGCACUAAAUUGAAUCCAUUCCAUGAUGACCAUGUUUCGACGUCAACCGUUCCAGCCGCGUUGCCCAAUGGAUCCUUUAUCACAAAAGUGGCUUUUUAGGCUGAUCUUGCACUCAGAAAAAGGAUAGUUUUGAGUCGGUGGUUAUGGAGCACCUGAGAUUUUUUUUUUUUUUUUUUUUGGCUACAAGGAGCACCUGAGAUUGAGUGGAGCAUAUUGGGGAUCGACCGCUCUAGAUCUUCUUGAAAACCUGACACCAUGGAUUCAAAUGAAGUUGUUUUGCGGAUCCUGCAAUGCUAGCAUGAGUCUGGUCGGUAGUUAUUUGUCUCUUGGCUUCUUUCUUAAAUACCCACGAGAAACAUGCGGUAUUUGAAAGAAUGACCAACAUUUUAGCUCGGGAUUAACAGAUUACCUUUAUUACAAUGAUGACCACAUCUUAGGGGUGAUUAGUGUUGCUUUAUUCAUCUUUUAUUAUAGCUUCACUCUAAGGGACAAAGUGCAUGUCACCUACGGCUGCUUUUACAAGUGUCUUUGGUGGAAACACGGGACAUGUUCCGCAUCUGCUGUAUACGCUCGGUGCCGUGCAAGUUUUGGCCCCUUUUUGACAAGUUACAUGUUCUUGACAUCAACAAGGAGACAGAUUGUAUCCUUUGGAAUGAAGUAUCCUAAUUUGCCAAACUCUUACAUAGAUGCAAGUUCCUUGGUAUUAUUUUAUGUUUUUAUGUUUUCAACAUCAUGAGAGUAAUAAACUUACCUUAGGUUCUGUUUUCCAUGUAAGAGCUCAGAUUAUGUCAACUUUUUAAAUGUUGUAAAAUUUUGAUUAAGGUUGCUUUAUAGUGUGAGUAUUGUUAGCCAAACAUUGAUGAGGGGGCUCUCUCUAUGGAGAUCGAAGUUGCUAUUGUUGGAUAAUCUCUGGUAUUAAAUGCUCUCCAUUGUUGUGCCUGAACAAUUAUUCAGACAUCAAAGCACUGUAAAACGAAGAUGGAUCUUUCUCUGGGGAUAUAUGUGGCGAAGUUGAUGCUCGUUUCCCUCCGAAGAUUCAGUAAAUGUGGAGAAGGCUAUAAGUUAUAUAGUGAGUCGCAAAACUUUCGAUGGCGGGUUUGGUUGAACUCCUGGUACAGAGUCUCGUGAAGGGCAAAGUGUGUCAUAACCUUACGCCGCAGCUCUUUCGCUGGUUUCUAAUUUCUGAUUGGUGCUUAGUAAGUCAUGUAUUUGCUUAAAUACAUGGUGGUCUUCUAAUUAUGUUCCAAUGAACAUCCAAAGGAUAAACCGAGUUGCCACAAUUUUAAGACAUUCCUUAGGACUAAUCUUAGACUUGAGGAAAUAUAAUGAUUCCGGAGGAGAAUUAGGCAUAAAAGAAUGAAGCACCAAGCAAGUAAAUUAAGAUACACAAGAGCCUGACCAAGCACCUUGCUACAAAGUGGCUCAUUUUUCUCUCUUCUUUCAAUUCAAAUAAGAAGAUAUGGGAAAAUUGUCUAAAAAUUCAUAAACCUAUCAAUCAUGAAGCGAUAAGAUUUGGUGUUCUUGCUUCAAUAGAUAACAAAGCCGUGUGUAUUUUGUUUAGCCAAUUGUCCAGUCGGCCACGUAGUAAAUUUGACCUACGGAAUCCCCAGCCAUGUGCAACAGACCUCAUAUUACCAAUGGAAAAUAUAUAUAUAUAUACACCUGAAUAUUCCAUUUUAAUUAUGGAUGAAGAAUCAAGAAGAGAAGCAUUGUUUGAUUCAUUUUCAAUCAUUGAGAGCUCUUCACAGGUAAUAAAGAGACAAUGGAUACUCAUUAAUGCGACCAUUAUCCAAACCUUAAAAUAUACUUACAGACAAACUCUUCACGAGAAUAUGUUCAACAUCCUAUGUUGAAAGUUUCGCGAACUUUGCAAUAACAUUCAUGAGAAUGGUUCGAUUCUCAUAUGGUCGAUUGCAAACAUUUACAUCGCCGUUCUUCAUCAUAGCUAUUUCUAGAAUUUUAAGGCUUUCUAAUCUCAAGUCAGCCCACCAAAUAGACAUAAUUCUUUUAAUACGCUAACUAACAGAUGCACAACACUCCGGCACAUGAUUCCACUCAAUCAAGCAAUCCACAAAAGCAUAGCAACAUAACUAGACUAGGCAUACAAAUAGUCAAACAAAUGCAAGAAAGCAGACCCUUAUACAACUAUUACCAUAUUAAGCUAGAGCAUGAGCUCGAGCUCAUGCUUAACUACGCAAAGAUAAAUCACACCAUUACAUUCAACUAAACACCAACUGCCACACCAAAAAAAAACAGUAAAAAAAAAAAAAAAAAACUGUCACAUCACUCGUACCUGUUCUUCAGCGAUUAGCUAGUGAUCCGGAGCUUGACUCUACCUUUUUACUCCUUUUCUUUCACAUUCUUGUGUGCACGCAUUGGGCAAGUAUGCUUUUUGGGGGAAUCGGAUAUGCGGUUACGAUCCUGACCUCACUGGCUCACAGCACAUCCCUCUUUACACGUGGCGGGGGACCCACCUCGCCACUUGUGAUGGCGAGGGAGGUGCUCACCGUCGAGCGCGCAACUGGACAAGUUGGGCUUGCGGUCUAGCGAGGGUCGGUCGUCUCUUUGUGAGUUUUCCUCUUUCCCAAAGCGCGCGAGUCGCGCGUGUGGGCACCGACCGCCGAAAAGUUGGAAAAGUAUGUCUUCUUUUUUCAAUCUAUCGAAUUCCUUACAGAAAUGGUAAAUACAUGAUUUGUACAUAUCACGGUUCACUUAUAAUCAUGACGUACUACAAGAUGUGAGAACGAUAUCAAAUUUACUAGAACAUUGCAGUUCUGCAUUUAAAAAAUGAGGGAACGAGAAAAUUGGGAAGAAGGCGGUGCUUUAUUGUAAAGUUGUGUUCAAGUCCGACCAUGUCUUUAAUUAUUGCUUUGCCUAAACUUUGUAUUAUCAAUGUAAUCAAACCAAUGAUUGUGCCCUCCACGUAAUAAAAUGACACAAUAUACAUGAGAUAUAAUCUAUGUCUUAGGCAUUGAGAGAAAUGUUUCAUAGCGAUGCUAAAGUUUAGAUGACCAAUGUCAAAAACUUUCCCACUUUUCUUUUGCAAGUUGUCUUCUUGAUAUGGCGUAAUGCUACCAGAAACCCUUAAGCUUUAUAAUUAUGUGCAAUGCCGUCUUUGACUUUUUUUUUUUUUUGCAAUCAAAUUCUCGAACUAUGAUUUAUCCAUUCACUUUGGAUCUUACAUUAAAAGAUGAAAAAAAAAUGCUUAUGUGACCGUUAAAUGCCAAGUUGACUCAAUGUGGCUCCAGUGUCCCUAUUAGAAAGAUUAAAGAAACAAAAAAAAAGUAAAUUUUCUUCAUUGAAGAAAAUUUGGAGCGACAACACCAUCUUGAGCCCAAGCCCACAGGCAAUUUGUUGAUAGUGUUCGAGUUUGAUGAGGGGAGUAAGGACAAAGAUCGGAACACUUUUCAAUAGAAGCCCACCCAAUUGGCUUCGACUUUUGAAGCAGAGAGCGGUGGCUUCAGCCGCCCGUGGCUUUCUCAACGGUGUUGCGUUGAUUUCCAACAGCGUUGAGGAUAUUGGAGAUGACUAGAAAUUCUUCGUGUCUUUUUCUCUCAUAUUUUAAGUCAGUCAUUUUGGGCCUAACCCAGCCCAAAAUUAAAUUAAUGCCAAUCCAAGAGGACUUGUUUAGGCCCGAACCUUUCAACCGGGCCUGAAGUUGAUCGGGUGGGACAUAUUUUUCAAUAGAAAAGCCACCCAUUUGCAACUGUACUUCCAAUUACUAGACACCAAAGGAACUCGCGAACUCAUUGCUACACCAUUCUUUAUUUGCGAGAGACAAACAAGCAAUCCUAUUCUGUAACAUAGAAAUGGCAACAAUUUAUUGCUUAUGCCUCUUCAGGAUCAAUUUUUUCCCAAAAUCAACCAACUAAUAUUAAAUUAGCCCCAAUAGCAACUGGUCACGAUAUUCCAACAAUGUUAACCCUAAAGCAGUAAAUAUGGUGCUGAAUAUUAAAGCAAGGCAAAACCAACACCCACAUAUUUUACGUGAAAAACUCAAUACAUGAAAAAUCAUUGGGCCAGUCAAAAUCUUCCACUAAUCAUUAAUAAUAGCAAAAUACAUAAUAGUUUAUCUCUAAUAACACAGCUAGAGGCUCUUCACAUUAGCAAAACAUUAUUACAGCAAAGGUGAAUUAAUACAAAGAUGCAAGAAAGAUCUAACCGCUGCAGAGAAAAUUAAGAGACAAUUUGGAGAAGAUACAAACAAAAUCAAAGAUACAAACAAAAUCAAUCAACUUGUAGAUCUUGGACUCAUGUAUAGCAUACCGAACUUUCCACCAAUUCCAACAAAGUUACACUAUUGAAUCCGAACUGCCUCUUCUCUUUUUCAAAGCAAAGCUCUCCGCCUCUUUCUCUUUGUAACAUUGAAUUGCUCUUCUCUAUCUUCUAAAUCAAGAACAUUCAGCCCUAUCUUUUCUUUUUGAAUUUAAGAAGAUGAGAUGGGGCUCGCAAGAGGUGGAUCUCCCCCUCUGCCUCACGAGGGAAGUUCCAUCAUACCCACUUAAUCUGUACAAGAAUUAAGUUUCACGAUUAGCAAGGUUUAAGUCAUCAUAUCAUAUCCAUUAUCAUCGGUGUAGACUUUCUCAAGUAAGAAAAUUUUAUUUUUAAAUUUUUCUUGGAUCCAAUGACAAGGAUAAAGCAUCAGUCUUGGGUAAAGCAACCAGAUGCAUUUCUAGUGAACAUCAAUCUUAUCUUCAGCAAUAUGACGAGGAUUAAAGCAUCCAGCAUAAAGCUGUCUUGUAUUUGCAUGAAUAGAUCUGAUCUUGUUAGAGACAAGACCACUUAUCUCUAACUAAUAACGGCAGCUACCAAAGAGUUAAUAUAUCUAGGGCAAUGUCAUGAAUUGCUCUCUGAGGAUAAACACCCUCUAGAAAUGCCAUGAGGGUGCCUCGAUGACACCACAGAUGAAGUGCCCUGUCCAUCACCAAUCGCAUGUCGCCUAAGAAUGGACCUAACUUUUUAGUAGUAACAGACCAUACAUAAAUCUGUUACAGCAAGUAAGCAAUAACCCAAGUAAACAAAACGGACUCUGCUCCUAGCAACAACUUCUACAAAUUCCUGAGAGCGCAAUCUUGAUUUUGUGUUUGUAGCUUCUUCAAGCCUAAACCACCUUCACAUGUUAUAAAACCAAGGGUCGUGUUAUAACGAGUUUGUACUUGUGUUUAAUAUCCCUUUUCAAAUGGUGAAAAUAUAAUAUUGAAAUGGAGAUAUCAGUUCCCCUAUGUCUUGUUUAGUUUGCUUGCAAACCAUAAAUGAUGGAGGUUCAGAUCAAUGGAGUAAUCUGACAAGCCUAAAUUUCAAGCUGCUAAAACAUGUGUGUUGACAGUUGAUAUAGCUAGUAUAAACACCUAGAGGGGGGUGAAUAGGCGCACAAACAAUUUUUCUUGAAUACGGAAGCAAUUCUUAACAGAUUGAAAUACGAUCGAGGUAAAGCGAGUAAGGAAGAGAAAAUUAAACACAGGAUUUAUAGUGGUUCGGCUUAUUCCAAGCCUACGUCCACUCUUCCGCACUGACAGCCCACCGGCUGGAUUUCACUAUGAUCAAAAGAGAAGUUACAGCACAGCUUUGCCUUGAUUCCACAGUGUAGAUGUUCUACCACACCUCCUCAAGGUCUCUCACAAAUAUAGACUCUCUUUUGUAUACAAGUAUUCGCUCAAGAGAUUUAUCUAAACAAAUAGGAGCUUCAGACUUUGGAAUUUUUCUAUCGCGCACUCCUCGAACAACUAAGAACGACUGCCUUAUAUACUCCUUUAUGCCAUCAUAUCCGUUGGCACUUACCAAAGGAAUUCCUCCAAUCUACCCGUUGGACGGAAUCAAUUAGGAAGAUUGUUCGAGCUAUUAAAGGAACGUGUUGAUAGCCCAUCAAUCAUGUUCGCCCAUACAAUCAGGAUCUAGGUUUCCAUAAGUAGAACCUUCCAAUAAUACUUAGACAAUCAUUGAAUCUUCAGUCAUUGAAUCAAUCUUGAUCAAUAGAAGCCCACCCAAUUGGCUUCGACUUUUGAAGCAGAGAGCGGUGGCUUCAGCCGCCCGUGGCUUUCUCAACGGUGUUGCGUUGAUUUCCAACAGCGUUGUGGAUAUCGGAGAUGACUAGAAAUUCUUCGUGUCUUUUUCUCUCAUAUUUUAAGUCAGUCAUAUUUUGGGCCUAACCCAGCCCAAAAUUAAAUUAAUGCCAAUCCAAGAGGACUUGUUUAGGCCCGAACCUUUCAACCGGGCCUGAAGUUGAUCGGGUGGGACAUAUUUUUCAAUAGAAAAGCCACCCAUUUGCAACUGUACUUCCAAUUACUAGACACCAAAGGAACUCGCGAACUCAUUGCUACACCAUUCUUUAUUUGCGAUAGACAAACAAGCAAUCCUAUUCCGUAACAUGGAAAUGGCAACAAUUUAUUGCUUAUGCCUCUUCAGGAUCAAUUUUUUCCCAAAAAUCAACCAACUAAUAGUAAAUUAGCCCCAAUAGCAACCGGUCACGAUAUUCCAACAAUAUUAACCCUAAAGCAGUGAACAUGGUGCUGAAUAUUAAAGCAAGGGAAAACCAACACCCACAUAUUUUACGUGAAAAACUCAAUACAUGAAAAAUCAUUGGGCCAGUCAAAAUCUUCCACUAAUCAUUAAUAAUAGCAAAAUACAUAAUAGUUUAUCUCUAAUAACACAGCUAGAGGCUCUUCACAUUAGCAAAACAUCAUCACAGCAAAGGUGAAUUAAUACAAAGAUGCAAGAAAGAUCUAACCGCUGCAGAGAAAAUUAAGAGACAAUUUGGAGAAGAUUUUAACAAACAAAAUCAAUCAACUUGUAGAUCUUGGACUCAUGUAUAGCAUACCGAACUUUCCGCCAAUUCCAACAAAGUUACACUAUUGAAUCCGAACUGCUUCUUCUCUUUUUCAAAGCAAAGCUCUCCGCCUCUUUCUCUUUGUAACAUUGAAUUGCUCUUCUCUAUCUUCUAAAUCAAGAACAUUCAGCCCUAUCUUUUUUUUCUUUCCUUUUUGAAUUUAAGAUGAUGAGAUAGGGCUCGCAAGAGGUGGAUCCAGCCCAGCAAAUCUCCCCCUCUGCCUCACAAGGGAAGUUCCAUCAUACCCACUUAAUCUGUACAAAAAUUAAGUUUCACAAUUAGCAAGGUUUAAGUCAUCAUAUCAUAUCCAUUAUUAUCGGUGUAGACUUUCUCAAGUAAGAAAAUUUUCUUUUUUAAUUUUUCUUGGAUCUAAUGACAAGGAUAAAGCAUCGGUCUUGAGUAAAGCAACCAGACGCAUUUCUAGUGAACAUCAAUCUUAUCUUCAGCAAAAUGACAAGGAUUAAAGCGUCCCGCAUAAAGCUGUCUUGUAUUUGCACGAAUAGAUCUAAUCUUGUUAGAGACAAGACCGCUCAUCUCUAACUAAUAACAGCAGCUACCAAAGAGUUGAUAUAUCUAGGGCAAUAUCAUGAAUCGCUCUCUAAGGAUAAACACCCUCUAGAAAUGCCAUGAGGGUGCCUCGAUGACACCACAGAUGAAGUGCCCUGUCCAUCGCCAAUCGCAUGUCGCCUAAGAAUGGACCUAACUUUUAGUAGUAACAGACCAUACAUAAAUUUGUUACAGCAAGUAAGCAAUAACCCAAGUAACCAAAACAGACUCUGCUCCUAGCAACAACUUCUACAGAUUCCUGAGGGCGCAAUCUUGAUUUUGUGUUUGUAGCUUCUUCAAGCCUAAACCACCUUCACAUGUUAUAAAACUAAGGGUCGUGUUAUAACGAGUUUGUACUUGGGUUUAAUAUCCCUUUUCAAAUGGUGAAAAUACAAUAAUGAAAUGGAGAUAUCAGUUCCCCUAUGUCUUGUUUAGUUUGCUUGCAAACCAUACAUGAUUGGAGGUUGAGAUCAAUGGAGUAAUCUCAAAAGCCUAAAUUUCAAGCUGCUAAAACAUGUGUGUCUAUAGUAUUGUCUCUUUUAUUAUCUAAUCUUUUGUUUUGAUAGGGAUUUUUUUUGAAACAUACUAAACUGACUUCAAAGGCACUUUUGCAGCCAUGAUAUUAGGUUAUAGCAGGGUUGUGUUUGUCCGAGACUACAUGGGUGCAUAGCUUAGAGGGAAUUUAAUGAAAUAUCGAUCGACUAAAUUAAAGUUCAACGCAAUCAAAUGCUAAGCUCUUAAGAAAUACUGCCCGGUAGAGAGACUUGAUUAAGAAAUUUAGCCAAAGCUCUAAUAAUUAUGUCGUGUUUGUUUCAUGAAAAAAAAAAUGAUCUAGAAAUCAUUUUUUAAAAAAUGAUCCUUGUAUCGUUCGAAAUAAUUAGUUAAUAAAUAAUAUUUUCAUUAUUAAUAACAAUUUAUGUUUAAAAUUUUUGCCCGAUCAUUCAUUUUUGUAAACGAUAUAAGUAAUAUUUUUGAAAAAUAUUUUUCAAAGUAUUCAUUUUUCGCAAAACAAAUUUUCCGCAAAACAAAUGAAGGAUAAAAAAAAAUAAGGAGAAGAAAAUGGACAAUUAGGCCCAUUUUUCGCCGGCCCAAAAAGCUUUAUGGGCUUAUUAAAACCUUCGUUCCUCAGAAAAACGAAAUAAAGAUUCAUCUUUCUUUCAGUCGACUUGAAGAGCAUUUUUGGUUCUGAAUCGAGCUCAAACCUUCGCUUUCGCUCUAAUUCACCUUCGAUCGAUCGACUGCUAAGGUCUUCGGGGAGCUAGUGCGAGCGUUUUGCACUACUAAUCGUCACUCCGCCGCUUUUGUUCUUCAAUUUGAUAUCUAUUUUGCUUUUUUAAGCUAGUUUCCGUUGAUGUCGCGACUGUUUCUCGCUGAUUAGAUCGUCUUUGACUUGGGCCUGGCUGGUUUCUGGCUCCGGUAGCUAGAAAAUGUCGAAGAUCUCUUGUGGUGACUCGAAUAAAUAGUAGUGUAAGAAGGUGAGAUGAAGAUGUAAGAAAUGUUGUGCCGUAAUUGCUGACGGGUGUCCGUGGAAUUACUUUCGUUGGACGUGCUUGUUUGUCUGUCGAAAUGGCGUGCUUUCUUUGAACUGGAGAUUAUUUUGUGCUUGAGGCAGAAAUUGGGAAUGCGAGCAAUUUGAGCAUGGACCUAUCUUCUCCAAUUGGGAAGAGAGAUGUGCUUAAUUCCCUUUUUUCCAUGUUAAUGUGCAUGUGAUUGUUUAAAACGAAGUUGAACAUAAUCUGUUGUUAAAUUUAUAGGAUCAUUAUGAUCCUUGAUGACCUCACGAAAUUUUGUAUCUGUAUACUUUUUGCGCUUGAGUUGCUAAGUUCUUAUGUGGCAUGUGUAAGAUUGAUUCCAUGAUCAUUGAUAUGUAGUCUCUUAUUGACUGAUGGGAGAGUGCAUAUUGUCUGAUGAAAAGAUAGGGAUGAAAUUUUAACAAUUCUCUUCUUGUUCUCUUGUCCACUUCCUGCCAGUUACUGAAAAUGACUCGGUUUAUCUGGAUCUACCAUUCAGCAUUUUGGAGUUUUACCGAUUUGAACUUUUGGGUUGAUAUUGCACUCAGAAAAAGGAUAGUUUUGAGUAGGUGGUUUUGGAGCGCUAGAGAUUGAAUGGAGCAUAUUGGGGAUUGACCAUUCUAGAUCUUCUUGGAAAACUUGGCAGUGUGGAUUCAAAUGAAGUUGUUUCUUGGAUCCCGCAAUGCCAGCAUGGGUCUCGUUUGUAUUUAUUUGUCUCUCAACUUCUUUUUUGCGAUUUACCCACGAAAAACAUGCAGCUAACAGAACCUCCACUCCACAUUCAAUCAAAUAUUUCUUAUUUGACGGUAUGAUUAAGAUUUUAGCUUGGGAUUAACAAUUCCAUCUGUUACAAUAAUGACUGCGCCUUAGAAGUGAUUAGUGUUGCUUUAUUUAUUUUCGAAACUUCACUCUAAAGAACAAAAUGUGAAUUUCACUUACGGCUGCUUGUGCUGGUGGAUUUGGUGGAGACAUUACAGACAUCUUCUGUGUGACAGAUUGUAUCCUUUGGAAUAAAGGUUCCUAGAUUUGCAAACUCUUACCAUCGAUGCAAGUUCCUUCGUGUUGUUUUAUGUUUUUAAGUUUUCAACAUCACGAGUGGCAAACUUACCUUAGGCUAGCCAGACAUUGAUGAGGGGGGCUCUCUAUAUGGAGAUUGAAGUUGCUACUGUCGGAUAAUCCCUGGUGUCAAAUGUUCUACAUUGCUGUGCCUGAACCAUGAUUCAGGCAUCAGAGUAGUGCGAAACGAAGAUGGAUAUUUCUCUGGGGAUACAUGGGGAGAAGUUUAUACUCGGUGUCUUGUCCUCAUCUUGGAUCAAUUAUAAUUUUUGUGCUUCUUGAGGAUGUUUCUUAAACUAUUGACAUCCCUUCAAUCCUUUUUUCCCUUCGAAGGUUCUCUUAUUGUGCUAUAUGCUGUCUUGCGAUACUAAAAUGGUUUGAUUCGAUAAAUGUGGAGAAUGCUGUCAGAUAUAUAGUGAGUUGCAAAACUCUGGAUGGCGGGUUUGGUUGCAAUCUCGGUGCAGGGUCUCACCUGAAAUGAUACCAUCGCAAACAGCCUUCGCUUCCAUCUUGAUGGUUAAUCACUGUGUGCACCACUGAUGUCUAUAUAAGAUAUCCUAAGACAACGCACUAAUGUCCUUGCUCUCUUUACUAAUCUAGCCGGUAGUAGUUAACAGUUGGAGAAAACCAUCUGCUCUAUCUAUAUCUACAAGGAACUAUUUGUCACCAAAAUGCCAACUAAAAGAUUCCAGAUCUGCCGUACUAUCACAAAAGGUGAAGAAACUUCAGAGUUGCCUAAAAUAUUAUUAAGCUACGAUCUUCACAAAACAAUGAUGUCCUUUGGAUCGGUAGGACUAUAGUCUCAUAUAAAUUGAAUACAGUAUAAUCUUGGCGAUAUAUUUUGAGAAUGUAAACUCGACCUCAAGGCAUACUUAUUGAAUUUCAUAAAUCAUUAGUUUUGAAUAAUUUUUCUUUCCAAUUCCCAGGAUCCUACAAUGUGCAGUUCUAGAAGUCUAUAUUCGGGGACACAUCAGGUCCACAAUUGAUUGCAAGUAUUCCAAUCUGAAAAACCUCCGGACUUAGUAAAGUAGUAAUCAGGAGAUUAACAGAACCGCUUAAAUCCUAGAAUGCUGUGCUAACUGAGCAAGUAAGCACACUUCAAAUGCGUAAAACCGGCAAUGAGCAACAAAUGAAAACUGCUUUCUCAUAAGCAGCCACGAAGGGCCUCGGUGAAUUGCAGUUUUUUACUAGCUACGCAAUAACGAAAGUUUCUCCAGUCCACUGUCCUACCCUUGAAUAAUAUAGAGCAAAUCUAGCAACCCAACCAAAUCUAGCAGGUAUGUCAUAACCUCAUGCUGAGCUCUUUCGCUGGUUCCUAAUUUCCGAUUGGUGCAUAGUAAGUCAUGUAUUUUGCUUAAUUACAUGGCGGUCUUCUAGUUAUGCUCCAAUGAACACAUGCAAAGGAUAAAACUGAGUCGCCACGGUUUUAAGACAUUCCUUAGGACUCAUCUUAGACGUGCCAAAGUAGGAAGGAAUUAAUGAUUUCCAGUGGAGAAUUAGGCAUAAAACAACGAAGCACGAAGCAAGUAAAUUAAGAAGCACGAGAGCCUGACCAAGCACCUUGCCACGAAGUGUCUCACUUUUCUCUCUUCUUUCAAUUCAAAUAAGAAGAUAUUUGCAAAAGGAAGAACUGGAACGAGGGAGUAAUCCUGAAGCGACACGAUUUGGUGUUCCUGCUUCAAUAGAUGACAAAACCGUGUGUAUUUUGUCUAGCCAAUUGUCUAGUCAGCCACGUAGUGAAUUUGACCUGUGGAAUCCCCAACCAUAUGUAGCAGACCUCAAAUUACCAAUGGAAACCACAACUGCCCAAAAUAUGGGAAAAAAAAGAAAAGGAUAACCAUUUUAAUUCUGCAUGAUGAACCAAGAAGAGAAGCACUGUUUGCUUCAUUUCCAACCAUCAAGAGCUCCUCACAGGUAAUAAACAGAUAGUGGAAUAUCAUUAAAGUGACGAUUAUCCAAACCUUAAAAUAUAAUUAUAGAUAAACUCUUCAAGAGAAGAUGCACAACAUCCUCUGCACAUGAUUAUACUCAAUCAAGCAGUCCACAAAAGCAUAGCAACAUAACUAGACUAGGCAUUCAAAUAGUCAAACAAAUGCAAGAAAGCAGACCCUUAAACAACUAUUACCAUAUGAAGCUCGAGCUCAUGCUUAACUAUGCAAAGAUAAAUCACAUGAUUACAUUCAACUCGACACCAACUGCCACUCUGACCACCAAAAAAAACACACACACACACACAACUCCCAACUGCCACACCACUCUUACCUAUUCUUCGGCUAUUAGCUAGUGAUCCAGAGCUUGAGUUCAAGGCGAUGACUCCCGCCACUGAUGGAGUUAAUGAAUGCUUUAAUUCCUCCAGCUGAGCAGCAUUCGGUUUAACAAAUCCUCAGAAGAUAAUUUUUAUUAACAAAUUCGGUUUAACAAAUCGUUAUCCGAAUUCAAAUUCGAGACAAUAAUUUAAUACUUUUCUUCUCCUUAUUUUCCUGAUUCUGCAGAAAGAAAUAAUAAAGCGAGUUGAGGUCUCUUGCGCCUAAAUUUCUCUUAAGAAAGGCCCCUUCGUUAUGGAUGGUGAGGGAUGUAAGAUACCCAACCUCGCCACCGAAGUGACGCACACAACAUAUGGAGAUUCCCAGUAAGAUGGGGAAUUUUAAUAAGAUUUUUCUUAGUUGCGCGUUUUAGAAUGAGUUCAUUGUCUCUCUUCACUAGACUAAAGCAGAAAUAGAAAGCAAGGAAGAAAAAACGUAUGAUCUAUGAAUAGAAAGAAGGUGCACCGUUUUCUGCAGAGAAUCCCCUGUUCCAGUUUCAGAGUCCGCUGUUUCAAUUUCAGAGCUCCACGCUAGCUUUGCUCCAUUCAGAAUCUUCUCUCUGUAAGACUUCCAAUGGCCAUACGUCCAACCGCAGAGAGCAUCAGGACAGUCGGGUAACUCCCCGCUAUUUGUUAUGAGUAUCGAGCAAUGAUCUGGUAUUUUUGACCUCGAUGGCUUAAAUAUCCUUCCCACUGAUCUGCAAUUUUCAAUUCUCAACCGAUGCAAAAACUCUAAUUCGUCAAUACCCUCAACAACCAGCAGGCUUUUGCACCAGCCAAUAUUUAACUCCUUCAAGUUCUUCGAGUUUGACAAACCGCCUAAGCUUUUUAAUGAACAGCACUCUUUAACAAAAAAUUGUUCCAAUGAUUCGAACGGAGAUACAAAUUGAAUAUCCUGUACCUCUGGCAACCCCGACACAUCGAAUUUUACAAGCAUCUUUUGGGAGCUUGGGAAAAGGAGCGCUCCCCUCCAAUGAUCAAUCAACUCGGGAGCUUGUAGUUCAUUGCACCCCGGCUCCUGCGGCUGACAAACCGAACUCUCGGAAGAUCUGCAAUCCUGAAUAUGUGAUCUUUCUGACGAUUCUAAGACAUCGACAGAUUGAACAUCAAGUUGCCCGGACACCUUGUUUCCUGUCGAUUUUCCUAAACUUGUUGGAAGGAAUGGAGUCUUCUUUUCCGAUGGAGGAAGCCUCCCUAAAGUUUCGUAGAGCUCUAAAACUAUCAAAUUUGACGAAAGUUGUUUGAAAGUUGGCAAGUCUAGUCCGUAUAGAGUAAGUUCUUUCAGCAAAGAAAGGGAACGCAACUCUGUAGUUGGUGCGCGGACAUUUAUAAAGCAAACGUGCAGCUUCCUCAAUUUGGUUAAACUCCCAAUCCACCCCAAGUCGCCGGUUUGGAAUUCAUUUGAUGGGUGUCUAUUUGUGUAGCCACUAGAUAGGAGCAAUUGAACUAGGUUAGUAAGGUAUGAGAGGUUAGGAACAGUCUGCAGUGAGGUAGAUCUUACCCGUAAAAUGGUCAAACUUCUAGGGAGCUUCGGCAACUCUUGUAUGCUAUGACAAGGAUCCAAAUCUAGUGUUUGGAGAAGUAACUUGCUCAUCAUAUUGGGCAAUUUUUCAAUCGGUGUGGAUGUUUCAUUGACAAAUGACAAGCUUGGUAGUCUACCAAUGGAAUCCGGUAAUCUUGUAAUUCGCGUCCCUGAUAGAUUUAGAUUCGUUAACAACUCUAAUUUCGAAAUUGAAUCGGGGAGUUCAAUCAAGUUAAGACAAAACAAAAGAGAGAGGUGCCGCAGAUUAUGUAACUCUCCAAUUUGUUCAGGCAAUUUUCUAAGUUCGUGAGCGCGCUGAAUGCUCAAGUAAGUUAGUGACCUUAGAUUCCCAAUAGAGCAGUCAAUUUCCAUCAAAUUUGAAUAAUUAAUAGCCAACUCCUCUAAAUCUGAGUACUCGGGAAAGGUUGGUGUCCUAAUCAUCGACACAUUAUGCUCAAUAGUGAGAACCUUCAAUUUCCUUGCCCCCUAAAAAAGCCAAUGAAUCAUCAGGACAUACAAGAAAUGAAUAUGGAUUUAGGCUACCAAUGAGAAAAUUAGAUUAGAAAUCCAUCAAAUUUUAUCCUUCAUUGAAUGAGAAAAUUAGACUAAGAGGGAAACUGGCAUACCUUGAUUAGGCACUUGAACGCCUCUUCUGUGAUAUCCAUCCCAAAAAGAUUCACCACAACCGCGUUUUCUAGAUGCAACAAAGCGGUUGCCUCCAAACAUUUAUUAGGAUCACGAACAAAAGGUGUAUAACUGCAACUCAAAUAAAUCCAUUUCAACUCAGAAAGACAGCCCAAAAAGUCACCUUGGCAGGUUUCCCCACUCAACCAAAGAAACCGUAUAUGUGGGAACCGCUUAAUUUGCUCCGAAGUGACAGUCAUACGAUCUAACAAACGGAGUGCUUGAACGCUUCUAUUGAUCUGCCAAUGACAUUGAGGAGGAGAAGCAGGAAUUUGUCAAUAUUCCACUAUUUUAUUUCAUAGAAGAGAAGAAAAAACGAAAUAGGAGAGUAUCUUCCAAAUCAAAAACAAGAAUCCUCAAUUAAGAAGUGGGCAUAAGCAAUUUUCUUUUCAAAUUUGGUCAUACUUUACCUCCAUUGAUCUUAAUUUGCAAAUGAUGUCAUUGGUAUCCCAUAACCUGGUAUUCUCUUCUUUAGCAAUUUUCCUUCCAAGAUCUCUCAUUUGAUCAUGCAUCCAAAAACUAUCAUCAGCUAGAACCUUUAUCAUGCACCUCUGAGUAAGAACAUCAAUGGCAUCCUCUGGGCAAAAUGCACAAUCUUGCCACAUGUAUAUUGGAUUAGUCUUAUUUUGACCGACGAAAAAGCAUGCAAUAUCGAGAAAUAUCUGCUUUUGAUUCGGAUAUAAGGCAUCAUAGCUAAUCCUUAGCUUUGGCAAGACAUCAUCAUGAAGUGUUUCCCUUAGCUUCUUUAGCCACUCUUCCCAUAUUGCUUUCUUUUUCUUAUAAAGGUAUGAGCCUAUUAUUUCAAGAGCUAAAGGAAGUCCAUCUGCAGUACGAACAAUCCCUUUUGAAAGAUUGUAGUAAUCGGCUUCAGGUUGAUAGUCAUUGAAGGCAUGUAUACUAAAAAGUCGAAGUGCGUCUUCAUCGCUCAACCCCACACCAAUCCAUAAUACCCCAACAUAUACUUAAAUUUCUUGUCAUUAAUAAUGCUCUUGUCCCUAGUGGUAACAAGUAUCCUGGUACCAUGAUACAAAGAAUUCACUCCAAUUAGAUUUUCUAUUUGGGUGAACUCAUCAACAUCAUUCAAUACAAUUAGCAUCUUCUUGCUGCAAAUUGUUUCUCCAAUCCUCUGCAUCCCAUUAUAAGUAUUGUCAAUUUUUCGAUCCACUUUAAAAUAAGAGAUAUCGGACAAUAAUUUUUCUUGUAGCUUGACCAAGCCUUCUUUUGUUUUCACCGUUUCCCUCACGUCGUCAAGAAAGCUGCAAUUUUUCCCAAAGCAAUGACAUAGUUUGUUAAAGAUAACAUUGGCCAAUGUUGUUUUACCAAUACUGCCCAUCCCAUAGAUUACAAUGAGCCGCACAUCUUCGGAGUCGAUGUCUAGUAAUUUGUCUAUGGCUGCUAUACAAUUCUCCAUUCCAACUAAAUUUUUAGGCACUUGUCUUUGUCUCGUCUGUAGCCUGCCUAGAACCUCGUCAACAACCGCCUUGAUAAGAUCCCCAUGGUUGCUACAAAGUUAAACAAUUUCAAUUGAGAAAAGGUGACAAAUUUGCAUGCUAACCAACCAUAUAGCACUUAGCCAGCGGGAAUGCAAUCAAGUUUAGGAUAUAUAAAAAUAUAACGUUACCCCCAAAGCUUCAGGAACAUGACAUAUUACUAACUUGAACAUCCAUUACAAGUUUAAGUUAAAGAAAUAGAGGAAGAGAAAUGCUUGAUCUUUAUAUCAAGUGGAACAAUCAAAAUUUCUGGCAAAAAAGGAUAGAAGAAUCAAAAUAUAGAUGUAGGAUGCAUUAUUGUAACAGUAGAUUUACUUAAUUUUUUCAGCGUGGAAAAGAACCUCGCAAAGGCAACAAUACCUUAAUCAAGUUCGCUAGUAAUUUUUUCAGCGUGGAUAUGUAACUUUUAACAUGCCCAAUUUCUUUCUAGUUUCUUCUUCGUGCUUUUUCACUCUUCGCUUUUGAACUUUUGGAUUUUAAAAAAAAAAAAUUGAUUCUCAAACAUUUAUUAUUCUAUGGACAUAUCUAUAGUUGGACAUAUUUAAAAUCCCAAUCCAGUAUUGUAAAUUCACAAUUUAUCUACAUAAAUGCAUAAUAACAAAAUAUUCUUAAUGGGACUUUGCAUAAAUAAAAAAAUCUCCUUCAUAUUACUAAGAAUUGGAUUUGCUGCAUUCGCCGUAGAAAAUGCUACACCUGAGCACUGCCUACGCGUAUGCUUCCUACUCACUGUGAAAUAUUUGUUUGGAUCUCAUCACCUUAAAAGAUUUAUCUUUGAUUUUAAUUAAUUUGAACCACUUAAAUAUUAUCAUAGAAUAUUUGACUUUUAACCAAAUGGAGGAAAUGCAAUGAUGACCUGUCAAUGGCCAUGAUGCCACAAUCAUGGUGUUCCUUCGAGCGUGGAGAAGGGAAAGAAACCAUGAUGGUCAUGACGAUAAGAGGCGACUUUGCUCAGCUGAAGAAAAGGAAAAAGACAAAGAAAAGUUACAAUGAUGGUGUCUUCACGUUGGCCGCUCGUUAUUUCUCUUUAUCUUCGUUUCCUUCUGCUGAAUUUCCUCUUUAAAUACGAAGAUGAAGAGCUAUUAAUGUAAAAGAGAGCUCUGAAGGCUGAACAGAGCAUAUUGGAAAGUGCGCCGAGAGUUCCUCUUGAGAGAUUUGAUUAAGAGAGCUUCCUUCGUGAAAUUACGGCAAAUAUUUUUGCGUUGAAACUAGUUAAAUCUUAUAUUAAUAUUUAUGUCAUUCCUCCGUGAGCUUGAGAUGUCAUUUCGAAAGAUAUUAUGAAGGCUAAAUGAUUUACUGAUAUAAUUGGAAAUUGGAAAAAACGUAAAUUAUCUGAAUGACUUGCUCGUAAUCGUAAUUUUCAUCAUAUCGUUUGAUCUGUAAUAAAAUUUUGUAUUGCUCUCUCCGUCGACAUAGUCACGUAAAUUUGACGUCUGAUCUGUCUCCUAUUGCCUUUUUCUUUUCCCCCCGACAAGGGAUAUGGUUCGAACAAAAUUGAAACCAGACUUAAAGACAUUCUAUAUAGUCAUUCAUGAAUAAAUGCAUAAAAACUUAUCUUUUAUUUUUUAAAGAUAUUGAUCGAUAACAAGCUCAAACUCGUGCUUGAUGAUAAAAUUGUUCCUUCACCUGCUUAACAUUAGCUCUGAUCAUAAAGACGUGAUUCAAAGCAUCUAUUCAACCCGUUUCUUCUAAGAUCCUUUGACAAUGCAUCUCCAAAUUGGCAAAAGUAAACAUAGUGAUGUUCUUUAUUGCCAUUGAGUCACGCCAGCCCGUGCGUACCUUUUACUUACCUUCAUUUUCCAUGAUUUUGUGGUCGCUUAUAUUUUAUUUAUUUAGUUUGGGGCACAACAUACCAAGAAAACCAUAAAUUUGCAACUACAAAUCUAGACAUACUAAAUAAGUCGGUUUCGCAUGAUUUGACAUAGAUUUUCACAACAUUUGUUAGUUAUAUUUUUUUUAUUAGCAUGAUUAACAUAAAUCAUUUUUUUUAUGACCAAGGGACCGCCGGAGAUUACCCUUUGGGGAUCACACGAUCCUCCGGCCGAUGGGGCCUCACUGUAACCUACUAUUUAGACGUAAAUCCCCGGGGGUUGGCCUAGUAAAUCACCCUUGGAAACCCCAUUUAAGUCGCGAGCAUCUGGAGAUUCAAACCCGUUCCUUCGGCGAUGAGGUAGUAAAGUCCAACCAUCACGGCUACCUACGAAUGGGUAACAUAAAUCAUUUUCAUAUUGCAUGUCUUAAUAAAAUUUUCAUGCGAAAUUGCAAAUCCCUAUGAAUUUUAUCCUUUGGAAUUUGAAUGGUCGUAGUAGUAGUAAUAAAGAUCAGAUGAAGCCUAGCCAUAAUUUUGGAUUUGUGUCUCUAUCUCCUCGACCAAUUAAUCUCCUUAAAUACUCCUCCAUGCUACUAGCCAUUUAGUUAGUCAUCGGAAGAUUUUCUUCCAAUUUACCUAUUGGACAUAAAGAUUCAAAGAAGAUCUUGUGGCCGUUGAAGACAAAGAGAAAAUCUCCACUUGAUUCUGGUCGCCCACACAAUCAGAGUCUUAGUUUCCAUAAAUAUAGCUUUCCUCAUUUGGAACUUGUCUCCAAGAUUGAUAAGUCUUGUUCUGGAUCUUGAUACGUUUUGAACCUAUCAAAGUUAGGAUAUUGUAUAUGUGCUUCUCAAAUAGAAUAGACUUUGGCGAAGAUCCUCGAUAGUGCUCAGAAUAUAUACUUAUUCAAAAACCUGUUCUAACAUAAGCAUUAGAACUAGAAAAUUUUGUGAACUUCAAAAUAUGGGUAGAGUUUUUUCAACAAAAGGUAAUCAAAUGUGGUAUAGACAAUGCCUUUUUAGAGUAUGUAGUAAUUGGCCGAAGGAAAGUUGUCAGAGGCAUGCCUACAAAAAAGUUUAAAUGCAUUUAUUUUGAGUGCGCAGCUCAUUGUUAGUCAAAUUUCUACCAUUCUUUUGUAUUGGAUAUUUUAGUAAUAAUAACAUUAUAAUAUUAACAUUACAUUCAUUAAUGGGAAGAGCUUUUAUUACAUUCGUAAUGUGAAAAACUUCUCCAUCAGAUCAUCCUCCUUCAGAAAUUUACAAAAGAAGAACCAACACGUUACAUUAGAAAAGGAGAAAAGGAUGUUUAUUAUGAGAAAUAAACAAUGAAAUUCUUGAUUUGAAUGCCCGGAGUCCGAUGCCACUUUCUUUAGUGAGAGACAUCAUUUUGGACGUUUGUAUUGUGUAACUCACGUGAUUCAAUUGAAAAGCUUUUCCACCGGAUCAUCCACCCUAAAAAAUUUACAAAAGGAGAACCACUACGUUACAUUAGAAAAAGGAGAAACGGAUGUUUAAUUAUAAGAUAAACGAUGAAGCCCAAUGCCACUUUCAUUAGUUAGAGACAUCAUUUUGGACGUUUGUAUUGCGUGACUCAGGGGUUUAAUUGAAAAUUAUGGAUAAAGAGUCAUGAUUCCAUUUGCAUGACUCACAGGGUUUUGUUGCUGGAAGCGAAAAGGUUUCAAAUAAAUCUCGGAAUCGACAAAAAUUUAAAGGGAAACAAAUAUUACUAUAAAAUCUUCUUCCACGACCAUUUGCCAUCGCGCACAACCAACUUUCCAGCAGGUGCAGAAAACAUUAUAUAUUAUGGUCCCUUUUGACAUCAAAAACACGUCAAGGCAACUUUGCAGCAAGUGCAACUUCCAAUUUAUAGUCACUAAAGUCGAUGGCUUUAUAAAAAAAUAAGGUGGAGGACAAUAAUGAAGGUGUAACUUUUGUAUAGUUGGACAUAUUUAAAAUUCCAAUCCAAUAUUGUAAAAUAAAAUUUAUGUAUAUAAUGCAUAAUAACAAAAUAUUUCCAAUGAAUCGCCUCUCAUUAUGACACAUGGGACUCCGGAUAAUUAGAUAAAUUUCCUUCAUACCAUAGAGAUUGAAUUUGCAGCAUUCACUACAAAAAAAUGCUCCACCUAAGCGCUACCUAAGCAUAUACUUACUACUCACUGUGAAAUAUUUGAUUCGAUCUUUUUACCUUGAAGACUUACCUUUUAUUAUAAUUAAUUGCCUUUAACCACUCAAGUAUUCUCAUUAAAUUUGCCUUUAUAUUAAAUAGCAAAUGAUUGUGCAAAACAUUUUCAACCCUUAUUUCCUUAGAUUGUCAUUGCAUUUCUUAAAAAGAAAUUAGGGACCGAAUUUGCCAACGACGCUAUAAUUUGACCCCUAACCAAAAACACUUACCACACACGGUUUUUUUUUCAUUUGUUCCUCGCAUUCAUGACUAGAUAUUGAUUUCAAUACCUUGGGCUUGGCAUCAAACAAAUCUUGGACAGGAAAAAGAAUUUCAUGUUCUUCCUUUCGGGAAGGGAGGAUUAGGAAAUCCUAUUGAUUGCAACUUUCUCCAAACCUCCAAGAAAAGCAUGAAAAAAAAAAGGCUUGAAUGAUACAAUCCCUCUGUAACCCCUGGGGGAAAAAUAGAGAUGUAUCCUAUGUUAAAAGGCUCGAAUGGUACGAUCCCUCCGUCACCCCAAAACGGAAGGGAUCGCAGACAUUUCUGAAACACCUCUAACAAAGGGACAAAUAAUCAAUUUUGAAAGAACUUAAACCCCAAUUCUAAAAUCCCUUCUCUCCCACUUCACACCUCGGAACGCACCCUUAUUAUAGAGAGAAAGGAGACCCGGUACAAUAUCGAUAUCUCUUGGAAUCCUAAAUUAAAUAGGAUACUACCAAUAAUUGUAGCAAUCCACAUAUGUCCCUAUCCCAUUAAUCAAUAUUGAUUGACGGAAUUCCAACAUUCAUGGCCACUCAACAUUACUCAAUUGAUUUGCUCCUUUUAAGUUGACCCAUUUUUGUGCGCACCAUUAAACCUCAGCUAGCCUUAUCGCUUUAGCCUUAUUGGGGACAGGAAACUAAGUCGAGAUAUGGGCCAUCAGUCAACAAUCGGCCAAGAGUCUAACCUGGGACAAGAGAGCGAGAGCGUGCGAAACAGAAAAGAAAAGAAAGCAGAGCAUAGGGCAGUCCUGGCAAUAGGAGGCAAUAACAAGAGUAGGACCUGUUAAGGCAGCUUAUCUGGCUGCAUAUUGAAAGUGAGUUAUUACGUGAACAGCCCAAGAAUAGCAGAGGAUAACAUGCAGGGAAUGUUUAUCAUUUUCUUACCUGUUCCUCCGUCAAUCUCGCGUACUAACCAGUAACCAAUCAUCGCUGCCAUCAAAGCCAAUUCGUUUUGAAGCCCCGCUUCACAAUCGUCGUUUUGACUAGGGGUGUCAGGAACUGAACCGAAAACAGAACCGAAUCGAACCGAACCGAAAAAUUCAAUUUUUUCGGUUCGGUUCGGUAUUCAAUUUAGUUCUCAUUAAAAACCGAUAUUUUUUUUAUUGGUUCGGUUUUUAUCGGUCAACCGAACCGAACCGAACCGCACAACAACAACAACAAAGAGAUCGAUUUCAGCAGAGACUCGUUUAUUGGGCAUCCUCCAUCUCCAUCUCCGCCGGCUGCAACCACCACUGAAUCCGCCGCCGCUUCCGCCAUGUGCUAUGGUCACCACCACCACCACCACCGGAGGCCCUUCUCCGACGACCAGUUUGCCCCCAUGUGCGGCGGCGCCAGCGCCCUCCUGAACGCUGACGCCGCGGCGGCAGCGGAGGACCUGCAGAGUCGCCUCGCCGAAUGAAGCCGGAGAUUCUCCUUCGGGGUCUACCCCGAUCUCGAGCCCUAGAUUCCAGAGCUGGACGAUGUUCGUCCGGUCGCAAAAGCCCGAUAAGUGGUUGCAGAAGAAGCUCCACUGGCGCCGGAGAUUCGAGCUCACGCCUUCGCAUUGCGGACACGCCGAGCCCCUGACAACGAAAACUUCGUGGUCUCGCGAUGGGUCUUCGAGAGGCAACCUCGUAAGCUCGAUUUCAUCUUCCUCUGUUUCCGAAGAAGGAGCAGAGCAGGACGACGAGGAGCAGCCAUCGUCUUCCUCGCUACCGUCUAGGCAGCUCUUGAGAAAAGGCUGGGACUGAGACGGCAACACCGAGACGAGGUUGUUCUGGUACUUGAUGAUGAGGAAUCUGAUUCGGUUGAUUAGGGUGCCGAAAGAUGCGACGAGGGCGAGGAUUAGAGCACCCCAUAUCCAGAAACUGUAGGCCUGCGAAAUUGUCCCGACGGAGAACGAGAGAAACUGAGAGAGAAAGAUGGGUCUUGGAGAGAGCUUAUGCCCGUUUCGAAAUCGCCUAUUCUGUUUAGGACUGGCAUCUCUCAUUCGGUUCAGUUCGUAUUCGGUUCGGGUCUCAUUCGGUUUAGUUUGGAAGUAUUUUUUAACGGUUCGGUUCGGUUCGGUUUUUCAAAAAAAACGGAACCGAACCAAACCGUUGACAACCCUAGUUUUAACCCUCCAGGGCCUAAACAAUCGUCUUCUCUCGAAUCUUUGGACUGAGCCAUUGCUCGAUGAGCUUAUUGCUUCCUCACAUGACCAGACAAAUCCUCGCCUCCAUCAGCAGCGCNNNNNNNNNNNNNNNNNNNNNNNNNNNNNNNNNNNNNNNNNNNNNNNNNNNNNNNNNNNNNNNNNNNNNNNNNNNNNNNNNNNNNNNNNNNNNNNNNNNNNNNNNNNNNNNNNNNNNNNNNNNNNNNNNNNNNNNNNNNNNNNNNNNNNNNNNNNNNNNNNNNNNNNNNNNNNNNNNNNNNNNNNNNNNNNNNNNNNNNNNNNNNNNNNNNNNNNNNNNNNNNNNNNNNNNNNNNNNNNNNNNNNNNNNNNNNNNNNNNNNNNNNNNNNNNNNNNNNNNNNNNNNNNNNNNNNNNNNNNNNNNNNNNNNNNNNNNNNNNNNNNNNNNNNNNNNNNNNNNNNNNNNNNNNNNNNNNNNNNNNNNNNNNNNNNNNNNNNNNNNNNNNNNNNNNNNNNNNNNNNNNNNNNNNNNNNNNNNNNNNNNNNNNNNNNNNNNNNNNNNNNNNNNNNNNNNNNNNNNNNNNNNNNNNNNNNNNNNNNNNNNNNNNNNNNNNNNNNNNNNNNNNNNNNNNNNNNNNNNNNNNNNNNNNNNNNNNNNNNNNNNNNNNNNNNNNNNNNNNNNNNNNNNNNNNNNNNNNNNNNNNNNNNNNNNNNNNNNNNNNNNNNNNNNNNNNNNNNNNNNNNNNNNNNNNNNNNNNNNNNNNNNNNNNNNNNNNNNNNNNNNNNNNNNNNNNNNNNNNNNNNNNNNNNNNNNNNNNNNNNNNNNNNNNNNNNUACUAGAUAGGAUAGGAUAUGAAAUCCUUGGAUUUUUUUUAUAUCUUGUCCAUUGUUUGGUGAAUCGCAGUAUUAAAAUCGAAUAUGUUUCAUCAUAUCAUGUACAUUUUUUUUUAAUAUAUAAAUGACAUAUCAUUAUAAAUGAACUUAAAUGUUCAUAAGGGGGAGAUGGUGAAACUCCUCUCGUAAUACUACUCCAUAAUUUAUUUUUAUCUUAUCUCCUCCUCUUUUAAAUAUUAUUUUCUUUAUUAUUUAUUUUUCCCCUUUCAUUAUUAUUUAAUAAAAUUUUAUCAAAUAGUAAACUGUACUAACAUAUAUAAAAUACAAAAAUACCUAAAAUAUAUAAUAAAUAUAAAUAUUUAAUUUAUAGAUUGAAUGUUUAUUAUAAGAUAGAAUUAAAAUUGAAUAUAUAAAUUAAAAUAGGAUUAAUUAAAAAUGAUUUUUUUAUUUUUAAUUUCUUAAAUUAUAAUUCAAAUAUUAUUUAUAUUGAAAUAUAAUUUCAAAUUUAUUAAUUUAAUAAGUUUUUUAUUCGAGAGAAAUAACUUUCAUAAUAUGGACAUUAGAAAUCCUAUCCGCUUUUAUCUCACCUCCCCCAGAGGAUAAUUUUAUCCUGUCUAUAUCCCAUUUAUAUCCAACUUUAUCCUGUCCUGAGUGAGUACCAAACAUAGGAUAGGAUAAAUCAUAUCCUAUCCCGAAUUUUAUCUUGAUUGCCAAACGCAACCUUAGCGUUUGACUAUCACUGAUAUAAAGUAUAGCUUUUAACCUAAAAGCAAAACUGAUAGAAAAGACAAAAAAAGACCCUAAAAAAAUUUGGCUUCACCCGCCAACAAUCUCCCACUUGAAGCACUAUGUAACUUAGCAUCCAUCUACUUCAAAAUCUAGUAAAUGAAGUUUGUACCUUUGCAAUACUUCUCAUCAAUUAGGAUAGAGUAAUACCAAUUGUAGUGUCGACACCUACAUUUCAAAUGUUUAUAUAGGCUUUAAUUACAUAGAAAAUUAGGGAUUAAUUUUUAACCCCUAAACGCUCUCCCUCGUUCUACAAAAUAGAAAAAAGGUGGACGAUGGAUGGAAGCAAAGGUGGGACGGGAAUGAGGAGUGCGCCUUUUGGGUCAGGAGCAGGCCGGCACGGUGAGCUGGCGGUGGCAGAGGCGAUGCAUGCCUGCCUGGCAUUAGAGGGGGGUCGAACAGAGGAAGAAAUGGACGAAGAGAGAAAUAGGGAGAUAGGGGGGAUUCAGCCGAGAGGGAGACCACGAGUCAGAGAGCAGAAAAUUUGCCCCGGCUGAGCGUCAUUCAGCCAUCCUCGACACAAACCGGCGUCCCCUAGUUGUUACACAGCGUCCGAUUUUUGGUGAGUUGAGUUUCGGUUUUGAUCCGCCAUUUUCCCGUGGUUCCCAGCUUGGCGAAACUGAGAUGGCUGGCUAGAGUUCGAUUCACAUUGAGACCGGCUUUCGGCCAUUGUCGCCAAGCCGGGUAAGGCCCCCGUGGUUGCGCAGUCCCGCACCCCUUUUUUGUCCUUUCCUUACUGCUCUGUUUUUGCCCUGUUUCGGGCACGCCGGGCCGGAGCUCGCGGCCGUCUGGCUCACGCGUUUGGCCCCUUCGCCGUGUUUUGAUAUUGUUGGUCUGGUGGGUCGUAUGUCGAGGGUAUUGUGCAAGUUUGAGUCCCAGCUGAGCUAGGAGCCCCUCGUUCAGUAUCGCACGCGAAAUGCCUCAACGAGAUCUAAUUUUCGUCUCCUCCCCUUUUUGCCGAAAUCAAGUCGUCCGAACUGUUGUGUUCUAUUGCUAUGUCCCUAUGAUGUUUUCCGAUACAGGCACGACCAUUUGGUCGCUUCACUGCCCCUGCCACCACGGUCAUUCACUUUGUUUUGUGUUUCGGCUUUGUGGCCGACGAUAAUGGAGGCUUGUUAUUGUGUUUCGGCCAUGCUGGCCGUCGCCAAGAGUCCAGAGCCAUUGGAGUUAGAGCAUGGUCAGGCCAAGGGCGACAAAGUCGUCGGCUCAUGGCCAUUUGGAGAAGACGGUGGCAGCGGGAGGUCCGAAGGAAUUUGGUUAGAAGGCUUAAUUAGGUUUAAUUAGCAUGUGCUUAAGUUAAUUUAAUGGGUUUAGGUUCGUUUAUGUUUUCAUGGAGAAAAUAUGGUCUCACCACAUCAUCAGCUGACAUAGCGAGAAUUUUUCGCUCUCAUCCAAUAGCAGCUCGACACGAGUAUGAUGAUGUGGAAUUAAUCACAAAAACUAAAAACUUCAUUUCUCUCUUCCUCUCCCCCAGCGUGAUCGUCACCACCGCCCAAGCCACUGCAACCUCCAUCCUCGAGCCCUCCGCAUCGUCGUGGCUGUCGCACCCUCGCCGUCAAGGUUCAUGACCAUGGACAAUUUGCGGUCACCAGAUCUGUGAAUGAGGCGCCUCGGAGCCAUGGACAAGCAAAGCUUGCGGCCAUGGAUGAUGGAGGACCCCUUCUGGCGUCGCUCGCAGUCGGCUCGAGCAGCCCCUCCGGCUCCAUCUUUUUCUAUUUUUCUCUAACCUCCAGAUCUGGGACCACGUCCUUCAUCCAUGGCUGUCGUCACUUUCGCUGGCCUCGUUCUCCAAAUCUCCAGAUCUAGCCAUUCAUGGCCGAACACAUUCGGGCAUCAAGGAAGACGAACAGUGGAAGAUGAAGUUGAAGACAAACACACGAACAAAGGAAGGCAAAGCGAAAGACAAACAGAGGACGACAAAGCUGAAGACCAGAUCUAGAGCCACAGUGACAACAGGAAGCCGAAGCUACCAGAUCUAGAGCCAUGGUGAAAGUAGGAAGAUGAAGCGACCAGAUCUGGCCGGUGACCCGAAGAUGAAGACGAGCAGAUGCUGGGAAGAAGACAGAGCUGAAGACGAAUUGAGGAAGAAGACGGAAAGGGUGACUCGAUUUGGAUGUGCAAUUGGCUUGGACACGGCGUUGAUGCCAGCAACAGUGGAAGGUGUGGAGGUCAAGCCCAAGAGGUGGCAUGGACGGAGGAGCAACAAAGGAGGAAGAGAGGGAAAGUGGUGGAACGAGAGAAUUUUUAUUUUUCAUUUAAUUCCAUGUCAGCAAAUAUGUGAUGGAAGCAAAAAAAUGCUUGCCACAUCAGCUGAUGACAUGGUGAGAGCAAACCGCUGAAUAUUUUCUCGUUUUCAUGGGAGUAAAAAAGUGUAUUGGUUUUAGGGUCAACUAGGAUUUAAUAAGCUUGGGUCUAGUUCUAGUUAUAUUUGGACUAGUGAUUUCCGGGUCUAAUUUGCGUUAGGGUGUGUUUGUUUCACGAAAACUUAAUAAUAUAAGUAGUAAAAUAUGUUCAAGUAUAUGGUUAGUUUUCCUUUAUUUGGUAAUAUAUAAUUGAAAAUGUUUUUGGAUACUUGGAUAUUAUUGCAAAAUGAUUUCAAUCUCGUUACUUUAUUUCAAGCAAAAAAAAAAAAUCAAAUUUUUUAUCUUUUAGAAAAAAAUUGAAAUUUUAUUUUUCUUUUUUUUUUUCAAAAAAUCGAAUUUUUAAUUUUUUGUAAUAAAAAGACAGUGGAUUCUCAUUAAAGUGACCAUUAUCCAAACCAUAGAAUAUACUUACAGACAAGCUCUUCUUGAGAGGAUGCUCAACAUCCGGUGCACAUGAUUGCACUCAAUCGAGCAGUCCACAAAAACAUAGCAACAUAACUAGACUAGGCAUUCAGAUAGUCAAACAAAUGCAAGAAAGCAGACCCUUAUACAGCUAUUACCAUAUGAAGCUAGAGCUAGAGCUAGAGCUUGAGCUCAUGCUUAAAUACUCAAAGAUAAACCACACAAUUACAUUCAACUAAACACCAACUACCACCCCAUUCGUACCUGUACUUCAGCAAUUAGCUGGUGAUCCGGAGCUCGAGUUCAGGCCCGUGACUCCCGCCAUUGAUGGAGUUAAUGAAUCCACCAAAUUCCUCCAGCUGAGCGGCACUGAAGAAGAAAAUGCGCACGAGAGUGAAAAGUGGCAUUGAAGGACUUGAAGCUCAUGGACAUCGAACGAUGGACUUGAGUUUGCGAGGAGCGAAUGAGGAUUGGGCGCAGAGUUGCCGAGGAUGAGCGACAGCGAUUUGCUUGAGCAGCAGAUCGACUUAACCACCUCAUUCCGAAAAUACAGUUGAGGCCCUUUUUCCCCUUUCUUUUUUCUUGUUCUUUUGCUGUCUCUAUCUGGCUCUCUCUUUUCUCCUCUUCAUUUUGCCGACUGUCUUUCUCUUCCUUUUCUUCUCCUUAUUUUCCUGGUUCUGCAGAUAAGAAACAAUAAGGUGAGUUGAGGCGAGGUCUCUUGGGCCUAAAUUUCUCUUAAGAAAAGCCCUUCUGUUAUAGAUGGUGAAGGAUGUAAUAGCCGCAACCUCACCACCGAAGUGGACACGCGCACGCACGCACACGGAGCAUAUGGAGAUUCCCAGUGAGAUGAGGAAUUUUAAUAAGAUUGUCCUUGUCGUUUUAGAAUCAGUCCAUUCUCUCUCUUCAUCAUAAUAAAGCAGAAAUAGAAAGCAAGUACAGCAGAAGAAACGGCGAUGAUCUAUGAAUAGAAAGAAGGCGUACCGUAUCCGUAGAGAAUCCCCUGUUUCAAUUUCAAAGUCCGUCCCUUGCUCUGAUCUAUUCAGAAUCUUCUCUCUGUAAGACUCCCAAGAAGCGUAAGAAUGAGAUGGACCACUAUCGAGUAACUUCCCACUACAUACUAGGAUUAUCAAGCACUUAUUUGGUAUUUUUGAGCUCGAUGCAUCAGAAAUCCUUUCCAUUGAUUUGCACCCAUUAAUUUCCAACCGAUACAAAGACUCUAAAUCGUCAAUGCCCUUGAUAACCUGUAGGCUUGGGCACCGGCCAAUCGUUAACCGCUUGAAGAUCUUCAAGUUUGACAAACCGCCUAAGCUUUUUAGGCACAAAACGGAAGCACCAAGGAAGUAAAUUGAGAUGUACAACCACCUGACCAAGCACCUUGCUACAAAGUGGCUCACUUUUCUCUCUUCUUUCAGUUCAAAUCAGAAGAUCAAUACAAAACGGAGAACAGGAACACGGGAAUAAUCAAGAAGCGAGAAGAUCUGGAGUUUCUGCUUCAACAGAAAACAAAGCCGCGUGUACUUUGUCCAACCAAUUGUCCAGUCGGUCACACAGUAAUUUGAACUAUGGAAUCCCAGAAACUCUGGGUUGCACCCAUGAAACGCAUAAUGUUCCCUCAACUUGAUCGAUUAUGCCCUCAAUAUGAUGAAUCUGAGUUGAGAUUCUAAAUGUUUAGACUCUGUACAAUAAGGUAAAUACUUGAAUAUCAGUUUUCCAUUACGUAUGCUGGAGCAGAGAACGUGCAAGCAAUUACAAAAUCCAGGUAUUUGCCAUGACUGCUUAUGCAAAAAAGGAAAUCGUACUCCAGAUAUUUAGCAACAGCACAAGGACAAUCUACGAGCAUGAAUAACUCAAAGUAAUCAUCUUUUACAUCCCCCCAAUUAUGAAACAUAGCAUCAACAUGAAAGGAAUAAUAGAAAUGCCGAUUCACAUCAGCCCCCACUUGUUGCAUGAAGCUAUUUAUGGUUGAUAAAUACUAGCUAAGUCUCCUAAUAGUGCGCAUGUUCACAGCAGCCAGUUUAGGCACAUUCUGUGCAACCAACCCACAAACUUCUAGCCCCUUCAACCAUAUGCAGCAGACCUCAAAUUACCAAUGGAAAAUACGACUGCUCAAGAAGAGAACCAAGAAGAGAAGCACUGUUCGCUUCAUUUUCAAUCAUUAAAGCCCCUCACAGGUAAUAAAGAGACAAUGGAUACUCAUUAAGAUGAUCAUUUUUCAAACCUUAGAAUAUACUUAACAGACAAACCCUUUGUGGGAAGACGCUCAACAUCCUGCGUAGAAAGUUUUGUGCGCUCUGCAAUAACAUUCAUGGGGAUGGUUCGAUUCUUAGAUGGUCGACUACAAACAUCUACAUUGCCAUUCUUUAACGAAGCUGUAAACUCUGUUUCCCAAAUUUUGUAACUCUCUAAUCUUAAGUCAGCUCACCAAAAUACCCAUAAUUCUUGUAAUACCCCAACUAACAGAUGCACAGAAGCAUAGCAACAUGAAUAAACUAUGAAGCUAUUACCAUAUGAAGCUAGAGCUCGAACUCAUGCUUCACUGCACAAAGUUGAUCACAUUCAACUAAACACCAACUGCCACACUGCUCGUACCUGUUCUUCAGCGAUUAGCUGGUGAUCCAGAGCUUGAGUUCAGGCCCAUCCGUCCUGCCACUGGUGGAGUUAAUGAAUGCAAUCAAUGGAGCCUCAUGUAGCACCCGAAUUCCUCCAGCCGAGCAGUUCUGAAGAAGAAGACUUGAAGCUUGCAGACAUGAGAAUUGAAGCUCGCGAUGGAACCUGGGAAAGAAGAGAGACGGCGGACAAUGAACUGAAGCUUGCAAGGAGCAAGCAAACAGCAGCGAGGACCGGGUGAUCAAGAUUUGCUUGAGCAGCGGGAAGAGAGGAGGAAGAAGAAAACAUGAAGGAGAAGCCUAAUCGCUGGUGCACGUUUUAGAAUCUGUUUGUUGUCUCUUUUUACUAGAGGAGAGCAGAAAUGGAAAGCAAAUAAAGCAGAACAGUCAUGAUCUAUCAAUAGAAAGAAAGGCGCACCAAGGAUCCCCUCUUCAUGUUUCGGAAUUCCUGGUUUCACAGAAUCCGAAUUCAUUCCGAAUCUUCUCUCUUAAAGACUCCCGAUUGCCACGAUAAGCAAACCAAUUGCCGUGUGGGCUCCAACUAGAUCUUAUGUCCAUCUGGCAGUCAUUCAGUAUUUUUGAGCUCGAUGCAUUACCCCAUAUCGCAUAACUCCCCAGGAAAUCUCAACAGCUGCAAAAACUCUAAUUCGUGGAUGCCCUCCUCACGGCGCAGCUUCUCGCAGUCUUUAGUAUGUAACCUCUUCAAUUUCUUCAAGUUUGACAAACCUUUCAUCAUUCCUAAUGAACCACACCUUUCAACAGUAAAUACUUCCAAUGAUUCCAACGGAGAAACAAAAUUGAUAGCUCCUACCUCCACGCAACUCUCCAUAUGGAACUCUCGAAGCAUCUUCAGGGAGCUUAGGACAAGGAGUUUUUUAUCGAGAGGGCAACCAUCAAGUCGCUCGUGCACCUCUUUUUUUCUCAAUUCUUCCGACGGGGGUAGCCCACUGAGAUGUACAAGUUUCACUCCAGGGCAGGAGAGCUUUAAAACUAUCAAGGUUGACGGAAGUUGUAAGAGGGUUCUGAAGUUUAGUCCACGGAGAGUGUAAUAUUAUGCAAUAAUGUAAUAUUAUGUUAGUGGGCCCCAAAAGAAGAAACUGAAAAAGAAACUGAAAAGUCAGUAAAACAAAAAGGAGAGGGGAGAGGGCUCGGCUAAAUAGAAGCCGAGAGUUCCCUCGACCAAAAAGAAAAGAAAGAAAAGACGAAGAAGAGGAAGGAGAAGAGAAAAAGGGAAAAAAAGGAAAGGAAUUUUGGCACGUGCACGUCUCGGAUGCCUCGCCAAGCCGACUCGACUCCAUAACACAACACCCGGUAAGAGAUCAAGCCCCUUGUUUGUCCGAUUGAAGUAAUUUUUGGAUUUAGGACUUAAAUUCAAAAUUUUUGGAAAACUGAGUGGCGAGGUCUAAUUUUGGAGUCAUUGAGCCGCGUAUUUUUGCAAGAAUGAUAAUUUAGGGUGUUGUAGAGCCGUGGGAUUUUACGGAUCGUGAUUUGAGCUUAUGGUUUGUCCAAAACAGAAUUUCAAAGUUUCCCGCGCGCAGUGAACAGUACGCGUCCAGCAGCUUUGGGCCCGUAUUUUGUCAUUUUUCAGCUUGAUUUUGGGAUGGCCAAGUCAGGAUUCUUGUGAUAUGUUUCAAGGGCUCUCUAUUGAAUAUAAGUACGUUCGGAUCGGAGUUCGGAAGAGAAAGUUAAGGCGCAAUCAAGUUUUGCACUUAAAUUUCGUGUUGCGAAUGGCUUGAACAAUCGCUUUGGUUAUGCAAUUCGUUAGCGCGUAGAAGUCCUUUUGUUAGAAUUAAGGCGUAAUUUAGUUAUUUCGAAGUAGAGACAGUGUUUUAUUAGAUUUUAACAUUUUUCUCGGUUAUUUGAUAGGACCUUGAAUUCGACGAUACGAGUAUCGUUCGUCGUUUGGUCAUCGACGACAAGGUGAGUGGUACUAUAUCUUCUUUGGUUUUAUAAAAUCAUGUCUUGAAGUAUGUAUGUAUAUAUAUUGAAUCAAGAAGAGCAUUUUUAUUGCAUAAAAGUCAGAUCGAGCAAUUGCUACCCUUUGGUUGAUUGUGAAUCUUUGAAAAGCACGUUAUACAAGGUUUGUGGAGAAACAUAUAUAAAAUUGCUUUGCGACUGAUUUAUGAAAAAGUUUAUGAUGAUUUGAAAAACAAAUAUGAAAAUGGAUGAUGGGCUAUGUUGCAAAAUGUUAUUUGUUUGGUUUGAGAUAUUGAUUUUUGGAUUGGAUUUCUGGUAUUGGAGAAUGGUUAUUUAUGCUCAAUAUGACUGUGAAUCUAGUGAUGGAUUUUUGGGGUAUGCAUACCAGGUUUAGGAUAUCCUUCUGGGCCUAGCCGCCGGCUUUGUAGGUGGAGACCUUGCCAAGGGGGAAUCUUGGUCGCCUUGUCACAGGGCGUUGUGUCGUGACCAUGGUUAGUAAUUGAGUAAAAGAUUAAUCAAUGGAUAGACCAUUGAUAUGUGUUUUUUUGAUGGAGAUUAUUCAAUGGAUUCGACCAUCGAUACUUGACUUUUGAUGGCGAUUCAAAUGAGUUUUCCAUAUUAGUAUAAAUUUUUGAUGAUAAGAAAUAACUUUGAUAUGAUUCGAUAUGUAUUUUAUAUAUUGAAUUGGUGUUAUGAAAUUUGGUAUUGCUUUGUAUACAUGCAUAGUGGUUGUUCGAUCUGCUUAGAAGAUAUGUACUACUCACUGAGCUGUGGUUGCGCAUCCCAUUCCUCCUUUAAUCUUUUCAAGUUCCUCAGCUAGCGGCGAAUAGAGCGAGUGCGUAGUCGGUGGGAACUUUUGGGGAGUUCUAUUUUGUUUUUGGUAUGGUUUAAGGAAGUGGUGCAAAUAAUACUUACUAGUAGUUGGAUCGUCUGAGUUUUAAACGUAUAUCUCUUUUGGUGGAUUAUAGAAACUCUGAUGUUGCAACCAAUUUGUUGGUUCAUCUGAUAUAUAUAUAAGUUAAUAUCAGUUUGUUGUUUGUGUUUGAGGCUGCGUCCUGUGUAAAGAAGGACGGCCGUGUCAUUCCCAUUCUUUGUGGUUUUGGGGUGUGACAGAGAGUAAGUUCUUUCAGCAAAUAAAGGGAACCCAACUCCGUAGUUGGUGUACGGACAUACCAUAAGCACAGUGCAACUUGCUCAAUUUGGAUAAACUCCCAAUCCACCUCAAGUCACCGGUUGGAAUUUCUUUCGAUGUGGACAACCCAUUGUCAGAGCCAUCGGAUAGGAACAAUUCAACUAGAUUAGUAAGGUUUGAGAGGUUAGGGACACGGCAAUGAUUUAGAUAUCAAUCGUGGAGUAGUCAAAUUUCUGGGGAGCCCCGACCACUCUCUUAUCCUAUGACAAUAUUCCAAGUUCAAUGUUUGGAGGUGAAGCAAUUUCCUCGUUAUACUGGGUAGUUCUACAAUUGGUGUGUGUGAUACUUUGGUGGAGGACAGUCUCCGUUGUCUACCAAUGAAACCUAGUAAUCUUGUUGUGCAUGGUAUAUCUAGCUUCGUCGACGACUCAAAUUUCGAAACUGAAUUCAGGAGCUCGCUCAAGUGAUUACAUUUACAAACAGAGAGGCGUCGAAGAUUCCGUAGCUCUCCAAUUUCUUCAGGCAAUUUUUAAGUUUCGGACAUGACUUAAUACGCAAGUCAAUCAGCUGCCUCAGUUUUCCAAUAGAGCGGUCAAUUCCCUUCAAAGAUGGACAAUGACAAAUAGUCAACUUCUCUAAAACUAAGUACUCAAGAAAGGUUGGUGUCCCAUGUAUCGAGUAAUUACUUUCAAGAGUGAGAACCUUCAAUUUCGUUGCCCCCUACAAAAGCAAAUCAAACAUUAGGACAAACAAUUAGAUGUAUGUACAAGAAAUAAAUAUGAAAUUAGGCUCCCAACUGGGAUCAUAUGUCAUCUGAUCCUCUCACUAACUGAGAAAAUUAUACUACAAAUCCAUCAAACUAUGUCCUUCAUUGAAUGAGAAAAUUAGAACAAGAGAGAAAGUCACGUACCUUGAUUAGGUAACUGAUCUCAUCUUUGCUGAGGUUAGAGGAACGAAUAUUAAUCACAACCACGUUUUCUAGACCCAAAUUGGUUUGCGAAUCAAGUUCUCCAGAAUAACCUGUUUUGCCUGUCAAAAUGAUCCAUUUCAACUUGGGAAGACAGCCCGUGAAGUCACCUUCGCAGACUACAUCACUCAACCAAAGAAACUUGAGACGUGGGAACCGCCUAAGUUGCUCUGCUGUGAUAGUUGUAGGAUUGCUAGAGGUCGUUUGCAAACAGAGUGCUUGGACGCUUUCCUUCAUCUGCUAAUGACAUUGAGGAGCAGAAGCAAGAAUUUGUCAAUAAUGCCACGAUUUAAUUUGUCCAAGGGAAGAAAAAAAUUGAACAGUAAAGUAGCUCCCAAUUCAAAAACGUGAUUAAAUCCUCAAUUAAGAACAUGGUAAGCAAUUUUCUAUUCAAAUUUGGUCAUACUUCACCUCUAUUGAUCUUAAUUCGCAAAUUAUGUCAUCUUCAUUCCACAACCCGGUACGGUCUUGCAUAGCAAUUGCCCUUCCGAGAUCUCUACAUUGAUCAUGCAUCCAAAUUUCAUCAUUUUUUAAAACCUUUAUCAUGCACCUAUUAAUAAGGACAUGAAUAGCAUACUCCGCCUUAAGCCCACAAUAUUUCCACCGGUAGAUUAGAUCAGCCUUUUUCCAACCGAUGAAAAAGCAUGCAACAUCGAGAAAUAUGUGUUGUUGAUCCAGCUCUAAGGCAUCAUAACUGAUCCUUAGCUUUCCCAACACAUCCCUAUGAGGUGUUUCCCUUAGCUUCUCUAGCAUCUCUUCCCAUAUUGUUUCCUCUUUCUCACCAAAAAGCAAUGAACCUAUAGCUGUAAGAGCUAAAGGCAAUCCACCCGUAGUUGAGACAAUGCCUUUGGAAAGAGUGUAAUAAUUGGUAGGAGGAGAGCUAUCAUCAAAGGCAUGCCUACUAAAAAGCUGGAGUGCAUCUUUUUUGUUCAAACCCUCCAUUUCGUAACACAAGAUUUUAUACUUAAAUCCCCUGAUUUUUAGAACACUUUUGUCCCUAGUGGUAACAAGUAUCCUAGUACCAGAACACAGAGUUCACUUCAAUUAGUUUUUGGAUUUGGUUGUCCUCAUCAACGUCAUCCAAUACAAUUAGCAUCUUCUUGUUGCAAAUUGUUUGUCCAAUCAUAGUGAUCCCCCGAUCCAAGUUAUCAAUAUUAAGAUCCAAUCCAGAAUUGGAGAUAUCGGACAAUAAUUUUCUUUGCAACUUGACCAACGAGCCCUUGGCUUUUGCCAUUUCCCUCACAUCUUCAAGAAAGCUGCAGUUUUUCCCAAAGCGAGGACAUAGUUGGUUGAAGAUAAUAUUGGCAAGUGUUGUUUUACCGAUGCCACCCAUCCCGUAAAUUCCAAUGAGCCGAAUGUCACCGGAAUCGAUGUCUAAUAAAUUAUUUAUGACUGUUAUUCGAUCCUCCAUUCCAACUAAAUCUUUGGUCACUUGUCUUUGUCUUGUCUUGAGCCUAGUCACCACCUCCUUAACAAUGGACUUUAUAAGAUCCCCAUGGCUGCCACAAAGUUGAACAGUUUGAAUUGAAGAAAGGCAACAAAUUUGCAUGUUGACCAACUAUCUACUAAGAAACCAAGUGGGAGCACGACCAAGUUUAGGAUAUAUAAAAAUUCAACAUUACCCCCAAAAGCUUCGGGAACAUGAUGAAUUACAAACUUCAACGUCCAUUACAAGUUUAAGUUAAAGGAAUAGAAGAAGAGAUAUGUUUGAUCUUUAUAUCAAGUAGGAGAAUCAAAAUUGCUGGCAAAAAAAAGUGGAAGAAUAAAAAUAUAAAUGUUUGACGAACUAUUGUGAUAGCAAAUUUUCUCACUUCAACGUGGAAAAGAACUUUGCAAAGGCAAAGUUCCUUAAUCAAAGCCAAACUAGUAUGCAAUAAAAAUCUUAAGACAUACAUGGAUCAAAUCAGUAUAAAGAAAGAAGCAAAGCCAAAUUUUCAUAUGAGGAAUAUUAGGUGAAAAAAACAAUCAUAACAACCCCAUUAGGUCAGAAAAAUUUGGAAACCUCAUGACUUAAAAUAGCAAAAGAAAAUUUUGAAACUUUUUGUUUAAAUUUAGGGAAAUUAGAGUCGGACUAUAAUUGGUGAAUUUUUAUGAGAACCGUGGUGGCUUGAUUGUACAAAAUAAUUUUCAAAAUCAUGGUUAGAUUGUUACCCCAAAUAUUUCUCUAGUUCCCAUCCCUUGGCACCGCCAACUUCUUUAAGAGCUUGGCACCACACCUCUACAUCCUUGGAGCUGAACUUCUUCUGUUCCUCCAUCUCUUGCUUUAAUUUUGAUAUGGCAUUUCCAUACAACAUGGAUUUCAGCUUCAUAUCAUAUGGAUUCACAUCAUAGAAGAUGGGCAAUAUGACCUUCUUCUCAUCUUCUUUAGAUUUAGAGGUGUUCUCCACCAUCUUUGCAAGCUCACGGAGGCACCAAUGACUUGAAGCGUAAUUUUUGGAAAAAAUAGGUAUGUAGAGCUUGGAAUCGUUGAUCGCUUGUAGAAGGUUGUCACUAAUGUUUUCACCCAGUCGAAGCUCUUCAUCAUCGAUGAAAACACGAAUCCCAGCAUCUACCAAGGCAUGAUAGAGGCUGCUGGUGAACCCACGACGAGUAUCUAGCCCUCUAAAACUAAGGAACACCUGAAACUCGCUUCCUGUAGUAUUGCCGGUGCUUGAUCCUAUCUCUGACUUCGCCAUAGGAACUCAAUUCGCACGCGCACUUAGCAAAGUCAACGCUGCCCUCCCUGCACGCGCAAUUAGCAAAGUCAACGCUGCCAACCCCUACGCCGGGGGACUUCUAGGCAAUUUCGUAUAAAGUCUUGUGGCUCUUAAUUGCAAUUAGAGGACUUUCAAUCGGACUUUCAAUCGGACUUUUUGGCAAAAAUAAUAAUACAUUCAGUGAUGGGGAGAGCUUCGAUUACAUUAUUAAUGUGAAAAGCUUCUCCACCAGAUCAUCCUCCCUCAAAAAUUUACAAAAGGAGAACCCAUGCAUUACAUUAGAAAAAGGAAAAAUGGAUAUUUAAUUAUAUGAUAUAAACAAUGAAGCCCGAUGCCACUUUCCUUAGUUAGAGAUACCAUUUUGGACGUUUGUAUUGCGUGGCUCUUGGAGUUUAAUUGAAAAUUUCACGGAUAAAAACUCUUAAUUCCAUUCAACAUAAAAAACACGUCAAGGCAACUUCGUAGCGGGUGCAACUUCCAAUUCGUAGUUACUAAAGUCGAUGGCUUUAUAAAAAAAAUGAGGUGGAGGACAAAAAUGAAUCUGUACCUUUUCUAUAGUUUCACAUAUUUAAAAUCCUAAUCCAAUAUUGUAAGAUAACAAUAUAUAUAUAUAUAUAUAUAUAUAUAUGCAUAAUAACAAAAUAUUUCCAAAGAAUCACAUCUCAUUUGAAAAAAUGCUCCACCUAAGCACUACCCAAGCAUAUACUUACUACUUACUAUGAAAUAUUUAAUUUGAUCUCUUAAUCUUAAAGACUUACCUUUUAUUAUCAUUAAUUGCCUAUAACCACUCAAGUAUCCUCAUUAAAUGUGCCUUUGUAUUAAAUAGCAAAUGAUUGUGCAAAUCUUUUUCAACACUUAUAUCCUUACCGAUAACUACUAGAAUGUGAGCAUGGUUGUGGACAUCUAAAUUUUUGUUGUUAGAUUGUGCGUGUCUCAAAAAAAAGAAAAAAUAGGGACCAAAUUUGCCAAUAACACUAUAAUUCAAUCCCUAACCAAGAACACCUAGCUCGCACGAUUUAUGCAUUCCUUCCUGACAUUUGUGAUUAGAGGCAUGUUGAUUUCAAUACCUUGGGCCCGGCAUUAAAACAAACUUGGACCGACGAAGAUGACGGGCACUUUUGAGUCCCUCCCAUUUCUGAAGAACUAUUCAAGGCCACUCAACAUUACUCGAUUGGUUUUCUCCUUCUAAGUUGAUCCAUUUUUGUGCGUACCAUUAAACCUCAGCUAACCUCAUGGCUUUAGCCUUACUGGGGACAUGAAACUAAGUUAACAUGUGGGCCAUCUAGUCAACAAUCGACCAAGAGUUUCACCUGGGACCACAGAGGGAGAGCGUGUGAUACAGAAAAGAAAAGAAAGCAGAGCAGUGGGCAGUCUUGGCAAUAGGAGGAAAUAGCAAGAGGAGGACCUGUUCAGACAGUUUAUCUCGCUGCAUAUUGAAAGUGAAUUAUUAGGUGAACAAACCGAGGAUAGGAGAGGACAGCAUGCAGGGAAUGUUUAUCAUUUUCUUGCCUGUUCCUCCGUUAAUCUCGCGUGCUAACCAAUCGUUGCUGCCAUCAAAGCCAAUUCGUUUUGAAACCCCCCUUCACAAUAGUCGUUUUGACCCUGCACGGCCUGAACAAUCGGCUCCCAAUAGAAAGAAAGGCGCACCAAGGAUCCCCUCUUUAUGUUUCGGAGUCACUGGUUUCACAGAAUACGAAUUCAUUCCAAAUCUUCUCUCUUAUAGACUCCCAAUUGUCGCGAUAAGCAAACCAAUUGACGUGUGGGCUCCGUGUGGGCUCCAACUAGAUCUUUUGUUUAUCUGGCACUCAUUCGGCAGUCCUGAGCCGAAUCCAAAAACAAUCCCCACAUCGUAUUACUCCCCACGAAAUCCCAACACCUGCAUAAACUCUAAGUCGUCCCAGCAGUUAAUAUCUAACAUCUCCAAUUUCUUCAAGUUUGACAGACCUUUCAUCAUUCUUAAUGAACCGCACCUUUCAACAGUAAAUACUUCCAAUGAUUCCAACGGAGACACAAAAUCGAUAGCUCUUACCUCCUCGCAACUCCUCAUAUGGAACUCUCGAAGCAUCUUCAGGGGAGCUUAGGACAAGGAGUUUUUCAUCGAGAGGGCAGCCAUCAAGUCGCUCGUACACCUCUCUUUUUCUUAAUUCUUCCGACGGAGGUAGCCCACUGAGAUGUACAAGUUUCACUCCAGGGCAGGAGAGCUUUAAAACUAUCAAGGUUGACGGAAGUUGUAAGAGGGCUCUGAAGUUUAGUCCACGGAGAGUAAGUUCUUUUAGCAAAUAAAGGGAACCCAACUCCAUAGUUGGUGCACAGACAUACCAUAAGCACAAGUGCAACUUGCUCAAUUUGGAUAACAUCCCAAUCCACCUCAAGUCACCAGUUGGAAUUUCAUUCGAUGUGGAUAACCCACUGUCAGAGCCAUCAGAUACGAACAAUUCAACUAGAUUAGUAAGGUUUGAGAGUUUAGGGACACUCGGCAAUGAUUUAGAUAUCAAUCGUAGAGUAGUCAAAUUUCUGGGGAGCCCCGACCACUCUCUUAUCCUAUGACAAUAUUCCAAGUUCAAUGUUUGGAGGUGAAGCAAUUUGCCCGUUAUAUUGGGCAGUUCUACAAUUGGUGUGUGUGUGAUACUUUGGCAGAGGAUAAUCUCUGUUGUCUACCAAUGAAACCUAGUAAUCUUGUCGUGCAUGGUACAUCUAGCUUCUUCGACGACUCAGAUUUCGAAACUGAAUUCAGGAGCUCGCUCAAGCGAUUGCAUUUACAAACAGAGAGGUGUCGAAGAUUUCGUAGCUCUCCAAUUUCUUCAGGCAAUUUUUUAAGUUUCGGACAUGACUUAAUACGCAAGUCAAUCAACUGCCUCAGUUUUCCAAUAGAGCGGUCAAUUCCCUUCAAAGAUGGACAAUGACAAAUAGUCAACUUCUCUAAAACUAAGUACUCAAGAAAGGUUGGUGUCUCAUGUAUCAAGUAAUUACUUUCAAGAGUGAGAACCUUCAAUUUCGUUGCCCCCUACAAAAGCAAAUCAAACAUUAGGACAAACAAUUAGAUGUCUGUACAAGAAAUAAAUAUGAAAUUAGGCUCCCAACUGGGAUCAUAUGUCAUUUGAUCCUCUCACCAACUGAGAAAAUUAUACUACAAAUCCAUCAAACCGUGUCCUUCAUUGAUUGAGAUAAAUUAGAACAAGAGAGAAAGUCACGAACCUUGAUUAGGUAACUAACCUCAUCUUUGCUAAGGUCAGAGGAACGAAUAUUCAUCACAACCACGUUUUCUAGACCCAAAUUGGUUUGCAAAUCAAGUUCUCCAGAAUAACCUGUUUUGCCCGUCAAAAUGAUCCAUUUCAACUUGGGAAGACAGCCCGUGAAGUCACCUUCGCAGACUACAUCACUCAACCAAAGAAACUUGAGACGUGGAAACCGCCUAAGUUGCUCUGUUGUGAUAAUUGUACGAUUGCUAGAGGUCGUUUGCAAAUAGAGUGCUUGGACGCUUUCCUUCAUCUGCUAAUGACAUUGAAGAGCAGGAGCAAGAAUUUGUCAAUAAUGCCACAAUUUAAUUUGUCCAAGGGAAUAAAAAAAUUGAAUAGUAAAGUAGAUCCCAAUUCAAAAACGUGAGUAAAUCCUCAAUUGAGAACAUGGUAAGCAAUUUUCUAUUCAAAUUUGGUCAUACUUCACCUCUAUUGAUCUUAUUCGCAAAUUAUGUCAUCUUCAUUCCACAACCUGGUACGGUCUUGCAUAGCAAUUGCCCUUCCGAGAUCUCUACAUUGAUCAUGCAUCCAAAUUUCAUCAUUUUUUAAAACCUUUAUCAUGCACCUAUUAGUAAGGACAUGAAUAGCAUACUCCGCCUUAAGCCCACAAUAUUUCCACUGGUAGACUAGAUCAGCCUUUUUCCAACCGAUGAAAAAGCAUGCAGCAUCGAGAAAUAUGUGUUGUUGAUCCGGCUCUAAGGCAUCAUAACUAAUCCUUAGCUUUCCCAACACAUCCCUAUGAGGUGUUUCCCUUAGCUUCUCUAGCAUCUCUUCCCAUAUUGUUUCCUCUUUCUCACCAAAAAGCAAUGAACCUAUAGCUGUAAGAGCUAAAGGCAGUCCACCCGUAGUUGAGACAAUGCCUUUGGAAAGAGUGUAAUAAUUGGUAGGGGGAGAGCUAUCAUCAAAGGCAUGCCUACUAAAAAGCUGGAGUGCAUCUUUUUUGUUCAAACCCUCCAUUUCGUAACACAAGAUUUUACACUUAAAUCCCCUGAUUUUUAGAACACUUUUGUCCCUAGUGGUAACAAGUAUCCUAGUACCAGAACACAAAGAGUUCACUUCAUUUAGUUUUUGGAUUUGGUUGUCCUCAUCCAUGUCAUCCAAUACAAUUAGCAUCUUCUUGUUCCAAAUUGUUUGUCCAAUCAUAGUGAUCCCCUGAUCCAAGUUAUCAAUGUUAAGAUCCAAUCCAGAAUUGGAGAUAUCGGACAAUAAUUUUCUUUGCAACUUGACCAAUGAGCCCUUGGCUUUUGCCAUUUCCCUCACGUCUUCAAGAAAGCUACAGUUUUUCCCAAAGCGAGGACAUAAUUGGUUGAAGAUAAUAUUGGCAAGUGUUGUUUUACCAAUGCCACCCAUCCCGUAAAUUCCAAUGAGCCGAAUGUCACCGGAAUCGAUGUCUAAUAAAUUAUUUAUGACCAUUAUUCGAUCCUCCAUUCCAACUAAAUCUUUGGUCACUUGUCUUUGUCUUGUCUUGAGCCUAGUCAUCACCUCCUUAACAAUGGACUUUAUAAGAUCCCCAUGGCUGCCACAAAGUUGAACAGUUUGAAUUGAAAAGAGGCAACAAAUUUGCAUGUUGACCAACUAUCUACUAAGAAACCAAGUGGGAGCACGACCAAGUUUAGGAUAUCUACAAAUUCAACAUGACCCCCAAAAGCUUCGGGAACAUGAUGAAUUACAAACUUCAACGUCCAUUACAAGUUUAAGUUAAAGGAAUAGAAGAAGAGAUAUGUUUGAUCUUUAUAUCAAGUAGGAGAAUCAAAAUUGCUGGCAAAAAAAAGUGGAAGAAUAAAAAUAUAAACGUUUGAUAAACUAUUGUGAUAGCAAAUUUGCUCACUUCUUUCGACGUGGAAAAGAACUUUGCGAAGGCAAAGUUCCUAAUCAAAGCCAAAUUAGUAUGCAAUAAAAAUCUUAAGACAUACAUGGAUCAAAUUAGUAUAAAGAAAGAAGCAAAGCCAAAUUUUUAUAUGAGGAAUAUUAGGUGAAAAAUAAAAUCAUAACAACCCCAUUAGGUCAGUAAAAUUUGGAAAUCUCAUGACUUAAAACAGCAAAAGAAAAUUUUGAAACUUUUUGUUUAAAUUUAGGGAAAUUAGAGUCAGACUAUAAUUGGUGAAUUUUUAUGAGAACCAUGGCUUGAUUGUACAAAAUAAUUUUCAAAAUCAUGGUUAGAUUAUUACCCGGAAUAUUUCUCUAGUUCCCAUCCCUUGGUGCCACCAACUUCUUUAAGAGCUUGGCACCACGUCUCUACAUCCUUGGAGCUGAACUUCUUAUGAUCCUCCAUCUCUUGCUUUAAUUUCGAUAUGGCCUUUUCAUACAACAUGAUUUUCAGCUUCACGUCAUAUGGAUUCACAUCAUAAAAGAUGGGCAAUAUGACCUUCUCAUCUUCUUUAGAUUUAGAGGUGUUCUCCACCAUCUUCGCAAGCUCACGGAGGCACCAAUGACUUGAAGCAUAGUUUUUGGAAAAAAUAGGUAUGUAGAGCUUGGAAUCGUUGAUCGCUUGUAGAAGGUUGUCACUAAUUCUUUCACCCGGUCGAAGCUCUUCGUCAUCGAUGAAAACACAAAUCCCGGCAUCUACUAAGGCAUGAUAGAGGCUGCUGGUGAACCCACGACGAGUAUCUAGCCCUCUAAAACUCAGGAACACCUGAAACUCGUUUCCUGUAAUAUUGAUGGUGCUUGAGCCUUUCUCUGAGCUCGCCAUAGGAACUCAAUUCGCAAACGCCGCCAACUCUGUUGAAAUACUUCAAGGCAAUUUCGGAUAAAGCUUGCGGCUCUCAAUCAGAGGGCUUUCAAUCAGACCUUUUGGCAACAAUAAUAAUACAUUCAGUGAUGGAAAGAGCUUUUAUUACAUUAUUAAUGUGAAAAGUUUCUCCACCAGAUCAUCCUCCCUCAAAAAUUUACAAAAGGAGAACCCGUGCAUUACAUUAGAAAAAGGAAAAAUGAAUAUUUAAUUAUAUGAUAUAAAUGAUGAAGCCCGAUGCCACUUUCGUUAGUUAGAGAUACCAUUUUGGAGGUUUGUAUUGCGUGAUUCACGGAGUUUAAUUGAAAAUUUCACGGACAAAAACUCUUGAUUCCAUUCGACACAAAAAACACGUCAAGGCAACUUUGCAGCGGGUGCAACUUCCAAUUCAUAGUUACUAAAGUCGAUGGCUUUAUAAAAAAAUAAGGUGGAGACAAUAAUGAAUGUGUACCUUUUCUAUAGUUUCACAUAUUUAAAAUCCCAAUCCAAUAUUGUAAAAUAACAAUUUAUCUAUAUAAAUGCAUAAUAACAAAAUAUUUCCAAAGAAUCACCUCUCAUUUGAAAAAAAUGCUCCACCUAAGCGCUACCCAAGCAUAUACUUACUACUUAUUAUGAAAUAUUUAAUUUGAUCUCUUCAUAUUAAAGACUUACCUUUUAUUAUAAUUAAUUGCCUGUAACCACUCAAGUAUUCUCAUUAAAUGUGCCUUUAUAUUAAAUGGCAAAAGAUUGUGCAAAUCUUUUUCAACACCUUUUUAAACACUUAUUUCCUUAGUGAUAACUACUAGAAUGUGAACAUGGUUGUUGACAUCUAAAUUUUUGUGGUUAGAUUGUGCAUUCUUUUUUUUUUUAAAUUUAGGGACCAAAUUUGCCAAUAACGCUAUAAUUCAAUCCCUAACCAAGAACACCUAUCCCACACGAUUUUUGCAUUCGUUCCUCACAUUCGUGAUUAGAGGCAUGUUGAUUUUGAUACCUAGGGCCCGGCAUGAAAACAAUCUUGGACCGACAAAGAUGACAGGCACUUUUGAUUCCCUCCAAUCUCUGAAGAAAUAUUCAAGGCCACUCAACAUUACUCUAUUGAUUUUCUCCUUCUAAUUUGAUCCAUUUUUGUGCGUACCAUUAAACCUCAGCUAACCUGAUCGCUUUAGCCUUACUGGGGACAUGAAACUAAGUCAACAUAUGGGCCAUCUAGUCAACAAUCGACCAAGAGUUCCGCCAGGGACCACAGAGAGAGAGGGUGCGAAACAGAAAAGAAAAGAAAGCAGAGCAGAGGGCAGUCUUGGCAAUAGGAGGAAAUAGCAAGAGGAGGACCUGUUCAGACAGUUUAUCUCGCUGCAUAUUGAAAGUGAAUUAUUAGGUGAACAGCCCGAGGAUAGGAGAGGACAACAUGCAGGGAAUGUUUAUCACUCUCUCGCCUGUUCCUCCGUUAAUCUCGCGUGCUAACCAAUUAUUGCUGCCAUCAAAGCCAAUUCGUUUUGAAACCCCCCUUCACAAUAGUCGUUUUGACCCUGCACGGCCUAAACAAUCGUCUCCUCUCGAAUCUUCGGACUGAGCCAUCGCUCGAUGAGCUCAUCGCUUCCCCACCUGUCCAGAUAAAUCCCCGCCUUCCGUCAGCGGUGUGGUCGUUGCGUCACUCCGCGUUCCAUGGGUUACUCCUCUUGGCUGCUCUUCGCCAACACUAUGUUAGGAAAUCACGCGUCAAUUUAAAAAAAUAAAUAAAUAAUGCAAACGAAAGAGUCCACCAAGACUAAAUAUAAUAAUAAAAUAACAUAACGAAAAGAACACGACAUAAAAUUUAUUAUCGAAGUUCAUCCAAAGUUAGGCCAUGUUUUCGCGAAGAGACACUUUGCAAAUCUAUCAGACUUUGAAAAAGUUGAAAUAUAGCAUGAUCUUUCGUAAGAUUAGAGCACAAAUACAGUUCUCAAAGAAAAAAAGCUCACUUUUUUUUUUCUCUCUUUUUUCUUUUCUCUCUAUUUUCUUUUUCAGCCCUUUGAUGGCUAGCAUUUGACUAUCGCUGGCUUUUAAUCUAAAAGCAAAACUAAUAAAAAAAAAUGCCCCUAAAAGAAUUUGAUUUCACUUGCCAACAACCUCCCACUUGAAGAAAAAUAUACUAAUGCACCAAGUAACUUAGCAUUCAUUUACUUAAAAAUCUAGUAAUUGAAAUUUGUGCCUCAGCAAUAGUCCUCAUCAAUUAAGAUAAAAUAAUACAAAUUGUAGUGUUGACUCAUAAAUUUUUCCAAUUCAUAUAGGAUUUAAUUGUAUAGAAAUUUAGGAAAUAAUUUUGAACCCCUACACAAAAAUAGUUUUCACUAGAAUUGCAUAGCAUAUAGACAUUAGGGGCAUUUACAUUAGGAUGUAAAAAAUUAUUAUUUAUUUAAUUUAUAAGAAAAAUUUUUAAAAAUGGAAAAAAUAAAAAUAAAAAAUAAACUAAUUGAUUAAAAAAUUAUUAUGUAAAAAAGAAAGAAGAAGAAAAGAAAAAAGGAGAUCGGGCCAGGGUCAGGCCGGCCCAGCCUUCUUUCCCAUUCUUUUCUACCUUUUCUUUUUGCCUAGGCCCAGCCCGGCCCACUUUUCCUUUUCUUUUCCCCAAGCCCAGCCUCUUCCUUCAUCUUCUCCAUCACGCACUCCCACUCGCUCACGCUCUCGCGCGUUCUGCAAAAACCAAAAAGGAGGACGAAGGACGGAAGCAGAGGCGGGCAGGGGAGUGAGGAGCGCGCCUUUUGGGUCGGGAGCAAGUCGGCACGGCGAGCUGGCGGUGGCAGAGGCGAUGCGCGCCUGCCGGGCGUUAGAAGGGGAUUCGGGGGGCUCGGACAGAGGGAGAAAUGGACGGAGAGAGAAACAGGGAGAUAGAGGGAAUCCGGCCGAGAGGGAGACCGCGAGUGAGAGAGCAGAAAAUUCGCCCCGGCGGAGCGGCGUUCGGCCAUCCUCGACACAAACCAGCGCCCCCUAGCCGGUACCACCGAGCCUGGGCCCCCCAUCUUUCACGGCGUCCGAUUUUUGGUGAGUUGAGUUUCGGUUUCGAUCCGCCGUUUUCCCGUGGUUCCCGGCUUGGCAAAACUGAGAUGGCUGGCUAUUGUUCGAUUCGCAUCGAGACCGGCUUGCGGCCGUCGUCGUCAAGCCGGGUAAGGCCCCCACGGUCGCGCGCUCCGGCGCCCCUUUUUUGUCCUUUUAUUUACUGCUCUGUCUUUGCCCUAUUUCGGGCACGCCGGCCCGGAGCUCGCGGCCAUCCCGCUCACGCGAACUCCGGCUCCUUCGCCCCCGUGUUUUGAUAUUGUCGGUCUGGUGGGUCGUAUGUCGAGGGGACCGUGCGAGUUUGAGUCCCGGCAGAGCCGGGAGCCCCUCGUUCAGUGUCGCGCGUCACCCGCUCGAUGAGACGCCUCAACGAGAUCUAAUUUUCGUCUCCUCCUUUUUUUUGCCGAAAUCGACUCGUCCGCACUGUUGCGUUCUAUUGCUAUGUCCCUGUGAUGUUUGGCGUUACGGGCACGGCCGUUAGGUCGCUUUGCUGCCCCCGCCACCGCCGUUGUUUACUUAGUUUUGUGUUUCGGGCUUUGUGGCUGACGAUAAUGGAGGCUCGUUACUGUGGUUCGGCCAUGCUGGCCGUCGCCGAGAGUCCAGAGCCGUCGGAGUGAGAGCGUGGUCAGGCCGAGGGCGUCGGCUUACGGCCAUUUGGACAAAACGGUGGCAGCGGGAGGUCAGAAGCAAGUAGGUUAGAAGGCUUAAUUAGGUUUAAUUAGCAUGGGCUUAAGUUAGUUUAGUGGGUUUAGGUUCGUUUCUGUUUUCAUGGGAGUUAAUAAGUCUAUUGGUUUUGGGGUCAACUAGGAUUUAUUGAGUUUGGGUUUAGUUCUCGUUAUAUUUGGACCAGUGAUUUUUGGGCUUAAUUUGCUUUAGGGUGUGUUUGUUUAGCGAAAUCUUAAUGAUAUAGGAAAAAGCUUUCUAGUAAAAUAUUUCCUAGGAAUACAGUUAGUUUUUCCUUAUUUGAUAAUACAUAAUCGAAAAUGUUUUUCAAUGUUUGGAUACUAUUUCAAAAUGAUUUCAAUCUCAUUAUUUUAUUUUAAUAAAAAAAAAGUCGAAUUUUAAAAUUUUUAGAGAAAUUGAAAUUUUCAAUUAUUUUGUUUUUCUCUUUUUUUAUUUUUAUUUUAUUUUUUUUCUAAAAGUCGAAUUUUUAAUUUUCUGUAAUAAAGAGACAGUGGAUUCUUAUUAAAGUGACCAUUAUCAAAACCUUAGAAUAUACAUACAGAUAAACUCUUCAGGAGAAGAUGCACAACAUCCUUUGCACAUGAUCACACUCAAUCGAGCAGUCCACAAAAGCAUAGCAACAUAACUAGACUAGGCAUUCAAACAGUCAGACAAAUGCAAGAAAGCAGACCCUUAUACAAAUAUUACCAUAUGAAGCUUGAGUUCAUGCUCUACGCAAAAGAUAAAUCACACGAUUACAUUCAACCAAACACCAACUACUAGUCUGACCAAAAAGAAAAAAAAAAAAAAAACACACCAACUGCCACACCAUUCUUACCUGUUAUUUAGCAAUUGGCUAGUGAUCCAGAGCUUGAGUUCAAGCCCAUGACUCUUGGCACAGAUGAAGUUAAUGAAUGCAAUAAAUUCCUCCGGUUGUGCGGCACUGAAGAAGAAAAUGUGCGCGAGAGUGAAAAGUGGCAUUGGAGAAGGACUUGAAGCUCACGGACAUGCGAGCUUCAAGCUCACUGACGACGGAACCUGGGAAAAGAGAGAUGACAGCGAACGACAGACUUAAACUUGCAAGGAGCGAGCGAGGAUUGGGUGUGGAGUCACUGUGGAGCGAGCGACAAUGAUUUGCUUGAGUAGCGGGAGAAAGGAAGAACUCUAAUCCCAAUUCGAUUCGCAAUUUGAGACCGACUUACCACCUCGGUCCUAAAAUCCACUUCAGGCCCUUUUUCCCCUCUUUCUUUUUUCCUGUUCUUUUGCCGACUGUCUUGCUCUCUCUCUUCUUUCUGUUCAUUUUCCUGGUUCUGCACAAGGAAAUAAUAGGGUGAAACAAACGCACCCAAGCUUUUUGUUGAGGUUUUCUCCUCUUUCUUCUGCCUUCUUGUUUUGCCAACUCUGUCUCUCUCUUCCUUUUCUUCUCUUUAUUUUCCUGAUUCUGCAGAAAGAAAUAAUAAAGUGAGUUGAGGUCUCUUGUGCCUAAAUUUCUCUUAAGAAAGGCCCCUUCGUUGUGGAUGGUGAGGAAUGUAAGAUACCCAACGUCGCCACCGAAGUGGACACACACAACAUAUGGAGAUUCCCAGUAAGAUGGGGAAUUUUAAUAAGAUUUUCCUUGGUUGCGCGUUUUAGAAUCAGUUCACUGUCUCCCUUCAUUAGAAUAAAGCAGAAAUAGAAAGCGAGCAAAGCAGAAGAAACAACGAUGAUCUAUGAAUAGAAAGAACGCGCACCGUUUUCUGUUUCAGAGUCCGUUGUUUCAAUUUCAUAGCUCCACGCUUGCUUCGCUCCAUUCAGAAUCUUCUCUCUGUAAGACUUCCACCAGUCAUUCUGCACACCACCGUUAGUACGACUGUCGGGUAACUGCUCGCUAUUAUCUGUUAUGACUAUCCAGCAAUUAUCUGGUAUUUUGGAGCUCGAUGGAUCAAGAAUCCUUCCCACUGAUUUGCACCCAUAAAUCAACAAGCUAUCCAAAAACUCUAGUUCGUCAAUGCCCUCGACAACCUGUAGGCUCGGGCACUGGCUAAUCCAUAACGAUUUCAAGUUCUUUGAGUUUGACAAACCGCCUAAGCUUUUUAAAGAAGAGCACCCGUCAACAGAAAAUUCUUCCAAUGAUUCGAACGGAGUAACAAAUUGAAUAUCCAGUACCUCGAUGAACCCUGACAGACGAAAUUUUACAAGCAUCUUUUGGGAGCUUGGGAAAAGGAGCGCUCCCCUCCAAUGAUCAAUCAACUCGGGAGCUUGUAGUUCAUUGCACCCCUGCUCCUGCGGCUGACAAACCGAACUCUCGGAAGAUCUGCAAUCCUGAAUAUGUGAUCUUUCUGACGAUUCUAAGACAUUGAGAGAUUGAACAUCAAGUUGCUCGGACAGCUUGUUUUCUUUCGAUUUUCCCAAACUUGUUGGAAGGAAUGGAGUCUCCUUUUCCGAUGGAGGAAGCCCAUCGAGGUGUACUUGUUUCCCUCCAGUUUCGUAUAGCUCUAAAACUAUCAAAUUUGACGGGAGGUGUUUGAAAGUUGGCAAGUCUUGUCCCUGUAGAGUAAGUUCUUUUAGCAGAGAAAGGGAACCGAACUCUGUAGUUGGCAUGCGGACAUUUGUAAAGCAGACGUGCAGGUUGCUCAAUUUGGUUAAACUCCCUAUCCACCUCAAGUCGCCAGUUUGGAAUUUUUUUGAUGGGGUUCCAUAUAGACCGCUGCCAGAUAGGAGCAGUUGAACUAGGUUAGUGAGGUAUGAGAGGUUAGGGACAGUUUGCAGGGACUCAGAACGUAGCCGUAAAAUGGUCAAACUUAUGGGGAGCUUUGGCAACUCUUGUAUCUCAUGACAAUCUUCCAAGUCCAGUGUUUGGAGUUGACGAAACUUGCUCAUCGUACUGGGCAUUUCCGCAAUUUUUGUGUGUAAUACAUCCAGCUCCGUUAACAACUUUAUUUUCGAAACUGAGGUGGGGAGUUCAAUCAAGCUAGAACAACACUUAAGACAGAGGCACUGCAAAUUUUGUAACUCUCCAAUUUGUUCAGGUAAUUUUUCAAUUGACUGACAAUUCUCAAAACUCAAGUCAGUCAGCCACCUCAGUUUCCCAAUAGAACAAUCAAUUUCCCUUAAAGAUAUCAGUCGACAAAUAGUCAACUUCUUUAAAUUUGAGUACUCGGGAAAGGUUGGUGUCUCACUUAUAGUGAGAACCGUCUGAAUAGUGAGAUCCAUCUGAAUAGUGAGAACCGUCAAUUUCCUUGCCCCCUACAAAAGCCAAUAAAACAGUAGGACAUACAAGAAAUAAAUAUGGAUCUAGGCUACCAAUGAGAAAAUUAGAUAAUAAACUCAUCAAAUCUUGUCCUUCAUUGAAUGAGAAAAUUAGACUAAGAGGGAAACUAGCAUACCUUGAUUAGGCUAUCUAACACAUCUUUUGUGAUUUGAAGAUUAAAAAGAUUCGCCACAACCACGUUUUCUAGAUGCAACAAAUUGGUUGCCUCCAAAUGUUGAAGAUUAAUGUAUUGCAAAUCGAUCCAUUUCAACUCAGAAAGACAGCCCGUAAAGUCACCUCGGUAGGCUACAUUAGGCAACCAAAGAAACCGCAUAUGUGGAAACCGUUUAAUUUGCUCCGGAGUGACAGUCAUACCAUGAGAAAGAGCCCACGGCAAAUUGAGUGCUUGAACGCUUUCUUUGAUCUGCCAAUUCGUAGAAGAGAAGAGAAAAUGAAACAAAAGAGUAGCUUUCAAAUCAAAAAGUGAAUCUUGAAUUAAGAAGAGGGUAUAAGCAAUUUUCUAUUCAAUAUAGGCCAUACUUUACCUCCUCUGAUCUUAAUUCGCGAAUAAUGUCGUCAUCACACAAUCUGAUACGCUCUUCUCUGGCAAUUUUCCUUCCAAGGUCUCUAAAUUGAUCGUGCAUCCAAAGGCUAUUAUCGUCUAACUCCUUUAUCAUGCAUCUGUUAAUGAGGACAUCCAUGGCAUCCUCUGGGUACAAAUUACAAUCUUUCCACACGUACAUUGGAUUAGUCUUAUUCUCACCAGCGAAAUAGCAUGCAAUAUCAAGGAAUAUCUGCUUUUCAUUCUGAUGUAAGGCAUCAUAGCUAAUCUUUAGUUUUGCCAAGACAUCCUCAUGAGGUGUUUUCUUUAGCCUCUCUAGCCACUCUUCCCAUAGCUCUCUCUUUUUCCCAAAAAGUGAUGAACCAAUUGCUUGAAGAGCUAAAGGUAGUCCACAUGUAGUAUCGACGAUGCCCUUUGAAAAAGCGCAAUAAUCAGCUGGAGGAGAGUCUUCAUUGAAGGCAUGCCUACUAAAAAGUUUAAGUGCAUCUUUACUGAUCAACCCCAUCAUUUCAUAAUCCUUAAAUUCAUACUUAAGUUUCCUGUUAGUCAAAACGUUCUUGUCCCUGGUGGUAACAAGUAUUCUACUACCUCGAUGCAAAGAUUUCUCUCCGAUUAGUUGUAGGAUCUGGUUGGCCUCAUCAACAUCAUCCAAUACAAUUAGCACCUUCUUGUUGGAAAUUGUUGCUUCAAUCGUAUCAAUCCCUUCAUCAAUCUUAUUAAUUUUGUGAGCCACUCCAGAAUAAGAGAUAUCAGACAAUAAUUUUUUUUGUAGCUCGACUAUGUUCUUGUUUUUUGCCGUUUCCCUCACGUCAUCAAGAAAGCUGCAGUUUCUGCCAAAUCGAGGACAUAGUUCGUUGAAGAUAGUCUUGGCGAGUGUUGUUUUACCGAUGCCGCCCAUCCCGUAGAUUCCAAUGAACUGCACAUCAUCAGAAUCAAUGUCUAAUAAUUUCUUUAUGUUCGCUAUUUGAUCUUCCAUUCCAACGAAAUCUCCGGUUACGCGUCUCCGUUUUGUCUUGAGCUUGGCCACAACCUCGUCAACAAUAGCCUGGAUGAGUUUUAAAGGGCUGCCACAAAGUUGAACAGUUUCAAUUGAGCAAACGUGACAAAUUUGCAUAUUGACCAUCUACUAACCAACCGGGUGGGGACGCGAUCAAGUUCAAAAAUAUAGAAGAGAAAUGUUUGAUCUUUAUAUCAGGUAGAAGAAUCAGAAUUUCUGGCAAAAAAAGGUAGAAGAAUCAAAAUAUAAACAUCUAAUGAAUUGAUGUACUGGAAUAUUUACUUAAAUAAAAAAAUGGCAGCCCGAUUAUACAAAAUAAUUUUCACAAUCAUGGUUAGAUUAUUACCUUGAAUGUUUCUCCACCUCCCAUCCCUUGAUGCCACCAACUUCUAUGAGAGACUCCCGCCACGUCUUUAUAUUCUCGGAGCUGAACUUAUGCUCCUGAUCCUCCAUCUCUUGCUCCAAAUUCGAUAUGACAUCCUUGUAUAACGGUGUUUGCAGCUUCACAUCUUUGGGCUUCACAUCAUAGAAGAUGGGCAAUAUGACCUUCUCUUUCCCAUCUUCUUUAUGUUUAGAUGUGUUCUCCACCAUUUUCGCAAGCUCGUCAAGGCACCAGUGACUUGACGCGUAAUCUCUGGAGAAAAUGGGUAUGUAAAGCUUGCAACUGCCGAUCGCUUGCAAAAGGUUGCUAAUUUUUUCACCAUGUUGAAGCCCUUUGUCAUCGAUGAAACACGAAUCCCGGCAUCUACCAAGGCUUCGUGGAGGAUAUUGGUGAAUGAAAGACGAGUAUCAGGCCCUCUAAAACUCAGGAAAACCUGGUAUUCACCUCCUACCGUGUUGCUGGUGCUUGUCACUGUCUCUGAGUUUGCCAUAGGAGCUCACUUCGCACUUAACAACGUCAACCCUCUCACCUCGUCUCCGAGUUCGCAAUAUGACAUUUCACAUAUUUGAAUCCGAUCCCAUUUGCCAUCCAAAACGCGGAUAGGCAACUUCGUAGCAGGUGCUGUUUCUAGUUUACAGUCAAUCAAGUUGAUGACUUCAAAAAAUAAAAAUAAGGCGAAGGACAAUAAUGGAGAUUCACCUUUUUACACGCCCAAUGUCCUUCGAGUUUCUCCCUUGUCCUUUUCACUUUGUGCUUUUGAAAAAGAAAAAUACGGUGGAGGACAAUAAUGGAGGUGCACCUUUUUGCAUGCCCAAUGUCUUUCGAGUUUCUCCUUUUUGUUUUUUACUUUGUCUUGAUCUCUCCGCCUUGAAAACUUACCUUUAAUUAUAACCAACUUCCUUUAACAACUGAAUUAUUGUCGUAAAAUGUGCCUUUAUAUUAAAAAAUAAAUGAUCAUUUAUUUCCUACUAACAACCAUUAGAAUGUGAGCAUGGUGUAGUUAGUGCAGUUUGGAUGUCAAAUCAAGCCAAACUAUAUAAAUAUAUUUUGAGUUUGAGCACCUCGGAUGAAAUAGGAUCAGAUGAGAAUUAUAGGCGCUCGGCCACUGUUCAAAAUUGGUGAGAGGAAGUGCAGUGAUGGCUUGUCAAUGGCCAUGAUCCCAGUCCAUUGCGGUAUUGCUUUGAGCACGAAAGAAAGAAAGAGAAACCAUGAUGGUCCUGACCACAAGAGACGGCUUUUGCUCAGCUGAAGAAGGAGAAAACGAGAUCAAUGAUGGCCAUUGCCGAUAAUGGGCCGAAAGGGAAGAAGACGAAGAAAGUUGCAAGGACGGUGUCUUUUCAUGUUGGCCACUCAUUGUUUCCUUACUUCUUUAUUUGGUUCCGCUGAAUUUCCUCUUAAGUUCCAGGAGGAAGAGCUCUCGAAGUCAUAGAGAUUAGAGAGCUCUGAAGGCUGCACAAAGCAUAUCAAAAAGCGUGUCGAGAGUUCCUCUCGAUUACACCAAAUAUUUAUGUUCUAAAGAGGGUUAAAUCUUUCGUUAAGAUUUGCCACAUACUUUUAAGAGAUUGAGAAAUUUUUUCAAGAGAAAUUUUGAAGGCUAAACAUUUUAUGAAUUACUGAGUAUAACUAGGAUUUGAAAAUACCAAAGUAUUUAAAUGACUCACGUAUGAUUAUAAAUUUCGUCAUAUCUUUUAAUUUAUAAUUGAAUUUUGUACUACUCUAUCAUGAAUGUAAGUCAUAAACUGAAUCACGUAAAUUUAAUAUCUGAUUCAUUUCUUUGUUUUUUACAUUUUAUUCAUUUUUUUUUCCAAAAAUGAAUAUGGUUCGAAGGAAGUGAGACCCAACUAAAAGAUAUUCAAUAUGAUCAGUAUUAGGGGGUAUUGUUCUUUUAUUGCCAUUUUGUCCAUUGAAUCGCUCGAGGCCGUGUGUACCUUUCACUUUCCUUCCUUCAUUUUCCAUGAUUCUAUGGUCACAUAUAUUUUAUUUAUUUAGUUUUGGGCGCAACAUAUCAAUAAGUCUUUGCAUUAUUUGACAUAGAUUUUCAAGACGUUUGUUAGAGAUACAUUUUUUUAAUUAGCAUGUUUAACAUAAAUCAUUUUCAUAUUUCAUCUUUUAAUAAUUUUUCAUGAGAAAUUGAAAAUCAUUAGGAAUAUUAUCCUUCGAAAUUUGAAGUAACGAAGCUCAGAUAGAGCCAAGCCGCAAUUAUUUAUUUUUUGGCUUGUUUUAUUUAUAAAUGUCUUUCAUGGCGUUAUUGGUUGCUUUGACUUGUUGACUAAAUCGGUGCACUGUACGAAGUCUUCGAGAGGAUGGCUUGUCCACAUUUAUUUUAUCUCAUUCAUAACACUAGUAUCCAAAUCAUUGGACUCAAUUAACACCGAUUUAUAAACGCAAACCACUCCAUCCACAUACGUUAGAUUAGUUCCAUUCACAGGAUGGCUAGCAAGACACUCUAGCAAUGAGUAAGAGACACCAUGAUCAAAUUUGAACAAAAUAUUGUUUCAAGAAUAGCGUUCAAAAUACACGUAAUGCACUCAUGACGGUUUAUAGGAACUUAACUCUGCACAACAAUCCUUUCUAUCACAUGGCAAUCGGAUAUAAUAACUAUGGUCAUAUUCGAUGCACUACUUUGUUCAACUUAGUGACACCUUAUGAAAACGCUAUGGAAAUGUACAUCCUAUGCUUUCAAGCCAUUGCCUCAAACAAUUGAAAUACACGUGCAUGAUUACUUUUUAGUAAAUUGGAAGAUCACCAUAUUACAGAAUCCCCAAAAGAUGCCAAAAUGCCAUUCAUCAAAAUCACACUUUUACCUGUUUAUCAAUCACACAUGUUGCGCGCAACUUUAAUAAAUCCAAAAGGUUUUAGGCAUGUGAAAAUCGAUGUUAUCGAACAAUUAGCUUUUGGACUUAUUGCUUUGAGAGCUAAAGGUAGGCCAUCUGCUGUAGAAACAAUGCCUUAUGAAAGAAUGUAGUAAUUGAUCAAAGGAGAGUAGUCAUUGAAUGUGUUAGAGAUAGUUAGAUAUCUUCUAGAGAUAUUUAGGAAAUUCCCUUUGAUUUUCUAUAUCUACUUUGAUUAUGUAUUUGUGAUUUAAUUUCCUUGGAUAGUCAUCUAUUGAAGCCUAUAAAUAGGCUCUCCAUGUAUUCUUUUCUAUAUAUCCUAGCAUACACAAAUUCUCAUUUUCUCUCUUCCAAUUUUUAACAUUUAACUCGGUAUUAGAGCUGAUGCACCGAUGCUCCCUAAGCACUCUAAUGCACAUCGCACACCGCCACUCAACAAUCAACGGCAUCCCCAUUGUGUGCACAAGUCUAAUCUAGGGAAGCACUAAAUUGAAUCCAUUCCUUGAUGGCCAUGUUUGGACGUCAACCGUACUGGCCGCGUUGCCCAAUGGAGCCUUUAUCACAAAAGUGGCUUUUCUUUCGAUGGCAGCUGCAUAAGCCACAUCACUCGGUGGCAAUUUUCCAAGCUAGUCAUAUGCCGCAUCAUUUAAUUACUAUUUCGCAAGCUAGCCGCAUCGACCGCUUGCUAUGUCCCAGUCAAUUCUCGAACUUUCGCUCGUUGUUUCCACAAGUCAACACCACUAUCAAACCCGCCGUCCUCAAACUAGCUAGAUUUGAAAGUUAUUUCAAACUCAAGCCUUAUUCGCCGUGAGUUUGAUGGAGGAUGUUAAAGAUAGUUAAAUAUCUUCUAGAAACAUUUUGAUAUCUCCUCCGAUUCUCUAUAUCUAUUUUCAUUAUGCAUAUAUAAUUUGUUUUCCUUUAAUUUCUCUAGAUAGUCAUAUAUUAAGGUCUAUAAAUAGGCUCUCUAUGUACUAUUUUAUAUAUAUAUAUAUAUAUAUAUAUAUAUAUAUAUAUAUAUAUGUAAUACAUACAAAUUCCCAAUUUUCUCUAUUCCCUUUUUCAACAUUUAACUGAAAGCAUGCCUACACAAAGGUUUAAGUGCUUCUUCAUUGCUCAACCCACAAAUUCAUAAUUUUGAAUUUUUACUUAAGCCGCCUCGAAUUGGAAUGCUAUUGUCCCCAAUGGCAACAACUAGUGGCAACAAGUAUGCUGGUACCAAGAUACAAAGAAUUCACUCUGAUUAGUUUUUGGAUAUGGUUGUCCUCAUCGACAUCAUCUAAUACAAUUAGUAUCUAUUAAUGUUUAUCAAUGUCACCACUCUAGAAUAUCAAAUAGCAGAUAAUAAUUUUUCUUGCAACUGGACUAAUAAGCCCUUAGUUACCCGGGUUUCCCUCAUGUCAUCAAAGCCGUAGUUUUUCCCAAAGCGAGGACGUAGUUCUCUAUCCGAGUGGGACAGAAGAAAUGCAAUGGUGGCCUGUCCAUGACGGUGAUGCCAUCACAUCAUGGUGUUGCUUUGAGCGAGGAAAGAAAGAGAGACCGUGCUGGCCUUGACCAUUAGAGACGACUUUGCUCAGCUGAAGAAAGGUAAAAGAGAGAUUGACGGUGGCCACGGCUGAUAUGAGACAAAGGGCGAAGGAAAACGACGAAGAAAGUUGCAAUAAUGGGGUCUUUUAAUGAUGGCUCCUCAAUUGUUUCCUUUCUUCUUCUUUAUUUGCUUCUAGGGGAAAGCAAAACGACGAAGAAAGUUGCAAUGAUGGUGUCUUUUAAUGAUGGUGUCUUUUAAUGAUGGGCCCUCAUUGUUUCCUUUCUUUUUCUUUAUUUGCUUGUAGUGAAUUUUCUUCAUUUUUCUAUUUAAAUAUGAAGAGGAAAGAGCCCUUAAUGAGAGCUUUGAGAACUGCACAGAGGAGAUUGAAAAUUUCCUCUUAAAAGUUUUGAUUCAAAAAAGGUUUUUUUUCGUGAAAUUACACAAAAGGAAGCCAGUCAAAUCUUCAGGUCAUUCUUUUCUUUUAUGAGAUUAAGAGAUUAUUUCGAAAAAAAUUAUGAGAGUUAAACACAGAGUGAUUAAUCAUAUUUGAAGGAUGCCAAGAAUAAAACUUCUCAUAGAUUCUGCCGUUCAUACAACAGUUUGGGUUUUCAUAAGUCGAGUGCUUCAACUUAGAAAGAAUGUUUCGCCUCAAGUAUAUCGUUCUAGGAAAGACGAGGGAAUCCAAUCAGUCAUUGUUAACCUUUACAUGAGGAUAUUGUCUCAUUCUAGCUGUUUGACAUGGUACAUGAGAAAGGAAAUAAUUAAGUCAUAACUCUGGUUCUAAAAAAUACUUAUCAUCAGAAUUAAAAGUCUUUAUGCUAGAUAAGUUUUAUCAAUUUUUGAAAUCAAUUUGGGAGAUUUUCUCAACAAUCUCCAUUUUGUUUAUAAUGACAAAACUUUCCAAGCAGAACUUAAGAAAAGAUUUUAAAAAGAUUUAGUAAUCAAAUAGCUAUAUUGAAAGCAAUGUUUUAGAUAAGGCACAAUGCAAAUUCUAUAAGAACUUUGCUGAUUUUGUAAAGAUAAGUACAAACUUCUUACAAAAUAUUGAGCUAAUUAGAGUGAAUAAGAUUUGUAAAGAAAUUCCUUGAUUUGUGAAGAAAUUCCUUACUUUGAUUAGAAUAGAUUUCAGAAAACUUCCUUUUUUUAUAUAGCUCCUCAUAGCAAGAUCACAAAAGAUCUUCAUCUACAUAUGGUGUUUUGCUUUUCUUGCAUUUUCUCUUUCUUUUUGUCAACAUCACAAAAGAGACAAUAAUAUUGGAAGGAGUAUCACAUAGAGAAUAUGCUAUUCAGCUCAUCUUCACACACAAUCUUUCAAAACAUAUUUAGCAUGAAACGAAAUUUUCAUAAACAUCUUAUAGAUGCUAGUGUGAACAUAAAAUAAUUGCAAUAUAGCUCAUGUUAUUAUAGAAUCAAAUACCAUAUACAUCAAUAAAUAUAUAUCAAUGAUAACAUAUGCAAUAUAUAAAUUUCAUAUACAUUUUUUAUCAUAAUAAAACGAUAAUGGAAAUAUGAGAUUUAUAAUGACAAAAGGUAAGUGAAGUAAGAAAUAUACUAACCAGAUCAUGUAGAAUUUAGCAAGUUCUAAUAGACAUUAUAUUUUCUUCCAUAAUCAAUAGGAGGCAAAAAUUAAAUCGACUUAAUUAGGAUUUUCUCACACUUAAUUUACACUCCCUUUCAAUUUAAUGCAACUAUGAGAUGAUCGCGGUUCUUCUCCUUUACUGUGCAUCCACUUUCUCAUUCUUUAAUAAAUUUAACAAAUUUUGCACCUAGAGGAGAAUUUUCGCUCCUUCGAAAAUGGUUUGGAAUCUUCGCAAUUUUUCGGAUCAAAUUUUCAAAAUUUUAGAUGAAAAGAUUAUUUGCCACCUGCAAUUUCUUGUAAAAGAGAUAGCAAUAUUUGCAAAAUAUAGAGUAUAUCACGUACUUUCCAUCCUUGAAUUCGCGGAUUAAUUUUGCCAGUUAGAAGAUAUGCUUCUAACAUAUAAAACCACGCAUUAAUUUCUUUCAAGAUUAAAAAGAUUCUAAUGUUUAAAAGAAAAUCUGAUUUUCAAAUGUUUAAAUCAUUUAUAAUUAUUCUAUAGCCAUGGUUAAACAUAUUUAUAUAGAUACAAAUGGAAUUUAUCUAUAUAUAUGCAUAAUAAGAAAAUAGUCCUAUAGAAAAGUUUAAGUUUAAGUGCAUUUCAAGUGAAAAGUUCGUUGUUCGUCAAAUUUCGACUGUUUUUUUGGAUUGGACAUUUUAGCAAUAAUAACAUUACAUUCAUUAAUGGGAAGAGCUUUUAUUACAUUCUUAAUGUGAAAAGCUUCUCCACCAUAUCAUCCUCCCUUAGAAAUUUACAAAAGAAGAGCAAGCCCAUUACAUUAAGAAAAAGGAGAAAAGGCUGUUUAUUGUAAGAUAUGACCACAAAAUUCUUGAUUUGAACACCCGAAGUCCGAUGCCACUUUCGUUAAUGAGAGACGACGUUUGUAUCGCGUGACUCACGACUUAAUUGAAAGUGACAGACAGGCAACUUCCCAGAAGCUGCAGCUUUUAAUUAAUAGUGAAUGAAGGUAACUUCCCAGAAGUUGCAGCUUUUAAUUAAUAGUGAAUGAAGUUGAUGGCUUCAGAAAAAACCAGGUGAAGGACAAUUAUGGAGAUGUACCACUUUUUUUGGUCGGUCGAGAUGUACAAUUAUGGAGAUGUACCAUUUUACACGCCCACUAUCUUUUUCGCCUUUCUUCUCGGCGCCUUUGAACUUUUGAAUUAAAAAAAAAAAAAACUCGAAUUUUCAAACGUUUAAGUCAUUUAUAAUUAUUCUAUAGCUAUAUAUAUAGAUAAAAUCACAAUCUAUAUAAAUGUAUAAUACAAAAAAAUAUCUUAAAGGAUCUCUCUCGUUAUGACAUAUGAGACUUUNNNNNNNNNNNNNNNNNNNNNNNNNNNNNNNNNNNNNNNNNNNNNNNNNNNNNNNNNNNNNNNNNNNNNNNNNNNNNNNNNNNNNNNNNNNNNNNNNNNNNNNNNNNNNNNNNNNNNNNNNNNNNNNNNNNNNNNNNNNNNNNNNNNNNNNNNNNNNNNNNNNNNNNNNNNNNNNNNNNNNNNNNNNNNNNNNNNNNNNNNNNNNNNNNNNNNNNNNNNNNNNNNNNNNNNNNNNNNNNNNNNNNNNNNNNNNNNNNNNNNNNNNNNNNNNNNNNNNNNNNNNNNNNNNNNNNNNNNNNNNNNNNNNNNNNNNNNNNNNNNNNNNNNNNNNNNNNNNNNNNNNNNNNNNNNNNNNNNNNNNNNNNNNNNNNNNNNNNNNNNNNNNNNNNNNNNNNNNNNNNNNNNNNNNNNNNNNNNNNNNNNNNNNNNNNNNNNNNNNNNNNNNNNNNNNNNNNNNNNNNNNNNNNNNNNNNNNNNNNNNNNNNNNNNNNNNNNNNNNNNNNNNNNNNNNNNNNNNNNNNNNNNNNNNNNNNNNNNNNNNNNNNNNNNNNNNNNNNNNNNNNNNNNNNNNNNNNNNNNNNNNNNNNNNNNNNNNNNNNNNNNNNNNNNNNNNNNNNNNNNNNNNNNNNNNNNNNNNNNNNNNNNNNNNNNNNNNNNNNNNNNNNNNNNNNNNNNNNNNNNNNNNNNNNNNNNNNNNNNNNNNNNNNNNNNNNNNNNNNNNNNNNNNNNNNNNNNNNNNNNNNNNNNNNNNNNNNNNNNNNNNNNNNNNNNNNNNNNNNNNNNNNNNNNNNNNNNNNNNNNNNNNNNNNNNNNNUUAUGAAGGUUAAAUAUAGAGUUAUUAGUGUAUUUGAGGGAUAAAAAACACAAAUUAUAUUUGAGUAACUCAAGUAUUAUUAUAAUCUCCAUUGCAUGUAAUUUCAUGGUUUUCAUUUCGUCGUGGACGUAGGUCACGUAACCGAACCACAUAUAUUUAGUGUUUGAUUUAUUUCCUUAUUUUGCAUUUUUAUUCAAGCACUUGUUUUAUUUCCAACAAUAAAUAUGGUUUGAAGAAAAGUGAAACCAAAUUAAACCAUAUUAUAGUCAAGAUCAAACCAAGCCAAACCAUUUUAUGUGGCUUGAUUCGGCUUAAUGGUUCUUUCUGCUUUUAUUUUACCUCUUCAUCAUAUGUAACCAAUUUUAUUUUACCUCUAAUGCUAUGAAUUAGAGCCAAACUAAUCCACAUUAUGCGAAAAUCAACGGUAGAUGAAUAAAUCUAUACGAAUAACCAAUUUUUUUCUCUACCGCUUUUUUUAGGGUGCAGUUUAGCUAACCGUCCUCUGUCAAAUGAUGGAGUGACAGUCAACUAAUAACCACACAAUUCGCAUGGAUUCCAUCUUUUACCCUUUUUUUUUAAUUUUAUGUUUUCUUAUUGCAAGCUUAAAUUGAGAGAUAAAAUCAUAAGAGGGCCCAUGCAAUCAAUUUUCAUGAAUAUUAUGAAAGAAAAAAUAAAUUAGAUAUCGAAAUAUAAAUAAUUAGAAGUAAAAAACAUUGUCAUCCACUAAAAAGAAAUCUUUCAUUUGAAUAACAUAUAUCGAACAAUAAUUUUUCUUGUGACAUGACUAGACCCUUGGUUUUUAGCAUUUCCCUUGUGUCAACAAGAAAGUUGCAGUUUUUCCCAAAGCGAGGACAUAGCUAGUUGAAGAUAACCUUGGCGAGUGUUGUUUUGCCGAUGCUACCCAACCCACAGAUUCCAAUGAACCGCAUACCGUCAAAAGCGAUGUUUGAUAAAUUGUCUAUCGUUGCUAUUUGAUCCUCCAUUCCAACUAAAUCUUUGGUCACUUGCCAUUGUCUUGUCUUCACCUUGACCACAAUCUCAUUAACAACCGACAUGAUAAGAUUCCCAUAGCUGCCACAAUGACAAACAAUAUUAAUUGAGAAAAGGUGACAAAUUUCCAUGUUGACAAACAAUUUACAUAUAUCAGAUCUUGAAUCAGCCUCAAUUCAUUUUGAAUGCGCAGCACUUAUAUUUCUAUUAGAUUGCACAUUUCAAAAACGAUAAUGACAAUACAUUCGUUAAUGGGAAGAGCUUUUGUUACAUUCUUAAUGCGAAAAGCUUCUCCACGAUAAUCCUUCUUGAAAAAUUUACAAAAGAAGAACCAAUGCAUAACAUUAGAAAAGGAGAAAAGGAUGUUUAUUAUGAUAAAUAAAUAAUGAAAUUCUUGAUUUGAAAGCCCGAAGUCCGGUGCCACUUUCUUUAGUGAGAGACAUCAUUUUGGACAUUUGUACCGUGGGACUCACGUAAUUCAAUUGAUUGAAACUGACGCCCCCCACAACUUCACAACAGUUGCAGCUUUCAAUUUAUGGUCAAUAAAGUGGAAGGCUUCAGAGAAAAUGAGAUGAAGGACAAUUAUGGAGGUCUACCUUUUCACAAGCCCAAUUUCUUUGGAGUUUCUUCUUAGUGCAUUUGAACUUUUGAAUUUAUGACCAUUUUUUAAUUUAAAAAAUCUGAUUUUCAAACGUUUAAAUCAUUUAUAAUUAGUUUAUAGCUAUAUCUAUGGUUAAACAUAUUUAUAUAGAUAAAAACGGAAUUUAUCCAUAUAAAUGCAUAAUAAAAAAUAUUCCUAAAGAAAAGUUUAAGUUAAAUGCAUUUAUUUCAAGUGAGUGAUUCAUUGUUAGUCAAAUUUCCGCUGUUUUUUUUUGUGUGGACAUUUUAACAAUAAUAACAUUACAUUUCAUUAAUGAAAAAGAGCUUCUCCACCAUAUCAUCGUCCAGAAAUUUACAAAAGAAGAGCAAGCACAUUACAUUNNNNNNNNNNNNNNNNNNNNNNNNNNNNNNNNNNNNNNNNNNNNNNNNNNNNNNNNNNNNNNNNNNNNNNNNNNNNNNNNNNNNNNNNNNNNNNNNNNNNAAGUCCGAUGCCACUGCCGGUAGUGAUAGACAUCAUUUUGGAUUUUUGUAUUGCGUGACCCAUGAGAUUUAAUUGAAAGUUACGGACAGGCAACUUGACAGUAGCCGUAGCUUUCAUAAAAAAUCAGAUGGAGGACAAUUAUGGAGAUGUACCAGUAUUUUGGUCGGUUGAAUACAAUUAUGGAGAUGUACCAUUUCACACGCCCUUUCGCCUUUCUUCUUGGUGCCUUUGAACUUUUGAAUUAAAAAAAAAAAAUCUGAUUUUGGGCGUGGAAAGAAAGAGAGGCCGUGCUGGUCUUGACCAUAAGAGGACGACUUUGCUUGGCCGAAGAAAGGGAAAAAGACAGACUGAUAAUGGCCACAGCUGACAUCGGACAGUACAGAAGGGAAACGAAAACGACGAAGAAAGUUGCAGUAAUGGUGUCUUUUAACGAUGGCCAGUCAUUGUUUCCUUUCUUCUUCUUUAUUUUCUUCUAGUGAAUUUUCUCUUUAAAUUCGAAGAGGAAGGGCUCUUAAUGAGAGAGCUCCGAGGACUGCACUGAGGAGAUUGAAAAUUUCCUCUUAAGGGUUUGAUUCAAAAAAGUUUUCUUCGUGAAGUUAGUCAAAAUUAAAGCUGAUUAAAUCUUGUGUUAAUAUGCAAAUUGAGAUAUUAUUUCGAAAUAAAUUAUGAGGGUAAAAAAAAUAGAGUUAUUAGUUGUACUUAAGAGAUAAAAACACCAAGGGUAUCUGAAUGACUUGAAUAAAAUUAUAAUCUUCGUUGCAUUGUAAUUUUAUCUAUAAUGGAAUUGUGUGCUCCUUUCCUCGUGAACGUAGAUCACACAACUAAAUCACGUAAAUUUGAUAUCCGUUCUAUUUUCUUAUUUUGUAUAUUUUUAUUCACUCGCUUGUUUUAUUUUCAAUAAUAAAUACGGUUUGAAGAAAAGAGGAACCAAGCUAGACUGUAUUAUAGUUAAAGAUCAAACCAAGCCAGACCAUUUUUUUUUUGGGGGUUUGAUUUGGCUUAAUCGUUCUUUCUUCUUUAGUUUUCCUCUUCAUCUUUUGUAAUUUUAUGAGAAAAAAACCAAAUUCCAUGUCACGAAACUUCCAAAGCGAGAUCCCCGAGGAAGUUGCUGGAUCACCAAGCAAGCACAAAUGGCCCCUCUCGCGAGGUGAUGCUUGCUCUUGGCACGAUCAAUCUCAACUUGUUUCAAUUAAUUAUUUCACUUGAUUGAGAGUCACCACUAACUUUUUAUGAACCAAUUAGGAGUCAAGUAAAAUGCGGGAGUCCGUCUUACUUCUGCAAACAUGAGAUUUGUGAGUCUAGAAACUUGAUUAGGCAAGAUAUAUCUCAAGCCCAAUAUUGCAUACUUUCUCUUUCUAUUAAAACAAUUAUUCAUGUGCUCUUCCCAAUCUUAGUUACCCAUUUUAUUCUCAAUGUUGAGAAAGGCAGGCGAUCAUGCAUAAAUUCACUCAAGCAAACACGUAUAAAAUCCACUAAUACUGAGACAAAUAGAGCAAAUAAAAGGUAGGAAAAUAAAGGACCCAACCCGUAUCAGGAAAAAAAAAUCAAUAAAAGCCUUGUUAUAAGUUCCGGGACAUGCCCCUUGAGCUAUUAACAGAAACACUGUAAAAUCUCCAAAAUAAACUAUGGCUUUAAACAGAAAGUAAAUAACUGAUACUUCAUGAAUNNNNNNNNNNNNNNNNNNNNNNNNNNNNNNNNNNNNNNNNNNNNNNNNNNNNNNNNNNNNNNNNNNNNNNNNNNNNNNNNNNNNNNNNNNNNNNNNNNNNUAAGAAAACAAAAUAUAUUUAUGAUUAUGCAUGAUUCCUAAAUUAUUCCUCCUAGAUGUAUAUUUUUAAAAUAAAAUCUAUCUGUUUUUUUUGCUUUUUCACAUCAACCCCCUCCCUAUAUAUAUUGUAGUGAAAACGAAAUUAAACUAAAAAAUAACUAAGUGCUGAGAUAAAUUUGAACUAGAAACUAGAUACCAAAAUAAUAUGUUAUAUAAACCCAGAUUUUCGUGAAAAUUUGCACUAUGUUGCGUUGGAAUUUCAACCUAAACUUCUUGUGGGAACGAGUUAAUAAACACCAGAAAAUAAAGAGAACUAAAGCGAUAAUGCUAUGAAUUAAAGCAAAACCAUUCCACAAUAUGCGAAAUCAAGGGUGGAUGAGUACAUCUAUACUAAUUGCCAAAAUUAAAUAUUUAUUAAAAAUAAAAAUAUUUUUCUACGCUGUUACAGGUCUGAAGUGUUCAAAUUGAAUCGCAUCAUGUAGAUUAUUUAUAUUUCCAUGUUUAUGUUUGCUGAGACACGAGGAACAAUCAACAUGAACUAACACAAAAAUCCACGCAGGUUCUUGAUUUUAUUUCCUUUCUUCUUUCGUCUUUCUUUUCAGACCUGCAGCAUAAUUCCUUUUCACUUGUGCUGGUCGGAUAAGUCUGUCGCAUAUUUCCCUCUUGGUCGAGCCCAUGAAAGGGAGCCAGGGUCGUGCGGGCUUGGACUCGGAAGUUCAGAUGAAUUCAUGGCACAUUUUGCGUGUUGGGGCACAUUUUGCGUGUUGGGAUCCACUCAAAUUCAAUUCUCAAAGCGGACUAAUUUAAAUGAAAUUCGUAGUCAGGUUUCGCGUUUUCUUUGGUGCGAAUGCAUUAUUCCUAACAAAGUGUUGGUACUAUCUAAAUACCGUAAAUGAGGAUGCAAAAAGUGUGCAAUCUCAAAAAAUUUAGGUAUUAGCAUUUCGCGUUGACAACAAUUCAUAAAUUCACACAAAGUGAAAAUCAAACCUAUUUAAAUAGCUAUUUCAUGUAUAAAUGGUAAAAAUAAUUAGCAAUAUCAAUCAUUUAUACAAUGCGGUGUUGUGGUUUUGGUUUGGUUUCAAAAAAGUUGAAACCAAGCCAAACCACAAAAAACGAUUUGUUUCAUGGAUGGCAUGGAUAUUGUUAAGAGGGACCCUCGAGCUUGAAGGGAAGGUGUUUUGGGGGUGCAUGAUAACCAAAAUUUCUGUUCUAGAAAUAAUUUUUCUAUUCCAUACCUGUUUCUGGAAUAGAAACCUGAUUGAUAAACCCAUUCAGUUUUUCUAUUUCUGGAAUAGAUUUCUAUGAGAAAUCAGAAAUAAUUUCUCCCACUAAACCCUAAUUUCGGUGAGUCUUCCCUCAUCUCCUCUACGUCUCUGCCUCCUCCUCCUCCUCAGCUUCUCCUCAUUUUAUUAAAAAUAAAAAUAAAUAAAAAUAAAUAUAUUCAUUUUAUUCAUUUAAAAAUAAAAAUAAAUUUAUUAAAAUAAAAUUAUUAAAAAUAAAUAAAUUAUUUUUAUUUAUCAUUUUAUUUUUAGUUUAUUAAAAAUAAAUUUAUUAAAUUUAUUAAAAAUAAUUUAUUUAUGAUAAACAAAAAUAAAUUAUUUUUAUUAAAAAUAAAUUUAAAUAAUUUAUUUUUAUUUGCCUUGAGUGUUUUGCCAAAUAAAUUUAUUUUUAUUCUUAAUUCUUAUUCAUUUUAAAAUAAAUUUAUUCGUAAAAAAAUAAAAUAGAAUAAAUAAAAUAAAUUUAUUUAAGGAUAUUUUUAUUUUAAAAAUAAAAUGAUAUUUUUAUUUUAUUUUUUAUGAUUUAUUUUAUUUUAUUUUAUUCUUUAUUUUUUGUUACUAAAUCAAUUUUUAUUUUUAUUUUUUAUAUUAAAGGUCAUCGGUCGUCGCCGCCACCGUCCGAAAGGAAAAAAAUUUGUGUCGUUAUUGAACGAAUUUCUAUUUUUAGAAUAGAAAUUUUGUAUCGUUAUCAAACGGUUAUUUUUGCUUAAAAACUCUUCUAGAAAUAGAAAUAGAAAAAUCUAUUUCUGUUCCAGAAACUAUUUCUAGAGCAUAAUGGUUGUCAUGCGCGCCCUUGGUUGCCAGCAACAUCGUGGAGCUUGGAUUAAGGCAAAGCUGCCUCCAUCAAGAUGGAUAGGGUAAGCAACGCUAUCAACCCGUAGAUCCAAAUGCCAUGAGAAUCGAUCAAGGCAAACUGGUUCGAGACUAAGGCCCCCCAAUUGUGAACUGAAGCCUCAUGGAUAUCAUGAUUUUCUAGAAAACUUUCAAAAAAGAUUAGACUUUCAAGCAGAUUUUUACACAUUAUUGCAUACUUUCAAGCACAAACGGACAUGGCACAUGUAGUCAUGCCAGAGCAUAAAAUGACAAAGGAAUUUCCCUGACGACGUCUCCAAAAAUAUCAAAAGUCGCAUAAGUAAUGUUAGGAAUUAUUUGAGAAUUGAAUUUAGAGGACGAAAUUGGAAAAUGUGGUACUGAAAGAGCGUUGUGGGAAGUCUAACCCCUCCGCACACAUAAAUGAAUCCUUCGACAACAAGUUUCAUUGGCUUUCGCAAAUGAUCAAUAUUAAACGUGGACCUAGUUUCCAAUCAGCCUAAUUUUUUAAAUCGAUUGGCAGUUACUCCAUCUCAUACUUUAUAGAAAACUUUGGAGUUGGCCCAAAACUUCCAAAACUCCUUUUCCAACGACAUAUUUGCUCCUUGCCGAGUAAAACCUUUGAUCUCAAGACCGUUGGGCAAGGCGCGACAUGACCUAUAUGAAGACUCCAACGUAUUUGUUGGAGGGUUGGCCGAGAAAGUGAUUUUUGAAGGCUUUAUUGCAUCAAAGUGAUUGUUGAAAGUUGGCCGAGAAGAUCAAAACGCGAUCAAAGCUUUUUUUUUUUUUUUUUACGUAUAUAUAUAUAUAUAUAUAUAUAUAUAUAUAUAUAUAUAUAUAUAUAUAUAUAAAAAUAUAAAAAUAAAAAUAAAAAUGUAUGUAUGUUUUUCUACUCUUAUUUCUCUAAGAGAAUGUUUAUGUCAUUAUUGUAAAGAGUCACACACUCACUCACCCCCCCCCCCAGGUACUCGGCGAGGGAGCGUUCGUACACAUAUAAAAAAGGAAAUUCCGUUCAUAAUUAGAGGAUUCAGUCUUGUUCUUAGAUAGGAAAAUCAUUCAAAAAGUCAUAAACCUAUUGUGUGGCAGUCAAUUUAGUCUUAAACUUUUCAAUUUGACAAAUUUAGUCUUCAACUCUUUAACGAUUUUCUAAUGUAAAUCAUCUGGUCAAUUUUGGUCGGAAAUCGUUAAUACGACAGUCCAAUAAGCACUAGCCAUUCUAUGUGUAAUGGCCAGGCUAUUGACGAUUGAUGCAAACUAUUUUUAAUUUUUUUUUAAUAUUUUUCUUCUUUUUCUUUUCCUUCAUCCAAAUAGAAUUGAAGUAUGAGGCGCUUGCCUUGUGAAUCCACCUAUAAAUUGAUUUGUGGUCUCUUCUUUCUAUCGCUCGUUACAUUUCUGAUGAUGGAAGAUAUUUUCUAUACGUAGCAUAUUUUGUCUACAAAUAUUGUUUCAUCCUCUACACAUUGUUUUGCAAGAAAAAAUUGUCAAAAAUCCUACAAUAACCUAUUCAUUCUCUCUUGAUUGUUUAAUUAAGUCCAUUUCACACAUAAGCAUUUUAUUUGUAUAAAUAUUAAGUGAAAUGGCACCAAUUGUCCGUUUAUUCUUGCCGAAAAUUCAAGAACGUCCUUGUAUCUUCUUUUUUUUUGUCCAAAAUCAUCCCUAUACUCUUUAAAAGGGUCAUUGCUCGUCCUCCUAUUAUGUCACUACUUUUUUCAGUUGAUUUACACUAAUAUGGAUAAUCGGAACAUUGAGUAGAAGCCAUAUGGCAGCAAUGGCCGCUCAAGCAUUAAGCUCACAACCAUGGUCAUUUGAGCUCGAAGCUUGCCACCACCAUGGUUGCUUGAGCUCGAGCUCAAAGCUAGUGGCCAUGGUCAUUUGAGCUCGAACCUUGUGACGACUAUUGCCAAAUCUGGAUUCGAAGUUCACAGCAGUCAUAGCUACUUGAGCUUGAAGCUUGCGGCUGCUAUGAUCAAAUAUGGCAUCGAAGGUUGUGGCUGUCAUGGCCAAAUUUGGCCACCAUGGCCGCUCGAGCUCCAAACUCAUGGCCAUGUUCGUUUGAGAUCAAAGCUUGCAAUUUGCUGCUAGAUCUACUUCAAAGCUCAUAACCACCAUGAUCACCUGAGCUCGAGCUUGAGACUUGCGGCCAUCAUGGUUUUUCGAGCUAGUGGCCAAGGUGGAGCUUGAGUGGCCAUGAGUGUAAGAUCUUAAAGGUCGUAGAUCUUGAGCUUGCGAUCGCCAUGGCUGCUCAAGCAUUUGAGCUGUGGGCAUUAUAAGCAAUAAAGUAAUUCUUUUAUGUGGAAAUACAAAAUAUGAGAUCUUUGAUCUUUAUAAUUUUCACGAUAAGAAGGAUGGAGAGAUACCUUUAUUCAUAGUAAUACACUUGAAAGUAUUUAUCGCGGAAAAACCGAAGAGAAGAAGAAAUUUGAUUUCUCUCCAUUAACCCAUGCUUUUCUUUAACGUAUUCUAUUUGAUAGAGGAUAGAGUACAAUGUUAUUUUUUAUGUUGUAGGUGAAAAGAGGAUCAGACUCUUAUUUAUAUAUGCUAUCAUAGGUGCCUUCUAUCAAAGCGUCUUUUCACUUCUACGAGAGUCACACCUCUGUUGAAGAAUAGUAACUUCUCAAUGAGGAUUGUACCAUUUUAUUAGCGUCGUAAUUUCUCAUAACCAAUACAUUUUAGCAUUAAAUAUUUAUUAAACCAUUAAUCAAUAAUAUCAUGCGGGCCACAAUAAUUCUUACAUUCUCCUGCUUGACCCAUAUGACCUUCUUUUCAUGGUUUAAUAAAGAUCAUAAGGUGCACAAUAACAUUAUGCUAAAACCUUUCAUAAGUUGGCUAUCGUAUAUAAUCACAAUUAAGUAAAAAAAAAAAACUAAGGCGAGUCAUGGCAGUUGUAUGUCAUUGAUCGAGAUAGUUCCUUUGGUGUACAACAACAUAGCUCUUUACUUAAUAUAAUCAUAAAUGAUAAGUACCGUAAUGGUCCAACCAUAAUGUCUCUAUUAGAGACUAACCUAUUUAACAUUCGUCUAUUUUCAUAAAGUAUACUAAAUAGAAACAAGAAAUAUCAAAGAUGCAUGAUUGAGCUUAGAGUGUCAAAUACAUAAACUUAAUGCAAUCAUAAUACAAUAAUUAAUGAUGUCCAAUAAUGUCCAUCCUUUCAAUAUGCUCAUUAUAUGUUUUGGGUGACAAUCCUUUUGUUAAAGAUUCUAUGUCGCGACCUGAUCUCACCGCCCAUCCCUCAUGAGGAGAGGAAGGGGAAAUGUCAGAUUUAUGUGUACGUGAUCACAAAAGUUCCCCCACAGUUCUCAACCACAGGGAUGUCAUCACCUUACCAUCCAAAUGAACCUCAUGUGAGUUCAGUUAAUCGUAAUCGUGAGUUCUCCCAAACUUGUACCCCACAUGAUAGCAGACUGCCGCAACCCUACCUCAACACCACGGUAUGUCUUGACCAACGGUUUUAAGGUCAAAAGGAAUCCGGAUGUGAAUGUGAGUUUAGGGGUGCCUUUACCACGAUAACCCUCUUGAUAGGACAUUUUGCCCAUAAGGAUGACAUCACUUUAUUCUUUAAGGGUACAACCAAUAUUGAAUAUGUUAAAUCGCGGUGAGUCUUAUCAAGACCCAUACCCCAUGCGACAGGUUCAUUUAUAACAUCUAGUUAUUUAAGACAACCUAAAAAUAAGACGAAAGUUGCCACUAGCCUUAUUUUUAGGGGGUCGGCCAGAAAACCCAAUUGAGUGUUGGAAGUGUUUCCUCGUUUUCUAUGCAAUCAAAUAUCUAGGCUCGAGGACAUGGGUUACGCUAAUAAUACUAUCAGCGCCCUUUCAGUACCUAACAGUACGUUAUGUUUACCUAAGGUGUCCAUGCAUUUCUUCUUUAAUUUUUUUGGAUCGUUUAUCCUAACUAGGCGAUCAUGUGUGGUUGGUCAUUUACAUGCUAUUCCAUUUCUAGAAAAUGUGAAAAGAAAGCAAUCAACUAAAUUGAAAUUGUGAAACGUUAUAUAAACAACCAAUGAAAGAAGUAAAUCUAUCAUGCAAUCCUAAGGAAGAUAAAAAGAGAAACGGAAUUAAAGGACAAGAGAGAGAAGAACCUGCAACUUGUUGGGCUUUAAUACAGAUAAUAAAAAACCCUAGACAUAUGUUGGGAAUGGAUGGUAUAGAAUAAUGGUUAGAAUGGACAUCGACCUCCACCGUUGUCGUGUCCUUUCCAUCUUCAAUAUCCUAAUUUAGAAAAUUAGAAGUAGGUACCUACAAUAGAAAGAAACAAGCAUACACGUCAAAACAACCAAAAGCAAAAUAUUAUGCCAAAGUUAAUCAAUCAAAUGAAGUUCAAUUCACAAGUCAUAUUUGGGCCUCGGGAUCGGUUUUUAUAGUUCAUGCAUAGAUCCCUCUAAGACACCCAUCCAACUCAUUUUAUGACUUACAAUCAUUAUUGACCAAUUGUGUUCUUGCAUGGAUAAUAACACUUAUAAACCUCCUAACAAGUGAUCUAUAUGAAUCUAGGGUUUUCCCUCGAUAUCAUGCAUCGGCCCUAACAUACAUCAAGAAACUAGACGCAUUGCACGAAUUAAACACACAUCAGGUCUUUUGACCUUAUUUCUCAACCAAUCAAACAAGAAAGUGAAUCGAUGGCGGGUCACUUAGGCAUGCGUUAAUCACGAACGCGGACAUUUCUAAUUAAUGACGUGAUUAUAUACACAAUGGUACAUGUGAUGUUUUAAAGANNNNNNNNNNNNNNNNNNNNNNNNNNNNNNNNNNNNNNNNNNNNNNNNNNNNNNNNNNNNNNNNNNNNNNNNNNNNNNNNNNNNNNNNNNNNNNNNNNNNNNNNNNNNNNNNNNNNNNNNNNNNNNNNNGGUUCGGCAUUAAAAUGUAUAUUAUAAAGCUUCACCAGACAUUUUUAAAUAUAGUUCAAAACCAUGACUUUUAUUAAUGUAAAAAUCGGGAUUCAAAGAGAUUUGAGGGAUUACCUUUGAACGAUCUUUGUGAUUUUACAUGAUCGGACGAAGCCUUGAACCCCUGGAACUUUGAUUGGGCCUCGGGGAUCAAGUUCGGACCGCCACAGAACACUAAGGAGAUCGGAUCAAAGCUAGUUGGACCACUUACAACAACAAACGUGGGAACCGAUUCCAAAAUAGGAGUGGUCUUCGAACACCGGUAAAGAUCGGACCACCGGAGGUGAUCCGACAGCCAAUUCGCCUGCCCUUGACAACGGUGAGGUCAAGGACCUCUUGGACUAACGAUCGCCGACAAUCGAGGAUGCCUGGGAGUGCUGGGAACCUCCGAUUCAAGCUGGAACAGAACUGGUCCUGCUUGGACUGGUUUUAGAGUCUCCGGAGAAACCAAAUCAUCGGAAGUGUUCCGAUGGCUGGUUUGCUGGUUCUUGACCUUGCUAUGGUCGGGAAUAGGUCUAGGGAGAGAUAGACAGGGUUUGCUCUGCCGAUCUUGGCCACCAGACCGAUGAUCAAGCCAAUGAACUAAAAAUCGACUUGGUCGCCGAUUUACUUUAACCAAAGGAUGAUCAACCAAUCCCGAUUAAUCCAACAACCAUUGGAGAUGGAGGGGCUUGCUAGAGGAUUGAGGUGAGUGAGGGAAACCACCGGGGGCUGGGUGUCGUCCAAUGAGACACCGACUUAAGGCCGUCAAGCUUGAAUUGGGGAAUCACCCAUUCGAUUUAGAGAGAGAGAAGAGAGAGAGGUAGUUGGCGCCAAGAUCCAGAGAGAAGAAAGAGAGAAAGGGAUCCGAGGAGAGAGAGUCAAUUUCAUGCAUAAUGAGCCCCCCCUAAAAAUGGACGGAAAAUGGGUAUAUAUACCCUCUCUAAAUAAAGUAAUCUUGACUGUCGAUUUGAUCCAACGGUCGAAAUUGUAAUCCAAUGGUCAAAAUUCGAUUUUGAAGGUUUCAUUACGAUCUUGAGGUGUCGAGUUAUUGAUUUAAUGGGUUUGAUUUGCGAAAACCCGAGCCAAAAUCGAGAAUUAUGUAAAAAUGUCUAAUUAGAUAUCAAAUUGCAAUUUGAUGAGAUUCAAAGGCCAAUCUACAAAACUUUCAAAAAAUUGAAGUGCAGAUGUGAAAUUGACAUUGAGAGCAACCUGGAACCAAUUACCAGAGGUCUAGAACGAGCUAGCAAGCGGCCAAACCGGCUUGCAUUGCCGGCGGUUGGUUAGUCCGGUCAGACCGGUUCACUUGAGUUUGGCUAGUUUUUGAUCGGUUUUUGAUAGGUUUGGUCCGGUUUUGGAUAUUUCGCUUGCUUGGGACCUCUGUGGACCCAAAAUUUAUGCAAUUUGGUUCCUAAAUGAUCAAAUUGAAAAGAAAAUUUACUCUAUUUGAAAGGAAGUUGCAAAAUUGCGAUCCAAUUAAGCUAAUCAAAUCUCAUGAAUACGAUUUAAGGAUCUUUUAUUGACUUAAUUUGAUGGUUAUUAUGAAAGACAACAAGUCAAAAUCAUGGAUACUUUGAAUUGAGCAUAAAGGGCUAAAACGAUCAAAUUUGCAAUUCAAUGAAUAAAAUUAAAAACCGAUUGAAAUUGAAUUCAAUUAGCGCCACAAAUGAAUCUAGGUUUAAUUCAAAAUUGGACCUAGAUUUAUGGAAUUAAAUCAUAACCUUGAAUGAANNNNNNNNNNNNNNNNNNNNNNNNNNNNNNNNNNNNNNNNNNNNNNNNNNNNNNNNNNNNNNNNNNNNNNNNNNNNNNNNNNNNNNNNNNNNNNNNNNNNACAUGCGUUGAUGAUUAACUAAUUCACUAAUCCAUUUUAACUAACAACCUAGUCCUAGCUUAGUCUAAAAUAAUCCACCCUUAACCGUCAUUAACUUACUACGCCGGGAUUAGUGAGUUAAACUCACUUGAUUAACGAUCCCCUUGAACCUCCACCGCGGCUACCGGGAGACGGGCCAAAAACUCUAAUAUGAGGGCACCAACCAGGGCUAGGACGGGCCCAAAAUUGGCCACACAAGGCCCACAGUUGCUGGACUGAUUUUGAGAGGCUGCUGGCCUCGGCUCAACGGGCUGGUUUAUGCUUGUUUCCAAGCUGGAUCGGGGGCUGACCUAACCUGCUCGGAGAAGCGUCACUAGCUUCGGUAGCUGAUGUUGGGGCUGCUCGGUUUGACUUCGUGAGAAGGAUGAUGAAGCUGAAACUUGCGUGGGCUGCAGCAGGGCUGUCUCGGUGAAAUACAUGCGGAUGUGCUGAUAGCGGGCUGGCGUGAACUCGGUGGACUAUCUAGCGCACAAAGAACCUGUUGGAGUUGACCGAAGUCGCUGGGGAGGCGUCACGGAUGAAGGGAAUCGUGGAGAUGCAACUGGAUGAAAUAGAGAGAGCAAGCUGGUGGCUUUGCAUGGCGACAGAAGCUAAGUGGCACUGAAGAACUUGAAGCACACUGACAUCAUACUUGAACCCCACGGACGACGACCUUCUAACUGGUGGAUGGCGGAACCUGGGAAAGGAGAGACGACAGCAAACGGCAGACUUAAGCUUGCGAGGAGCGAAUGAGGAUUGGGCGUGGUGUCACCGAGGAUUGAGCAACAGCGAUUUGCUUGAGAACAUCACUCUCUAAGGAUAAAUGCCCUCGAGGAAUGCCACGAGGGUUCCAUGAUCACUCCACAAAUGAAGUGCCCUGUCCAUUGCCAAUUACACGUGUUGAGUAUGUCGCUUAAGAAUGGACCUAACUUUUAGCAGCUUCCUCCAUGCUCAGAUGAGUUACUUUUAGGAGUAACAGGAACAUAUAGAAAUCUGUUUCAGCAAGCAUAACCCAGUAACCCAAAUGGACCCUGCUUUUAGCAACUUCUCUAUAUUCCUGAGAAUGCAAGCUUCAUUCCAUGUUUCCAGCUUCUUCUAGCCUAAACCACCCUCACAUUUUGGAGCGCAAACAUUAUCCUGAGAAACCUUAGGACCCUCUGCUUUCUCAACAUUUCCUUUCCACUAAGUGACAUGAUGAGGCUCUUCAACAAGCUCGACUAUGUUCUUUGGUAAAACAAAUAUUCAAUUUGAAAAGUUGACCAGGCUAUAGAUUUCAGCCUUGAUUAACUAAGUCUUCCUGCAUAGGGAGGAUGUCUCUCAGUCUGAUCCAAAGUUUUCUUCUUCUGAACUACUCGGUUAGUUCCAUAGCCUGCCAAAAACAGCUCAGUUUUCAGGGAACCGAACUCCAAAAGUAAAAGCUCUUCGAAUUCUGGAAACAAGGACAAGAUUUCUUGCCAGGACUUCUCAUCCCAUUAUAGAAAAUCAUCAGCAAAACUUCUCACUUUCUCCAGAAAAUAACUAAGGUCAUGUUAUACCUAAGUUUGUGUUAGUGUUAAAACUCACUACCUGUGCGCUUGAACGCACAAGUGAUUUCCCUUUUCAAAAAGGUGAAAAUACGACAUUGAAAUGGAGAGACCAGUUCCCCUAUGUCUUGUUUAAUUUGUUGGAAAUCCAUAAAUGGUGGAAGCUAGAUCAAUGUAAGUCACGUGCCACUAGAAUAUGUGUGUUUACAGCAUUGUCUAUUUCAUUAUCUAAUCAUUUGUUUUGAUAGGGUGUUGUUCAAAAGAUUGAAAAAGGCAGAAAUGACACUAAUGUACAACAUCAUAUUUGGAACUCUGAUUCUUUCAAUAUGAUCAUUGAACUUUUCCUAAAUAUUUAAUGUAGUCCCUAAAUUUUUAAUUUGUUCAAUAUAAUCUCUCAACUUUCCAACAAACUCAAAUCAGCCCUUUAGUACUAUUCAUAAGUUUUCAUGAUUACAUUGUUAUCCGAAUUUUGGAAUCUCAUUUCAUUUCAAUCAUUUUCCUAAAUCAACAAAAAAACAUGUUAUCUUUUUAUUACAUUUUUUUGGUCUUCACAACUAUUACGAUAGUUCACUUUAAGGAAAAGUAGAACUUCAUUUAGAGUUAAAUCAGAUUGAUAAUUCUGUUAUGUUAUGUUUAAGUAGUUUCAUUAGGACAUCUAGAAACAACAUUAGUUAAUUUAUAGAUAUUCGUAGUUAUAUUGAUCCUGAUUGUUCAGAAAGUACAAAACACAAAACGUCAAAAAUUUAUCGACCUCAAAAAGUUAGGAAUGGGAUUUAGAUUACAGAAAAUUUUAUCAACCUUAAAAACUAAGGAACGAGAUCUAGAUUGACGAAAGAAUGAAUGCGGAUAAAUAAAUUAACAUCGUGUACACGCCCUUAUUAAAGCACUUAAAACUCUUUUUAUUUUGGAGACCAUAAGCUGAAAUUAACUUAUUUCGUAAGAGUCGGAAUCUUCGGUGAGCGUUUUAGGGUUCUGAAUCGAACCCAAAUCUUCCUUUUCACUCAGACUCAUCUUUGAUGGAUCGACUGGUAAGGUCUUCCCCCAACUUCUGCAUAAUUUUCACUCUUGAUCAUCUCGCCCCUGCUUCUGUUCUUCAAUUUGAUUUUUUUUUUCCUGUUUUUAUGUUAUUUUGCGAGAAUUUUCGUUGAGAUUGCGACUGUUUAUGCUGAUUAGAUGAUGGUCUUUAACCUGAAGUUGUGGGGUUAAAUUGUUCUCGCCCACUUCUCACCCAAUCCUUGGCCACUCCAUGCCCACUCCUUGCGAGCUUCAGUCUGUCGUCUCCUUCUUUCCCGGGUUCCAUCUCACGUUCAACCGAGCUUCGAUCAUGCACUUGCCAUUUUCUUUUAUGGAGCGGCAUUGGAGGGUGGGUAUAGUAAAAGCUUCGAGUAUUAUGUUAAUGUGUGUUUACUGUCACAUGUAAGUUUCAGUAGCUCCGAGAAUGUCAUCAAAACCGAGUCGCUACUGUUUUAAGACAUUCCUCAAGACUCAUCUUACACGUGAGAAAGUAGGAAGGAAUUGCUGAUUCCGGAGGAGAAUUAGGCAUUAAAAUAAAUAAAUAAAAGAAGCACUAAAGAAGUAAAUUGAGAUGCACAACUGCCUGACCAAGCACCUUGCUACAAAGUGGCUCACUUUUCUCUCAUCUUUCAGUUCAAACCAGAAGAUAGAUGCAAAACAGAGAACACGAACAUGGGAGCGGUAACAUGGGAGUAAUCAAGAAGCAACGAGAUCUGGUGUUUAUGCUCUCAACAGAUAACAAAGCUGCGUGUACUUUGUAGCAGUAAUUUGACCUGUGGAAUCAUCAAAACUCUUGGCUGACCCAUGAAACAGAUAUUGUCCCCUCAACUUGAUCUAUUAUGCCCUCGAUAAGAUGAACCUGAGUUAAGAUUUCAAUGGUAAGACUACCAUAAAAUAAGGUAAAUGCUUGAAUAUUGGUUUUCCAUUAUGUAUGCUAGAGCAGCGAAGGUGCAAGCAAUUAUAACACCGAAGUAUUUGCCAUGAUGGCUUAUGCAAAAGAGGAAACUGUAGUCUAGAUUUUUAGCAACAGCAUACUGACGCCAUAUCCGAAGCUCUUCUAUUCUUACACCAGAAAUAGUGGCAGAGGACAAUGUACGAGCAUGAAACAUAGCAUCAACAUUAAAGGAAUAAAAAAAAAUGCUGAUUCACAUCAGCCCCCACUUGUCGUAUGAAGAUAUUUAUGGUUGAUUAAUACUAGCUAAGUCUCUUAAUAGUGUGCAUGUUCACAGCAGUCACUUGAGGCACAUUCUGUGCAACCAAUCCCUUCAACCAUAUGCAGCAGACCUCAAAUUACCAAUGGAAAAUACAACUGCUCAAGAAGAGAACCAAGAAGAGAAGCACUGUUUGCUUCAUUUUCGAUCAUUAAAGCCCCUCACAGGUAAUAAAGAGACAGUGGAUAUUCAGUAAGAUGAUCAUUAUUCAAACCUUAGAAUAUACUUAACAAACUCUUCAUGAUAAGAUGCUCAACAUCAUAUGUGCAGAAAGUUCUGUGCGCUCUACCAUAACAAUCAUAGGAAUGGCUCGAUCCUCAGAUGGUUGACUGCAAAAAUCUGCGUUGCCGUUUUCCAACAAAGCUGUAAAUUCAGUUUCCCAAAUUUUGUAACUCUCUAAUCUUUAGUCAGCUCACCAAACACCCAUAAUUCUUGUAAUACCCCAACUAACAAAUGCGCAACAUGUGGGCACAUGAUUCCAGUCAAUCCAGCAGUCCACAGAAGCAUACCAACAUAAAUAAACUAUGAAGCUAUUGCCCUAUGAAGCUAGAGCUCGAACUCAUGCUUAACUACGCAAAGAUAAAUCACACGAUCACAUUCAACUAAACACCAUCUGCCACACCGCCUGUACCUGUUCUUCAGCGAUUAGCUGGUAAUCCGGAGCUUGAGUUGAGGUCCAUGCCUCCCGCCACCGAUGGAGUUAAUGAACGCAACCAUCGGAGCCUCAUAAAACUUCAUGCUCCAGCCGAGCGGCGCUGAAGAAGAAAGACUUGAAGCUCGCGGACAUGGAACUUAAAGCUUGCGACGGAACCUGGGAAAAAUGAGAGAGCGGACGACGGACUGAAGCUCGCGGGGAGCAAGCGAACAGCGGCGAGGACUGGGUGAUAGCAAUUUGCUUGAGCAGCGGGAAGAGAGGAGGAAGAAGAAAACGUAAAAGAGAACCCCUCUUAAUCGCUGGUGCGCAAUUUAGAAUUUGUCUGUUGUCUCUGUUUACUAGAAGAAAGCAGAAAUGGAAAGCAAAUAAAGCAGAACAGCGAUGAUCUAAGAAUAGAAAGAAGGCGCACCAAGGAUCACUUUAUGUUUCAGAUUCGCUGGUUUCAUAGAAUGCUAAUUCAGUUGACGCGUCCCGCAAUUUCCUCUUCAUCAUUCCGAAUCUUCUCUCUAAAAGACUCCCAAUUGCCGUGAUAAGUAUCACAUUUGCCGCUGAGAUUGCAAUUAGAUGUCAUGUCCGUCUGGCACUCAUUCGGAACUUUUGAGCUCGAUGCAUCAAAAAUCCCUCUAAAGUAUAUAUUCCCAUGAACUCUCAACAGCCGCAAAAACUCUAAUUCGUGAAUGCCCUCCAUGCUCAGCAACCUCCAGCAGGAUUCAAUAUGUAACCUCUUUAAUUUCUUCAAGUUUGACAAACCUUUUAUCCUUCGUAAUGAACAGCAAAAUUCGACGGUAAAUGCUUCCAAUGAUUCCAACGGAGAAACAAAAUCGAUAACUUCUACCUUCCGGCACCUCCCCAUGUGGAAUUCUCGAAGCAUCUUCAGAGAGCUUAGGACAAGGAAAUUUCCCCUCCAGGGUUCAAUCAACUCGGGAGCUUGUAGCUCGUUGUACCCUGGCUCCUCUGGCACAAAACGCCUGCUCUUGACACAUAAGAUGUCAUGAAGACUUGGUUCGUCCAACGAGUCAAAGACAUCGAGAGAUUGACCAUCGAGUUGCCCGUACACCUCGUUUUCUCUUGAUUUUUCCAACGGAGUAAGCCCACUGAGAUGUACGUGUUUCACUCGAGUGUGGUCAAUCUUUAAAAUUAUCAAGUUUGGGGGAAAUUGCUUGAGGGUUCGGAAGUCUAGUCCAGAUAGAGUAAGUUCUUUCAGCAGAGAAAGGGAACCCAACUUUGUAGUUGGUGCGUGGACAUUUAAUAAGCAAAAGUGCAGCUUGCUUAGUUUGGAUAACCUCCCAAUCCACCUCAAUUCACCAGUUGGAAUUACACUUGAUUUGCACAGCCUAUCGUCAAAGUCAUCGGAUAGGAACAAUUCAACUAGAUUAGUAAGGUUUGAGAGAUUAGGGACAGUUAGCAACGAAGUAGAUAUUAGCCGUAGAGUGGUCAAACUUCUAGGGAGCUCCAGCCACUCUUUUAUACUAUGACCAUGUUCCAAGUUCAGUAUUUGGAGGUGAAGCAAUUUGCUCAUUGUACUAGGCAUUUCUACAAUCGGUGCGUUUAAUACAUUGGCAAAUGACAGGUUUCCUAGUCUACCAAUGGAAUCUAGUAAUCUUGUAAUUCUCGUGCGUGAUAUAUCUAGCUUUGUCAACAACUCUAAUUUCGAAAUUGAGUCAGGGAGCUCGCUCAAGCUAUCACAUUUACUAAGAGAGAGGUGCUGAAGAUUCUUUAGCUCUCCAAUUUGUUCAGGCAAUUUUUCAAGUUUCAAACGUAACUCAAUACUCAAGUUAGUCAACCACCUCAGUUUCCCAAUAGAGCGGUCAAUUUUCUUCAAAGAUGGACAAUGAUAAAUCGUCAACUUCUCUAAAACUAAGUAUUUGCGAAAGGUUGGUGUCCCAUGAAUGAAGUUAUUAUAUUCAAGAGUGGGAAUCUUCAAUUUCGUUGCCCCCUACAAAAGCCAAUGAAACAUCAAGACAAACAAUUAGAAGUCUCCCAAGUUGGACCUUAUGUCAUCCAAUCCUCUCACUAACUAAGAAAAUUAGGCAAUAAAUCUAUCAAAUUCUGUCCUUCAUUGAAUGAGAAAAUUAGACCAAGAGGGAAAGUCACGUACCUUGAUUACGUAACUGAUCUCAUCUUCAUUGAGUCUAGAGAAACAAAUAUUAAUCAGGACCACGCUUUCUAGACCGAAAUUGGUUAGCGAAUCACGUUUUCCAUAAUAACUUUUAGUGCCCCAAAAAAUUAUCCAUUUCAACUUGGCAAGAUAGCCCGUGAAGUCACCUUGGCAGACUACAUUACUCAACCAAAGAAACUUGAGAUGUGGGAACCGUCUAAGUUGCUCCGCCGUGAUAGUUGUAGGGUUGCUGGAGGUCGAUCGCAAACAGAGUGCUUGAACGCUUUCCUUGAUCUGCCAAUGACAUUGAGGAGCAGCGACAGGAAUUUGUCAAUACUCCCACAAUUUAAUUUGUCGAAGGGAAGAAAAAAGAAAUCAAACGGUAAAGUAGCUCCCAAUACAGAAACGCGAUUAAAUCCUCAAUUAAGAACAGGGUAAGCAAUUUUCUAUUCAAAUUUGGUCAUACUUUACCUCUAUUGAUCGUAAUUUGCAAAUAAUGUCAUCUUUAUCCCACAACCUAGUAUGCUCUUGUAUAGCAAUUGCCCUUCCGAGAUCUCUAAACUGAUCAUGCAUCCAAAUUUCAUCAUCUUCUAAAAACUUUAUCAUGCACCUAUUAAUAAGGACUUGAAUAGCAUACUCCACCUUAAACCCACAAUAUUUCCACUGGUAGAUUAGAUUAGUCUUCUUCCAACUGAUGAAAAAGCAUGCAACAUCAAGAAAUAUGUGUUGUUGAUCCGGUUCUAAGGCAUCAUAGCUAAUCCUUAACUUUCCCAACACAUCCCUAUGAGGUGUUUCCCUUAGCUUCUCUAGCGUCUCUUCCCAUAUUGUUUCCUCUUUCUGACCAAAAAGCAAUGAACCUAUAGCUUCAAGAGCUAAAGGUAGUCCACCUGUAGUUGAGACAAUGCCUUUGGAAAGAGUGUAAUAAUUGGUAGGAGGCGAACCAUCAUCAAAGGAAUGCCUACUAAAAAGCCGGAGUGCAUCUUUUUUGCUCAACUCCUCCAUUUCGUAAUGCAGGAUUUUAUAUUUAAAACCCCUUAUUUUUAGAAUGCUUUUAUCCCUAGAGAUAACAAGUAUCCUAGUACCAGAACACAAAGAAUUCACUUCAAUUAGUUUUAGGAUUUGGUUGCCCUCAUCGACAUCAUCCAAUACAAUUAGCAUUUUCUUGUUGCAAAUUGUUUGUCCAAUCAUAGUGAUCCCCUGAUCCAUGUUAUCAAUGUGAGGAGCCACUCCAAAAUUGGAGAUAUCGGACAAUGAUUUUCUUUGCAACUCAACCAAUGAGCCCUUGGUUUUUGCCAUUUCCCUUAUAUCAUCAAGAAAGCUACAAUUUUUCCCAAAGCGAGGACAUAACUGGUUGAAGAUAAUCUUGGCAAGUGUUGUUUUACCAAUGCCACCCAUCCCGUAAAUUCCAAUGAGCCGCACACCAAUGGAGUCGAUGUCUAAUAAAUUAUUUACGGUUGCCGUUCGAUCUUCCAUUCCAACUAAAUCUACAGUCACCUGUCUUUGUCUUGUCUUGAGCCUGACUAUAAUCUCGUUGACAACCGACUUGAUAAGAUCCCCGUGGCUGCCACAAAUUUGAACAAUUUCAAUUGAGAAAAGGCAACAAAUUUGCAUGUUGACCAACCAUCGACUAAGCAACUGAGCGGGAAUGCGACCAAGUUUAGGAUAUAUAAAAAUUCAAUGUUACCCCCAAAGCUUGGGGAACAUGAUGAAUGACAAAAUUGAAAAUCCAUUACAAAUUAAAGUUAAAAGGAAUAGAGGAAGAGAUAUGUUUGAUCAUUAUUUCAAGUAGAAGAAUCAAAAUUUCUGGCCAGAAAAAGGUAGAAGAAUCAAAAUAUAAACAUCUGAUGACUAGUGUUAUAGUAGAUUUACUCAAUUCUUUCAAUGUGAAAAGGAACUUUGCAAAGGCAACCGUUCCUUAAUCAAGUUCUCCAGCGUACAACAGGAAUCUUAAGACAUUCACGGAUGAAAUUAGUAUAAAAAAGAUGAAGCAAAGCUAAACUUUUAUACGAUGGAAAUUAGGUGAAAGCAAAAUUAUAAUAAAUCUAUUAGAUCAGAAAAAAUUGGAAAUCUCAUGAUUUAGAAAAAAUAAAAAAGAAUUUGAAACUUUCUGUUUAAAUUUAGGGUAAUUAGAGUUGAAAAGUAAUUAACGAAUUUUCAUAAGAACUAUGGCCUGAUUGUACAAAAUAAGUUUCUCGAUCAUGGUUAGAUUGUUACCCUGAAUAUUUCUCCAGCUCCCAUCCCUUGGUGCCAUCAACUUCUUUGAGAGCCUGCUGCCACAUCUCUACAUCCUCAGAGCUAAACUUCUUCUUCUGAUCCUCCACUUUUUUCUCCAAAUUCAUUAUGGCCUUACUAUACAACGUGGUUUUCAGCAUCACGUCAUCGGGUUUCGCAUCAUAGAAGAUGGGCAAUAUGGCCUUCUUCUUCCCAUCUUCUUUUGAUGUAGAGGUGUUCUCCACCAUCUUUGCAAGCUCGCGAAGGCACCAAUGACUUGAAGCGUAAUUUUUGGAAAAGAUAGGUAUAUAUAUCUUGGAAUUGUUGAUCGCUUGCAGAAGGCUGUCACUAAUUCUUUCACCCGAUCGAAGCUCUUCAUCAUCAAUGAAAACAUCAAUCCCGGCAUCCACCAGAGCAUGAUAAAGGCUGUUGGUGAAUCCACAACGAGUAUCAGGCCCUCUAAAACUCAGGAAGACAUGGUACUCACCUCCUAAUGUAUUCAUGGUGCUUGUCCCUAUCUUUGAGUUUGCCAUAGGAGCCCACUUCGCACUUAGAGGGAAUUUUUCACAAAGCCGAAGAUGUUUUGCAUUUCUCAAAUGCAAGUCACGAUGAAGAGCUUUGAGACUUAUGGGGGACAAUUAAAAUAGUAUGUGGAUGUUCAAUUUAACCGAUGCCUGUAGGAAACUUGUCAGUAAGAUCCUUGUUGAAAAAACAUCACAUUUCCUUGUUGAAUAAAUGCAUACAGGCAACUUCGCAGCAGGUGCAACUUCCAAUGAUAUUCAAUAAAGUUGAUGGCUUUACAAAAAAUAAGGUGGAGGACAAUGACGUAGUGCACCUUUUCGCACGUCCAAUUUCUUUCCAGUUUCUUCCGUGUUUUUAAACUUUUGCAUUAAAAAAAAAUUAACUCUCAAACUUCUAAAUCAUUUAUGAUUAACCUUUUGCUAUAUCUAUAGUUGGACAUAUUUAAAAUUCCAAUCCAAUUUUGUAAAUUCACAAUUUAUCUACAUAAAUGCAUAAUAACAAAUAUUUCUAAAGAAUCCUCUCUCAUUAUGACACAUGGGACUCUAGAUACCCUUUCAUUUCCUGUACCUUGACCCGGUAUUUCAUAGGGAUGAGGCGUCGCAGGAUCUAGGGUGGGACCUUGCUCCCCCCCCGGAAGGGGGGUUUGGGUUGUUGCGGAGAGCCUUGUGGGGAGGGGUUUUAGGGAAACCCUUCCCAAGAAACCAUGUGAGUAGUUUAAAAACCUGCUUAGGUCUAUAUCUGCUUCAUCCUAUAGAGAAUUGGAUUUUUUGCUUUCACUAUAAAAAGUGCUCCCCCUAAGCACUACCUAAAGCAUAUGCUUCCCACUCCCUAUAUAAUAUUUGUUUUGAUCACUUCACUUUAAAGACUUACGUUUUAUUAUAAUUAAUUACCUUUUAACAACUCAAUUAUCCUCAUAAAAUGUGCAUUUAUAUUAAAAAGCAAAUGAUUGCUCAAAUCUUUUACUUUUGCGCCAAUGGACUAUAUAUUGAUGUAGAAAAUAUUAGGUAUGAGUCUAAUCCGAGCAUGUGAAAAUUUUAGUGCACUCAUCAAGCAACACGUAUCGCUUAGGCCUCACUGUUGGCAAAACCUCUAACACCCUCACCUCUCUCCUCACUCUGAAAGGUGUUUUUUUUUUUUUUUUGAAUUUUUUAUUGAUUUUUCUAUUUUUCUUUCCUUUCUUUUCCUUUCUUUUUCUUUUUCCUCUUCAUCUUAAACCUUGAGCUUUCUUCUCCCCGAACAUGAACACCUCUAGUGUCACGCCCCGAUCCUCAGGCACGCACACAUCCCUUACUUUUGGUCGAUUUUAAAAUGCGAUAUCCCAGGACUAUGUAUCGCCGACCCUUUCAUUUAUAUAUGCACAUGCGGAAGCAGUUAUAAAUCCCCAAAUAAUAAAGCAAUGGGAUAGAAAAGCAUGCCAUAUAUUUUUCUUACUGAAAAUUCACAACUACAUCUUUUUACAUGCAUCUCAUAGUAUUCUACAAUACUAUAUAUACGCAACUCUGGUCUAACGUCUAUUCACAUGCAAACAAGGUCUAACAAGACAGGACAGGAUCUCGGUCCUCAUCUGGGUCGUACUUGAUGUCAUACUCGGGGUCCUCCUCCACGUACUCCUCUUCGGGUUCCUCAACAAGGAUCUCCUCGUUAGAUUCAUGCUCCUUAGGCUCCUCAUCCAGGUCCUGAAAUGGUUAUUCAAUAACCACUGAGACAACGUCUUAGCAAGUUCUACCUCCUAAGACCCGAUUAGCAAACUAAUACACCUUAGGGCUGCCUACGCACAACAUGAGUCAGAGAACUUACCUUAACCUCAGAUUCCACCUGCAUAUUAGUACAGAUCGAAUAGGUACAUAAGCAAUCACAUCACAGAUAAAAACAUCGAUCUAAUUGACUUAGUCGAUUUCAUAUCAGGAAGACCACUCACGAUCAUCUUCCUUCAAUCAUUCAAUUCACAACAUCAAACCAAGGCAAUGAAUCACAUCAAGUCACACUCAGAUCGAAUCAUCGAUCAAUCGACCUAGUCGAUACAAGCUAGUCGAAUCAUUUCUAGGUCAUUCAUCCCACACCAAGCAAUUUCUUAGAUUUAGUGGCUUUACGGUCCCACCUGACCCUCUCAAGAUCUAGUGGCUUUACGGUCCCACUCGACCCUCUCGAGAUUUAGUGGCUUUAUGGUCCCACCCGACCCUUUCAUGAUCUAGUGGCUUUACGGUCUCACCUGACCUUUCCAAGAUUUAGUGGCUUUAUGGUCCCACCCAACCUUUUUACAAUGCCAUACUAUGUCACCGAGCCACGUGCAUUCUCCAGGAAGACAUACCGAGUCUCCGAGCCACGUGCAUUCUCUAAGGCUACCUUCGCCAAGAUGACCAUAUCUAAUUCACCGAGCCACGGGUCUUUCCCCAAGUAACAAUUCCAAUUCACUGGGCCACGGUGCAUUCUCCAAGGUGGAUUAACCAAUUCACUUUCGAUACUAACAACCGAUACCCAACCAAUUCUUCAAUCACAAGGCCAAAAUUUCAUUAUUUAAUAACAUACUUAAAAAUGCACCAUUAAAUCAAUUCGACACGAAUUAAAGCUCAAAUAAAUAAAUGGAUUGCUCCACGAAAAUCAGCACAAAAUUCCAAUCACUGGCCAUCCCAGUUGAAUUUCCGGAAAAUAAAUAAUUAAAUAAAUCAUUUCGAAAAUUAAAUAAAUAAAUACAAUAAAUUCAAUUUAGCACAAUAUAAAGCUCAAUUAAAUAAACGGAUUGCACCACGAUCAUCAGCAUAAAAUCCUGAUCACUGGCCAUCCCAGUUGAAUUUCCGGGAAAUAAAUAAUUAAAUAAUUAAUUUCGAAAAUUAAUAUUUAAUUCCUAAAAAUACCACCUAGGCCCGAUUUGCUUAAUUAACACCCGAUAAGGGACGGGAAAAAUCCCAAGAAGCAUCCAAUAAAUACUAUAGGCAAUUCUCUAUCUAAUCACACUAAUCACACAAUUAAUAAGCAAAGCAAUUAACUAAUAAUCACUAAUAAGUUCUAAUUUAACAACCUAAUUACACUUAAUUAACCCUAAUCAACCUUUAAGUGCAAUUAGCAGACUAAGAAGGCAUUAGUGAGUAAAACUCACUUGAUUAAAUAUUUGCUCGGAUCAAAUCAAUGAGCACGCGACAAAGCUCGAUCUUCUCCAAGGUGAGUCCUCAAACCGGGGCCCGGAACGGCCCGAAAUCGGUCCCGCAAACUCACGGAGAGGCUGGGCUCUCUGAUCUUGCGUUGCUGGCCUUGCUAGUCGGUCCGAAUGGGUUGACCUCAGCUCGGUUCGGGGCUGAGAUGCGGCCAAACUGGAUGCGGGGAGGACUGCUUGAUUGAUGCUGCGCUGAUCUGGACUUGAGGAGCACCGCAAGGGACAAAUCCGGGCUGGCUUUGCUGCUGGAAAGGAAAGCGAAAUGGAGCCAUUUCGUGGAGGAGCCGGUGGUCAACAAAACAGCCAAAGAAACAGCUUCGGCCUUGCUGGGUUGACGGAAGAAGGUUGGGCUGCAGACGCGUGGCCACGAGCUGCUGAGCUUGCUCGAUGAAAACGGCCGCCAAGGAGAGAAAAAUUAAGGAGCAAGCUCCCUCGACCGAACCAAGGAGGAGCAGCAGAACAGAAACUGCGCUCGGCGAAGGAAAAGAAGAGAAAAGCGGGAUCGUGGGGGCAGCUGGCGGCUUGGUCGUAUACCGAGAGAAGAGAAGAGAUAAGAAUGCAGGGGGAGUUGUCGGCUGAAGAUUUAAGGAACGUGCAAAACAUCGAGAAAAAGAGAGGGAGAGAUGUGAUCGUAAAUGGAUAGGAAGGAAUGGGGGUCCCAUGGGUCAACACUUAAACAAAUGAAAGACCAAAGCAAUUUCAAAGAGGAUACGUGUAUGGGACCGUCGGUCAUGGGGUGUGCGCAAAAUAAAGAAAGAAAAGGGAGGGAAAAAGCAAAACAAAAUUUAUAACUUUGCUCAACUUCAACACAAGAAUAAUUGGUCAUCCUAGGCCAAUUUCAACCUCAAUUUGCUCCAUUGAAGUUCAAAAUAAGACGGUCCUUUAGUCUCACGAAUUUCCUUUGAAAUCGACUUUUAUUUCAUUUUUCUCGGCAUCCGACUUUUUGAACAAAUAAUUUCGUUUGAGGUCCAAUUCAAAUGCAGAAAAAGCUCAAACAACUUCCAUUCACCGAUUCACUUACACCAGAUAUCAAAAGUCUCUUCAAAUCGGCCAAUCUUAAUUUCCGUUCNNNNNNNNNNNNNNNNNNNNNNNNNNNNNNNNNNNNNNNNNNNNNNNNNNNNNNNNNNNNNNNNNNNNNNNNNNNNNNNNNNNNNNNNNNNNNNNNNNNNNNNNNNNNNNNNNNNNNNNNNNNNNNNNNNNNNNNNNNNNNNNNNNNNNNNNNNNNNNNNNNNNNNNNNNNNNNNNNNNNNNUAGUUUUCAGAACUUUUAGACAAUGACCCGUGUCGAUUUUCUUCGAGCACAAUGACCCACUCGACACAUGGCGACUUUCGAUUAUCGUGAGAUCUCGAGAAUCAAGUACGGACACAUGGUACCAAAACGACAGUAAAAUCAAAUUAGUGCCGGUCGACGAGAGUUUUCCAAUUUAGUGGAGUCACCCACGAUCGGUCAUUCAUCUCAGUCAAACCAACCUAUUUCUAAAGAUUAGCACGGUCGAGAAAUCGAUUCAUGGUCGAAUUCUCAGUCUAUUUGCCUUAAAGUCCUUAAUAGCCUACCCAGCUAGUCUAGUUAUCUUGUGAGUGGCCAACUCAGAGAAAAACAUGUAGUCGCGUCGAUGAAAUGCCCAAUUGAUCUAAUCGAAAUCCGAACCCGAAAAUCUAGAUGUCACAUCUAGCGCCUGUAGCCAGCCGAAGCAAGGAUUGCUUAGUGUCAUGACUCUAGCUACCAACUGCCAUCCUUCACCGUCGCAAAAACACGACCACCCGCCAAUUAUCUACUCGACUAGCGUCAGUCACCGCCAUCUUUUUUCCUUUGUUUUUUCUUCUUCUUCCCUUUCACUCUAAUGAGGACGACAACAUCUCCUUCCACUACCACCCCACCGCCAUCUCUGUCCACCACCUCUCCGUCGUUUUAGCCCUCCAUUGUCAAGCUCAAGCUCAGUUGGCGAACUUGAGCCUCAGAUAUUGUGAUCUAGAUUUCAACUCGACCUAGAAUCUGAGUUGAUUCACAGUCGAUCGAGUUUUGCUUAGACAAUAAAUAUGACAUCAUAAAUUUCUCAACCUGUUUUCUAUUGAAUUAAUCGGACAUUUCAUUGACACGUUUAUAGGGUUAUUCUCAGAGNNNNNNNNNNNNNNNNNNNNNNNNNNNNNNNNNNNNNNNNNNNNNNNNNNNNNNNNNNNNNNNNNNNNNNNNNNNNNNNNNNNNNNNNNNNNNNNNNNNNNNNNNNNNNNNNNNNNNNNNNNNNNNNNNNNNNNNNNNNNNNNNNNNNNNNNNNNNNNNNNNNNNNNNNNNNNNNNNNNNNNNNNNNNNNNNNNNNNNNNNNNNNNNNNNNNNNNNNNNNNNNNNNNNNNNNNNNNNNNNNNNNNNNNNNNNNNNNNNNNNNNNNNNNNNNNNNNNNNNNNNNNNNNNNNNNNNNNNNNNNNNNNNNNNNNNNNNNNNNNNNNNNNNNNNNNNNNNNNNNNNNNNNNNNNNNNNNNNNNNNNNNNNNNNNNNNNNNNNNNNNNNNNNNNNNNNNNNNNNNNNNNNGAAAGGGAAACGAGAUCAAUGAUGGCCAUUGCCAAUAAUGGGUGGAAAGGGAAGAAGUCCAAGAAAGUGACGAGGACGAUGUCUUUUCAUGUUGGCCACUCGUCGUUUCCUUUCUUCUCUAUUUGGUUCUGCUGAAUUUCCCCUUUAGAUGCCAAGGGGAAGAGUUCUUAAUGUCAUAGAGAGCUCCGAAGGCUGCACCGAGCAUAUUGAAAAGCGUGCUGAAAGUUCCUCUUGAUCACACCAAAUAUUUCUUUUCUGAAGCCUAUUAAAUCUUUUGUUGAGAUUUGUAUCAUUUCGUUAAGAGAUUGAAAAAAUUAUUUUGAGAGAAAUUUUAAAAACUAAACACUGUAUAGUUAUUGAGUAUAAUUAGAAAUUGGAAAUCACCGAGAGUAUUUAAAUGACUUGAGUGUGAUUAUAACUUUCUUUAUAUAUAUUUUUAUAUCUAUAAUGGAAUCUUGUGCUGCUCUCCUUAUAGACAUAUACCACACGAUUGAAUCACAUAAAUAUAAAUCUAGUGUCCGAUUCAUUUUCUUGUUUUGUACAUUUUAUUCAAUUGCUUUUUCUUUUCUUUUUUUCAAAAGGGAAUAUGGUUUGAAGAAAAGUGAAACCAAAGUAAAAGAUAUUCAAUAGGACCCGCAUUAGGCAUUCAUGAACAAAUGCAUGAAAAUGUAUCUUUUAUUUUCUUAAGAUAUCGAUAAAUAUUUAUAACCUUAAACUUGUGGUUAGUGAUAGAAUUUGUCCCAUCGCCUGCUUAACAUUAACUCUGAUCGUGAGUACGAGAUUCAAUGCAAUCUACACGACCCGUUUCUUCUAAUGUCCCUUUGACAAUGCAUAGUGAUGUUCUUUUAUUGCCAUUUGCUCCUUUAAAUUGUGUUAGCCCGUGUGUUUCAGUUUGACUCCUUCAUUUUCCACGACUUUAUGGUCAAAUAUAUUUUAUUUAUUUAGUUUUGAAUGCGAUAUAUCAAGAAAAUCAUAAAUUUGCAGCUACAUCUUGACAUAUUAAGUAUGUCUAUUUUGCAUGAUUUGACAUAGAUUCUCACGACAUUUAUUAGUGAUACAUUUUUUUGUAGCAUGAUUUACCUAAUCAUUUUCAUAUUUCAUCUCUAAAUAAGUUUUUGGUGGAAAGAAAUUGAAAAUCAUUAUGAACAUUAUUCNNNNNNNNNNNNNNNNNNNNNNNNNNNNNNNNNNNNNNNNNNNNNNNNNNNNNNNNNNNNNNNNNNNNNNNNNNNNNNNNNNNNNNNNNNNNNNNNNNNNNNNNNNNNNNNNNNNNNNNNNNNNNNNNNNNNNNNNNNNNNNNNNNNNNNNNNNNNNNNNNNNNNNNNNNNNNNNNNNNNNNNNNNNNNNNNNNNNNNNNNNNNNNNNNNNNNNNNNNNNNNNNNNNNNNNNNNNNNNNNNNNNNNNNNNNNNNNNNNNNCAUUCGGUUAGCUCCAUUCACAGAUGUAAGGAGACGCCGGGGUAAUGAGUAAAGACACUGUGAUCAAAUUUGAACAAAACGUCGUUUCAAAAAUAGCAUUCAAAAUACACAUAAUGCAUUCAUGACAGUUUUUAUGAACCCAACAUUUCACAAAUUAUGUAUAAAACAACAAUCCUUCCAAAGAUAUGGCAAUCGGAUCAUGACUAUGGUCAUCUUUGAUGCGCAACUUUCUACAACUCAGCAACACCUUUUGAAAAUGCUAUGAACAUGUGCAUCUUAUGUAGGGGUGAGCGGUUCUAGGUUCCGAUUUGGUUCCGUCUGGAACCUGGAACCUACCCUCGAGUACAGGUUCCAAAAGAUUUGGAAUCUGGAACCUACCCGUCAGAACCAAGAACCUGAAACCUACCCUAUCACAGGUUUCAGGGUCGGUUCUAGGUUCCAACAAUUUUUUUUUUGUUUUUUUUUUUUUCAGAUUUGAACUAUAACGUACACGCAUAUUAUGGGAAUCUUCAGCAUAGUCAAGAUGCUGGCUGUCACCAAUCUUUCUUCUCAAAUCAUAUGUUUUUAUCAAAACAUAGAAAUCCUUUUUGUAAGUCCGCGAAGAAGUUCUGCUAUGCUUAACCUGUUAACCGCAAGUUCAUAUUAGGAGCAAAUCUACCAAAAAUCAUGCUGGUGCAUAUUUCUGUUUUCAAGCAUUUAAAAUAUCCCUAUGAACACAAAAAAACCUAAUCCAAUCCUUAGAACAAAAGAAAACAACAAACUCACAGAAAAACGUAGAUUGGAGCGGUAGAAUGAUGUAAGCACAAUCUUUGUCUCCUUUGACAUGCAAAGGCAUCGAAUAACAUCUUCUCGAACACAGUUAGUAGCAGUAGCAGUCAAAGCCAUCAGUGGGAUGUCAAAUUUCAAGAACUUCAUCUUGGAGGUGCUGAAGUUCUCUCUUAACACAGAUAGUUUCCUGAAACGUGAAAAAACUUCAAUCAGGAAAGAAUCCUUACCAUAAUCUUUAAUCAUCAUAAUUGUCCCCUCUAUCAACUAGGAUAAUUAACAUGCAAAGCUGAACCAAUGGUCAAAGUCAUGGUAAAUAACCGAGCAACAAGUAAGAAAAAGAGAGAAGAAAUGACUGUAACGAAAAUCAAAUUUUAUUACAGAAAUGAAAGAUAGAUAUAUAUGAGGUAAAAUGACAGGUUUACCAUCGUGUCUAUGAUUAACAUAUGUGACACUUUUAGCAAGUCAGGUCUAAGAUGGUUAAUCACCUGCCAAACAAAUUAGGUAGUGCACAGAGAAAGAUCGGAUCAGAAGAAAAGGGUUAACCUGUAGUCAGGCUGAAAAUCAUGGCCCCAUUUCGAAACACAGUGGACUUCAUCAAUUGCAAAUAAUGCGAUUCCUCGGCCUGCUGCUAGACUUUGUAGUGGCUUUAUAGCCUGUAGGAAGAUCCAUAUCACUCGGUAAAAAAAAUGACAAGAGAUAACACCACUGCACAUGACAAUUAACUUUUGCUAGAUGCUAAUAAUCUGUAUAUUUUGAUAGAUGAUAACUCGUGCGCAAAUGACACAACCUAAAAGGAGUCCAUUUGAUCAUGCAUAUAUCCAUUAUGCGGCACAUUGUUAUCCUUGUCCUAUAUUGCCUCUACAAUUAAGGACCAGUAAUUCAUAAGAGCCACUUUGUAUAAGAGAACAUAACAUUCACCGUGCACACAAAGCACCACAUUCUAUGUUGACAAAAUUCACCCAGAUCACAGAGCCAGAUCACAUUCAUUGAGAACAGAACAUUCAUCCUCAGCACACCUUCAUUAUCAUCAACAAGAAGAACAACAUCGACAUGCGCUAAAAACGUCGCGUUAAGAACAACAUCGUCGCACUACAGGCAAUGAGAUGCACGCUAAGAACAACAUCGUGGCACUACAGGCAAUGAGACGUUCCAGGUGAUUCGCAAUCAUCAUCAGACGCGCAAAACGAUCGGCGGAAAGCGAGAUUAGAUGAGGACUGUACCUUGAUUAAUCUCAGCAAAUGCCGAAUUUAAGAGAAGGCAAAUCGUGCAAUGUUUCCAGAACAGGCACCCUCAGGCUUCGCGAUAAACAAGUCCAGCGACUAGCGUCGAGUGGUGGUAGCGUGGCUUGUGACGUUUGGCGGCGGCCUCAAGGGUGAGCGGCGUUGGUGACAGGCAAAGCGGCCUCGGCGACAGGCAAAGCACGGGAGAGACUGGUGUCGAGCGGCGAGGGUUCGGGCGAGUGGCGUUGGCGACUGGCAUCCAUGGCGUCUAGCGAUGGCGGCCUUGAGGGUGAGUGGUGUCUGGUGGUGAGAGUCAAAGUGGCGUCGGCGACAAGCAAAGGUAGAGUAUGGCAACAACUGGCGUCGAGCUGAGAGGGUUCGCGCAAGCGGCAUCGGUGACUGGCAUCUAGUGGUGUUCGGCGGCAGCGACCUUGAGGGCGAGCGGCGUCUGGCGGUGAGAGUCAAAGCGGCGUCGGUGAUGGGCAAAGGCAGCAUGGCAGCGACGGGGCGUUGAGUGGUGAGGGUUCACGCGAGCAACGUCAGCGACUAGCAUCCAGCGACGUCCGGCGACAACGGCCUUGAGGGCGAGCGGCGUCCGACGGUGUGAGUUCCAGGUCUGAAAUGAAAUCUGAAUAGGGAGCGCCAAGGAGGGGAGGGGGGCUCCUUUUGGAGCCUUAACCAGUUCCGCAACUGGUUCCGGUUCCGUUUUUGAAACCGAAACCGGAAUUGCCGAUUCCCGGAAAAGAGGAACCGGGCAUCGGAACCGGUCCCUUAAGAACCGGGAACCGAAUCGGAACCUCCUGUUCGGUUCUCCGGUUCCUGAUUCUACCCGAGAACCGUGCUCACCCCUAAUUUUAUGCUUUCAAGCCAUUGCCUCAAACGAUUGGAAUACAUAAAAGACGUUAGUGCUUGCUUUUUAGUAAAUCGAAAGGUCAUGCGAUACCAUAUUACAAGAUCCCCAAAAGAUGCCAACAUGCCAUCCUUUGAAAUCAUGUUUUUACCUUUUAAUUAAUCACGCAUGUUGCAUACAGCUUCAAUAAAUCCGAAAGGUUUUAGGCAUGUGUAAAUUGAUGUUAUCGGACGAUUAGUUUUUGGACCUAUUUCUUCAAUAGCUAAAGGUAGUCAAUAUGUGGUAUAGACAACGCCUCUAAGAGUGAGUAGUAACUAGCCGGAGGAGAGUUCUCAUCGAAGGCAUUUUGUCGCGACCAAUUUUUCGAGGGUAUGAACCACCUAGGGUUUGGCUAAUGGAUUGUUAAGCCUAGACUUAACUUGGGCUCUCCCAAGCCCAUACCAAUUCGCGACUUAGGUUUGAAUUGUUAACAUGCAAUUUUUUAAUUAGGAGUCGCCACUAAUCUAUUUUUGGUGGGUCGAUUAGAAACCCUAGUAAAGUAAUGGGAGAUUUACUUUACUCCUACGAACCAGAGACUAAGGGUACGGGGACUUGGUUACGUUAGAUUUCUCUAACGCCCUUACGGUACCUUUCUUUUUAUUUUGAAAAAUGUUUGGCAGGCAGCUUGAAUUGAUUUUGAACUAUCUCCCUAACAUGUGAGGUGUUCAUACAGGUGCGCAAACCACCAAUUUAAUACCCAAGAAAGCAAUUAAAUCAUGUAGAACUUACCUCAAAGCAACGAAAGCAUCUGCAGUGUUAAAUUAAAAUCCACAUCAACAAUCCUAGAUAUGGUUUCUAAUUAACACGCAAUUUCUUUCUUUUUGUUUUCACUUAUUAAGUGAAAAUAUAGUCAAUAUGCAAUGCAAUGCUAUUAAUUUAACAUGAAAUGAUAUAGCAUGGCGACAUAACCUAGACUAUAUAACAUAAAAAUUUUAUGAUCUCUUAAUGAGCAUGUAAUUGUUAAAUAUGCAAUGCAAAUUAACCAAAAUGACUUAAUUCUAAUGACGUGCAAUGCAAUGCAAUGACGUACAAAAUUAUUUCAUCUAAAUGACAUGCGACAUUGCAAUUUAAUAUGCGAACUAUAUGUCACGCGACAUUUAUUAAAUGACCUAAUCUGAUGACGGUCAAUUUCUAAUUAGAAAUAAACCUUAACAAUAAUCACUAAAUGACGUGCAUUGUAUGAAACUAAUUUUAUAUGACGUGCACAUGAUUUUUAUUUUCCUAAUAAGCAUGCAAUCUAUUUAGGAGAAAUUAUCUAAACCUAUAAUAUGCAAUCUUAGCCUGCAAUGACGUGCAAAGAAUGCUCUAAUUCUACAUGACAUAUGCAUAUGACAUUUUUUAUUAAAAAAAUGCAAUCUAUCUUAGAAAUUGCAACUAAUUUAUCCUAAGAAAAAUUUUAUGAAAUCUCAAAUGAUCUAUAGCUAGAUUAAGAUUCUAUCUAAUUUAAACUAGGGAUUAAGUCAUAUUAAAUCCUAAUUUAAACCAAAACAUUAUCUAAAUCUAAAAUGCCAUUUAUCUGAAAAAGAUGAUCUAAAAUGAAACAUGCAAUUCUAAUCUAAUAUGCACAAUGAUUUUUUUUUUUGUGUUUUUCUUUAAUCUCGAAAUUAAAAUUAAUACAUAAUUAACAUGCAAUUCAAAUAAAAAAAACUAAUAACCUAAAUGAAUGCACUUUCUUUUUUUGGAUUUUUUUUAUUUAAAAAAUUCAUAAUAAGAUUGCAUUCCUAAAUAUGCAAGAUGACAACAAACCUAAUCCUAAUUAAGAUUUUUUUGAUUUUUUAUUUUACGAAAAUAAGAUUUCACUCAACCAACUUGAUGAUAGCAAAUCAAACAAAAGAUAAGAUUGAUAUCCAAAAAUUGGCGAACCAUAUCUCGCGCAUGAGAUCGGGUUGACCAAUUUUAAUUUUAAAUCGCGAAUCAAAUCUCGGGCUUGAGAUUUGAUUGUUGAUUUUUAUAAGGGAUUGCGAGUCGGAUUUCAGGCGCGAAAAUCGGACUAUCAAUCCCUAGCUUGAGGGCACUUUCAUGUUGGAAUCUCAAUCAAACAUUUAAGAGGAACAAUUCCACUAAACAAAACCAAAUAUAAAGGAAAAUAAAUAAAAAAACUAUAACUGGAUAAGCAAUAAUAAUAAAAUAAAAGAAACUACAUAAAUCCCUUUUCCCUUUUUUUUUUUGUUUUUUUUCUUCUUUCCUUUUCCACGUGGAACCGUGGGUCUUCGAGGAGGUCCACCAGGAGUUAAUCGUCGGAGCUCCGACGAUGAGGACCAGCAGCGAGCGGAUUGGCGGCGAGCGGUGGCGUCGCGAGGAGCAGCGGUAGGCGAGAUCUCGGCCGGCGUCGCGGGUGCAGGUGCUCGGCUCCGACGGCACGGCAGCGAAUGGGACUGCAACUCGGGGAAUCUGGUCACAGUGUUGCGGUGGGCUCAGAUCUGCAGGCGAAGCGGCUGGCGUUCGGGCAGCGGUGAGGGGGGUGAGUAGCGGCGUCGAGCAGCAGCGAGGGGGUUGAGCAGCGGCGUCGGGCAGCAGCUCCGUUACGGCAGAUCAGGGACAGAGAUCGGCUGAGGCGCGAAGGGCUUUAUCUGGCCGGUGGAACGGAUCGACAAGGCAGCAGCAGUUUCGCAGGGGCGAUGGAGCUGGAACGCGGAUCCUGGGUCGUCGGGUUGGUAGGCGAAGCAGCAGCUCGGCCAGGAGGCGCGGCUCGUCGAAGGAGCAGCAAGGACCCGUGGAGCAAGGGCGCCCGGGCGGAGUGCGGUUACAGAUCUGUUCGGGUCUUGCUCCGGAUAGAGGGGAACGUUAGGCGUCGGACCAGAAGCGGCACAGCGAUGGCUUCAAGCGGGGGCGGCGGGAGCAGAGGCGAUCGGAGCAGGAGCAGCGUCAGUGGUGCUUGGUGAUGGCGAGCGAGAGAUCUACAGGUUGUGGGCUUCGGAGGCGCGGUGGAGGUGGGGCAAGGCGGCGACGUCCGAAGUGCAGCGAGCGCGGGCAGCAGUCGAUCCCACCGGAGAAGAAGAACAGUGUUUUUUUUCCUUUUUUUUUUAUUUCUUUCUCUCUCUUCCUGUCUCUCUCACGUUCUUUUCCUCUGCCCUGUGUACUUUCUGCAGCUUCUCCCUUUCUUUUCUUUUUCUGAAAUUUUUUUAGAGAAGCCCCCCCCCCAAACCCCUCGCACGCACGGCCUUUUAUAGGGGAGGGAAUUGGAUUUUCAAAUUCUUCAUCGAAUCAACCUUCGCAAAUCUUUUUAACAAAAUUCAUCUCAUAUUGAUAAGGAUUCGAGAUCAAGAUGAAAUUUUUUCUAAAUCCAAAUCUUUUAAAGACAAAUCGCAAUAUUUUUUACCCAUCUGCCCUAUCCAAAAAAGAUUCAUAUCUCGGAAAAAUUUUAAAAUAUUAUAUUCCCACAAGAUAAUUUUUAAUUAUUAAAAAGCACGGGCUUGGGCCAACCUGUUCGCUUCACGGGCCUGAUCCAUCUAAUUUGAAUAUAUCCGCCACUGGUCCAAUAAAAUGCAAAAAAUGCAAAUAACAAAAUAAAUGCAACUUAAAUCUAUAUGCUAUGCAAUUAAUAAAAUUAACCCCUAAUUUCCUAUGCAAUAAUAAAUUAAUUAAAUUAUCAAAAUUUAUGUGUCAACAGCUGCCCCUCUUUGAAGGUGAGCUCGUAGAUGUUGCAUUCAAAGACAAAUUGAAACCGAAAUUUUGACCAUGCACAUGCACUGAAUGACUUGAUCUUUGAUUUUUGAUUUUUUUUCUUUCCGGAAGAUGAAUUCCAUUUUAAAAUGCAAUUAAUAUGAUGCUUGAAAAUGCUAAUGCAAAUGCAUGAUGUGAAAGGAAAAUACGUACUUGCAAUUUCUUGCCAGUCAGUGCGGUAAAGCAUCUUGAGGUACAUGAUAAAUCCCCAUUUACUCUGUAAGUACCUAACUCUCACUCAGGUUCCUUGAAGAGUGUAACAGGUAAUAGGUUGAGACAUUGAGAUCGAGAAGACCAUUCACGUCCAAAGUGAAAUGUUCAAAGAAUUGAGACAUCCAGAUCCAGACUGAGAUGCCAAGAUUUCUGAACUCUAAAUACCUAGAUCCAGACUAAGGUAUAAUGAGAAGGAUCGAAAAACAUUCACAUCCAGAGUGAAAUGUUCAACGAAAAGAAUUAAGACAUCCAGAUCCAGACUGAGAUGUCAAGAGUUCUGAAUUCGAAAUACCUAGAUCCAGACUAAGGUAUAACGAGAAAUGUUGAAAAAAACAUUCACAUCCAGAGUGAAAUGUUUAGACAAAAAUAACUAAGACAUCCAGAUCCAAACUGAGAUGUCGAAAUUUUGGAAAUUGAAAUACCUAGAUCCAAACUAGGUAUAACAAGAAUAGUUGAAAAACAUUCACAUCCAGAGUGAAAUGUUGAAUGAAAAUAAUCAAGACAUCCGGGCCCAGACUGAGAUGUCAAGAGUUUGGGACUCGAAACUAAGGUAUGACGAGGAAGAUCGAAGAACAUUCACAUCCAGAGUGAAAUGCUCUAACGAAAAGAAUCAAGACAUCCGAGUCCAGACAGAGAUGUCAUGAUUUUUGAAAACUCGAAAUACCUAGAUCCAGACUAAGAUAUAACGAGGAAGAUUGAAGAACAUUCACAUCCAAAGUGAAAUGUUCAACAAAAAGAAUGGAGACAUCCAGAUCCAAACUGAGAUGUCUAAUUUUUGGAAAAUGGUAAAGAAACUUACCUGGAAUAUCUUACCUUCAAGGAGGGUAGAGUGAUCCAAAGUAGUUGAUGUUACAUAUCCAGGACUCGUACUUUUCUACGGUCACCUAACAUUGCAACAUUGAUUAUCUGACCAGGACUCAAACCUUUUCUCGAUCGCCUGAAUCUGAGGAAAACUUCUAGGGGACAACUCCGUCGAUUCUAGUGUCGGUGCAUUUGAGAGGGAAAUACCUGUGUAACGACGAGUAUUCGAGUAUUUAAGGUAUGGAUAGAGAUAUACUUACCUAGUAACAUCUCUAAUCCUGGGGGAUAUGUCUCCUGCAAAACAUGGUCAUAGGAGAGGUAAUAUGCAUUUAUGAUCACAAACAUGCAUUGAUUUAAGGGCGGUUCAUGCGCUGUGAUUUAUAUCAAGCAUGCAUCACCUAACUUCUAUUGGGAAGGAUUUCACAAAGAAUGUUCCAAUCUGAACACAUGAGUGUCAUGGAUGUACCAAAUGGGGGACCUCUUGGUCUGAAAGGACUUUUCACUCAUCCUCAUUAAAAUGGGUUGUUUUAUCCUGACUUUUGAUGCAGGAUUUUUGACAAUCACUCUAUCUCACUGUCAUCAUGCCAAACAAGGGUCUUGAGCAAUCUCGCAAGUGGUACGACCUUACCAAUCUGAGAGGACUUUAACAGGGACCGCAAUGUGAGGUUGGUCAACGGCUUAACAAAGGGGACUCUUUGAGUCGAGGCUAUUAAAAAAAUGAAUGAUAUUUCGCAAUCAUCCUAGGGUUUACAAGCCAAGAAACAUGAGAAAUGAAGCAGAAAUUAUCUUACUCGCACUUCUUUAAGCGGUGCUUUCAAACAUAUGAACUUUUACGUUAAUUCAAGUGCCCUAAUCUAAAGAGACUUUGCGAGGGACGUAACGUAGGCUAAGUUCAUGGGUUGAGAAACAAAAAGAUGAUUAUGCUCAAAAAGUGUUUAUGGGGUCAAAGUUGGUGACCAUCUUGACAUUUCCACCAAUUUUCCUCCUCAUCGUCGAAGAUUUUCUUCACUUCACAACUCCACUGAUUGCAAUAUCUCAACAUUUGAGUUUUUUUUUUUUAGGUACCCAUUUGUUAGGGAUACGACUCACUUCAUCAAGUGUUUGAUUUUUUCUUUGGGCAUUGGCUUUGCUUUUACCAGGCACACUGCUUUUUCAUGCCCCAUUUUUGCACUCUUUUUUUUUUUACAAAGUCUUCAUUUUUAUCAGCAUUGUAAACCAUGCUACUUGAGUGGUUUGAUUUUUCCUUGCCCCAAUGUGGGGGAUAAUCACCAACUAGGCUUAAUAUGAAACGAAUUCAUAGGCUCAAAUGGGCUAUGCAAUGGAUAAUAUAGUGUGGAUAGAGAAAGAACUGCUCUUCGUCAUUCUAAGGCACUUCAAAUUAUCGUACAAGUUACACUGCGAAAACAAUACUCGAAGAUUGAUGCAAGUUUGAGUAAGAAAAUUCCUACGAUUUCAUUUCAAACUUUGUCCCAGUAUGGGAUGAUCCUUGACAGGGAUAACUUUAGAAGCUUUUCUGUGUGUGGGCUCAAAGGGCUGAACAAUGGAUAUAUUUGUAAUGUUUCGGGUAGCAGAAGAAACUGCCUCUCAUCACCUUAGUUGACGUACCCUUUGCGAGAUCACCCUUUUCCUCAUAGGCAUGGAAUUUUUCACACAACUCACUGGGGGUUUGUGUAUGGAAUGGGUUUGCCUUUCAUCAUUCCAAAGUAUCCCAUUUCACACAUUCAAUCCAUCUCACACAAUUCAUCAAGGAAGAAAAAUGUAAGAUUUGCAGCAAAUUUGAACGAUUCAAUUCACUGAGAAAAUUUACUCAUCGUAGAAAUGCUUGCAGCUCAAAUCAUGACAUAGCAAAUUCUAUCAUGGAUAAUACUUCUUGAAAGCAUUAGAAUUUACUAGAGUUUGAAAACUCAUGACCAUCCAUUUUUGCUAGGAUGGCACCUCUUGAAAGUACCUUCCUUACCACAUAUAGGCUGUAAUUUGGAGCAAACUUACCCCCAGGAUCUUCCACCGAAGAAUGAUGGUUCUCAUUUACUUGCCCCAAAUCUUUUUUCAUUGCAAGUGCGCUCUAAAUCUAUUGAUCACAAGUUAAGUAUAUGAUCAUUGAAACUUGAUACGUUAUUCUCAGAUGUCCCUUGUCAUAACAAGUUAUAGAAUUAUGCUCUGAGACAAGAAGCAAAUGAGUUAGAUAAACAAACAGGUUUAAUCUGCUACAAGUUUUGGGAAUUUUUUUUUAGCAGUGAAAUGCUUUUGUUUUUGAAAAGGUUUUUGGGAAGAAACAUGAAAGAGUCCAGCCCUCAGGAUUUCUCCGUGGAUGAUAUUUUCUUUUUCAUGGUUGGAUAUCAUCAUUGGACUGGUUUGGAGUACCCCAUCAUGUCCUCAAAAUUGGAAAUAAAAUUGUAAUUUCAUUGAAUAGAAUCAAAUGAAUUACAUUAUUAGAAUGGAAAUUGUGAUUCCUAACCCCUAAAAAGAGAAAACAUCAAAAAUGAUUCCUAAAAAGCGGAAACCAAUCCCAAAAAGUGAUAAACAUUCCUAGAAAGCGAUAAAAAUUCCUGCGCAGGGGAAUGUGCAACAGUAACAAGUUACUAUUGCAGGCUAACGUCCAUGUCUUCCGAAGGUCCUUCGUCAUUGGUUCCUAUGAAGAGGUCAUCGAACAGACUUGUGAUUCCUUCCAGGGCAUCAUCAGAGUUCUCUGUCUUUGGAGACGUCGGAUCGUCCAUGUCAUCCCAUCCACUUGGAACUAUGUUGCGGGAGUCAAAGUAAAAGCUGGGAGGAGCCGAACACUUCACUAAGUAAUCAAACUUGCCACUAGACUGCCCUAGAGUGUCCAUCACUUCCACUUCAUCCUGCCCCAUCUUAGGGACAUUGUCAGGUUUAGGUUUUUCAGCAGUGACCAACAGUGGGUCAUCUUCCAGGUCAAGCAUGUCACCAUUGCCCAUUUGGGUCUUACCUGACUGCUUCAGGACUACUGUCUCAGGGAGAGUAGGUGCAAGAGUCAAAUCCGUUUGGAGGGAUUGGAUUUGAGCUGUCAUGAAUUGCAUAGAGGUGAGCAACUGUCGGAGUUGGUCUUCCAUAGCGGAGAUACGAUCACGCAUUUCGGUUUGGUCGGCCAUUCUAGCUCUCGAUCGCGUAAUACGCGGAGGAUUCGUUAUCACCUAAUUCAAAUGAAAAAUAUAUAAGUAUGAGGUGCAAAUAAAGAAUCAAUCCAUGACAAUGAUCUAUCAACUUUUUUUCAUCAUUUUUUUUUCAUAAAAAAACUCUUACAAGGAGGGAAUUUCCUAAAGAGAGCUAGAAAAAUAGACAUCCUAGUAAAAUCAAAUUUCCUAGACAUGAAUUGAAAACAAAUUCUCCAAAGUUUUUUUUUAUUUUCCAAAUGAUUUAUUGCAUUACAAUUUCCUCAUUUCAUUAUUGAAAGGAAUUAGAUCAAAUGACUAUCUUAGAUUGUCAUGGAUAGACCAAAAGCAUGACAAAAUAAAUUGCAUGGUAUAGGGAUAGAAAACUUACUUUACCAAGAAAAUUCGACGGCAAUCACAUAGACAUGCGCAUGGUGAGUGGCUCGAUUUCUAAUCUAUAAGGCUUAUCAAGGUGGAGCCACAAGGAUGAUCAGACUAGCCACGGGCUUGUGGACUAUGUCGGGUCCUCAUGACUUCGGCUUGGUCGAAGAGCCGACCUGGGUCGCGGGCAUGCGGACUGAGGUGGGUACUCUUGACACCAUGAAAGAAACUUCGGGAUUGAGAUGGGCGACUCGUACCGCGAGCAUGCGGUCGAAGUGGUAUCCAUCUCAAUACCAUCCUAAAUGAUCCUGUGCGGCCCAGGUCCGGCAGCAGGUUGUGUGUGCAAAGUGUAGUGAUUUAUGCAAAGCAUGCAUAGCAAUUUAAAUCAAACAACACUUCAAUAUAAAAAUAAACCAUACAUUUCUUACACCUCCCUGCAAGGCAAGGGUUAGUAAUCACUUCCCCUUAUACCUCCCAAUCUGCAAGAACAUUUAACACCUAAAUGUUAGGGACGUACCUGGGAUCCUUGCUGCCAAACAAAAAUAUUUUUCAAAAAAAGAAAAUUGGCCUAAGUCCACUAAGAGUUUCAACUCAAGUCCCCAGCGGAGUCGCCAAGCUGUCGCGACCAAUUUUUCGAGGGUAUGAACCACCUAGGGUUUGGCUAAUGGAUUGUUAAGCCUAGACUUAACUUGGGCUCUCCCAAGCCCAUACCAAUUCGCGACUUAGGUUUGAAUUGUUAACAUGCAAUUUUUUAAUUAGGAGUCGCCACUAAUCUAUUUUUGGUGGGUCGAUUAGAAACCCUAGUAAAGUAAUGGGAGAUUUACUUUACUCCUACGAACCAGAGACUAAGGGUACGGGGACUUGGUUACGUUAGAUUUCUCUAACGCCCUUUCGGUACCUUUCUUUUUAUUUUGAAAAAUGUUUGGCAGGUAGCUUGAAUUGAUUUUAAACUAUCUCCCUAACAUGUGAGGUGUUCAUACAGGUGCGCAAACCACCAAUUUAAUACCCAAGAAAGCAAUUAAAUCAUGUAGAACUUACAUCAAAGCAACGAAAGCAUCUGCAGUGUUAAAUUAAAAUCCACAUCAACAAUCCUAGAUAUGGUUUCUAAUUAACACGCAAUUUCUUUCUUUUUGUUUUCACUUAUUAAGUGAAAAUAUAGUCAAUAUGCAAUGCAAUGCUAUUAAUUUAACAUGAAAUGAUAUAGCAUGGCGACAUAACCUAGACUAUAUAACAUAAAAAUUUUAUGAUCUCUUAAUGAGCAUGCAAUUGUUAAAUAUGCAAUGCAAAUUAACCAAAAUGACUUAAUUCUAAUGACGUGCAAUGCAAUGCAAUGACGUACAAAAUUAUUUCAUCUAAAAUGACAUGCGACAUUGCAAUUUAAUAUGCGAACUAUAUGUCACGCGACAUUUAUUAAAUGACCUAAUCUGAUGACGGUCAAUUUCUAAUUAGAAAUAAACCUAACAAUAAUCACUAAAUGACGUGCAUUGUAUGAAACUAAUUUUAUAUGAUGUGCACAUGAUUUUUAUUUUCCUAAUAAGCAUGCAAUCUAUUUAGGAGAAAUUAUCUAAACCUAUAAUAUGCAAUCUUAGCCUGCAAUGACGUGCAAAGAAUGCUCUAAUUCUACAUGACAUAUGCAUAUGACAUUUUUUAUUAAAAAAAUGCAAUCUAUCUUAGAAAUUGCUUAGAAAUUGCAACUAAUUUAUCCUAAGAAAAAUUUUAUGAAAUCUCAAAUGAUCUAUAGCUAGAUUAAGAUUCUAUCUAAUUUAAACUAGGGAUUAAGUCAUAUUAAAUCCUAAUUUAAACCAAAACAUUAUCUAAAUCUAAAAUGCCAUUUAUCUGAAAAAGAUGAUCUAAAAUGAAACAUGCAAUUCUAAUCUAAUAUGCACAAUGAUUUUUUUUUUGUGUUUUUCUUUAAUCUCGAAAUUAAAAUUAAUACAUAAUUAACAUGCAAUUCAAAUAAAAAAAACUAAUAACCUAAAUGAAUGCACUUUCUUUUUUUGGAUUUUUUUUAUUUAAAAAAUUCAUAAUAAGAUUGCAUUCCUAAAUAUGCAAGAUGACAACAAACCUAAUCCUAAUUAAGAUUUUUUUGAUUUUUUAUUUUACGAAAAUAAGAUUUCACUCAACCAACUUGAUGAUAGCAAAUCAAACAAAAGAUAAGAUUGAUAUCCAAAAAUUGGCGAACCAUAUCUCGCGCAUGAGAUCGGGUUGACCAAUUUUAAUUUUAAAUCGCGAAUCAAAUCUCGGGCUUGAGAUUUGAUUGUUGAUUUUUAUAAGGGAUUGCGAGUCGGAUUUCAGGCACGAAAAUCGGACUAUCAAUCCCUAGCUUGAGGGCACCUUCAUGUUGGAAUCUCAAUCAAACAUUUAAGAGGAACAAUUCCACUGAACAAAACCAAAUAUAAAGGAAAAUAAAUAAAAAAACUAUAACUGGAUAAGCAAUAAUAAUAAAAUAAAAGAAACUACCUAAAUCCCUUUUCCUUUUUUUUUUUGUUUUUUUUUCUUCUUUCCUUUUCCACGUGGAACCGUGGGUCUUCGAGGAGGUCCACCAGGAGUUAAUCGUCGGAGCUCCGGCGAUGAGGACCAGCAGCUAGCGGAUCGGCGGUGAGCGGUGGCGUCGCGAGGAGCAGCGGCAGGCGAGAUCUCGACCGGCGUCGUGGGUGCAGGUGCUCGGCUCCGACGGCACGGCAGCGAAUGGGACUGCAACUCGGGGAAUCUGGUCACAGUGUUGCGGUGGGCUCGGAUCUGCAGGCGAAGCGGCUGGCGUUCGGGCAGCGGCGAGGGGGGUGAGCAGCGACGUCGGGCAGCGGCGAGGGGGGUGAGCAGCGGCAUCGGGCAGCAGCGAGGGGGUUGAGCAGCGGCGUCGGGCAGCAGCGAGGGGGUUGAGCAGCGGCGUCGGGCAGCAGCGAGGGGGUUGAGCAGCGGCGUAGGGCAGCAGCUUCGUUACGGCAGAUCAGGGACAGAGAUCGGCUGAGGCGCGAAGGGCUUUGUCUGGCCGGUGGAACGGAUCGACAAGGCAGCAGCAGUUUCGCAGGGGCGACGGAGCUGGAACGCGGAUCCUGGGUCGUCGGGUUGGUAGGCGAAGCAGCAGCUCGGCCAGGAGGCGCGGCUCGUCGAAGGAGCAGCAGCGGCGCUCGAGCAGCAAGGACCCGUGGAGCAAGGGCGCCCGGGCGGAGUGCGGUUACAGAUCUGUUCGGGUCUUGCUCCGGAUAGAGGGGAACGUUAGGCGUCGGACCAGAAGCGGCACAGCGGUGGCUUCAAGCGGCGGCGGCGGGAGCAGAGGCGACCGGAGCAGGAGCAACGUCAGUGGUGCUUGGUGAUGGCGAGCGAGAGACCUGCAGGUUGCGGGCUUCGGAGGUGCGGCGGAGGUGGGGCAAGGCGGCGUCGUCCGAAGUGCAGCGAGCGCGGGCAGCAGUCGAUCCCACCGGAGAAGAAGAAUAGUGCUUUUUUUCCUUUCUUUUUAUUUCUUUCUCUCUCUUCCUAUCUCUCUCACGUUCUUUUCCUCUGCCCGGUGUACUUUUGCAGCUUCUCCCUUUCUUUUCUUUUUCUGAAUUUUUUUAGAGAAGCCCCCCCCCCAAACCCCUCGCACGCACGGCCUUUUAUAGGGGAGGGAAUUGGAUUUUCAAAUUCUUCAUCGAAUCAACCUUCGCAAAUCUUUUUAACAAAAUUCAUCUCAUAUUGAUAAGCAUUCGAGAUCAAGAUGAAAUUUUUUCUAAAUCCAAAUCUUUUAAAGACAAAUCGCAAUAUUUUUUACCCAUCUGCCCAAUCCAAAAAAGAUUCAUAUCUCGGAAAAAUUUUAAAAUAUUAUAUUCCCACAAGAUAAUUUUUAAUUAUUAAAAAGCACGGGCUUGGGCCAACCUGUUCGCUUCACGGGCCUGAUCCAUCUAAUUUGAAUAUAUCCGCCACCGGUCCAAUAAAAUGCAAAAAAUGCAAAAAACAAAAUAAAUGCAACUUAAAUCUAUAUGCUAUGCAAUUAAUAAAAUUAAUCCCUAAUUUCCUAUGCAAUAAAUAAAUAAUUAAAUCAUUAAAAUUUAGGUGUCAACACAUUUCUACAAAAAAGUUUAGAUGUGUUUAUUUUGAGUGCAUGCCUCAUUGUUCGUCAAAUUUCUGCCAUUCUUUUGUAUUGGACAAUUCAGUAAUAAUAACAUUACAUUCAUUAAAACAUUACAUUCAUUAAUGGGAGCUUUAAUUACAUUCUUAAUGCGAAAAGCUUCUCCACCGUGUCAUCCUUCUUUGGAAACUUACAGAAGAAGAAUUAAGGCGUUGCAUGAGAAAAGGAGAAAAGAACGUCUAUUAUGAGAAAUAAACAAAGAAAUUCUUGAUUUGAAUGCCUGACGUCCGAUGCCACUUUCUUUAGCGAGAGACAUCAUUUUGGACGUUUGUAUCGCGUGACUCACACGAUUCAAUUGAAACUUAUGAACGACAACUUCACAGCAGUUGCAGCUUUCAAUUUAUAGUCAAUAAAGUUAAUGGCUUUAGAAAAAAAUGAAAUGGAGGAGAAUAAUGGAGGUGAACCUUUUUCCAAACCCAAUUUCUUUCGAGUUUCUUUGUUAGAGCUAACAUUAUCACUUAAAAAUGGGUGAAUAGGUGAUUAUAAACAAUUAAAGCGGAGUUUAAAACAACCAAGUUCGAUAUCAUGAAAAACAAAAUUUGAUGAAAAACUUUGUAGUGAUCAGAUUUUCUGCAACGUCUAAUGAAAAACUACACAAUAAUCAGACUUUACUAUGUGCAAUAAAUAGAAUAAAUGAGAGAUUAAAGAAUAGAGAAAAUCGCACACAACAAUUAUAGUGGUUCGGCUUAUGAUAAGCCUACAUUCACUCUUCCAUGCUAUAGCCUAUUGGUUGGAUUCCACUAUGAAGAACUAAUAAGAGCUUACAAGAUAUGAGCUCUAAACACUCAAGUUCAUGUGUAUGACUCCUCACACACUCUCAAAUUAUACAAUGAUACUCAUAGAGAUGAAUGUAUUUGACCACAAAACACUCUUUAGACUUUGGAAUUAUAAGUUUCGAUUUUCUUGUGUUGCGUUUUUCCUUUUAGCUUUCAGACCUCCUUUUAUACUUCUCCCAAACCAAGCUAACCAUUGGACAUAUAUCCAAAAAGAUUAUCCAGCCAAUCUACUUGUUGGCCUGGAUCUCAUUAAGAAUGUUUGAUCACUUCAAGGAUGCUGAGAAUAAAGCUUCCCAUAGAUUUUGCUUCUCAUACAGCAGUUUGGGUUUUCAUAAGUCGAGUGCUUCAAUUUAAAAAGAAUGUUUCGCCUCAAGUAUAUCGUUCUAGGAAAGACAAGGAAUCCAAUCAAUCGCCACUAACCUUUACAUGAGGAUAUUGUCUCCUUCCUAGCUGUUUGAUAGAGUACAUAAGAAAUGAAAUAAUUAAGUCAUAACUCUGGUUCUAAUUGACAUCAUCUGGUCAUAUUCCAUUAGAUUUUGCACUUGAAAAAUACUUAUCAUCACUUCCCAUGCUGAACCUUCUUGACUAGCUCAACGCUCUCUCUCUCUCCAUGCAUACGUGUCUGACAUCCAAUCGAGGUUGAGACAAGACAUGUGACCUCCAUUGGUGGAGGCGCUCAAGUUCAUAUCUGGAUCGCCCAACUUGUCCUCCUAUCUAGUCUAAAUUGAAUUAGCUAGUUAAUCGUAUCCACGUAGGUAUCCUCAUUGACGUAUUAAAUGGCUAGUUAAUAUUAUUAAUUGCCUCAUCAGCAAUUUUUGUUAGUCAACUUAAUGAAAAUAUUGAAUGAAAUUCAUGAAGUACAAGUACCAUUAUAUUGCCAGAUAUUUUUGGGGCAGCAUUGAAAAAUAGGGAAAAGUUUAGGGAGCAUAAUUAAAUGAAUGCGUGGUUUAAUAUUUAAAUAUUCUUACACCCAUACUAUUACUGAAAAACAAAAGAAGAUAAUACAAAUCAUCAAGAUCUUUAAUCGGGUACCUAAGCGAGAGAGCUUGAUUAAUAGAGAAAGGUCUUUAAUGGGAAUCAUAUUUGCAGAGAAGGGACGUGAAUAAUGUAUGUUUUACCUCUAGCUAGAUCAUUCAAUGCAACUGAGUGAUGUGAAGAUGCUAUUCUGUUAAUUUGUUUCAAUCUCCCUUAUGGAAACUAGUAGAAACGUUUUCUUGUAGAUUACAAGAACCAAUCCUCGGCUUUCACUUAAAAUACUAACUUCAUAUCCACUAAUUCCGAAAUCUAUCCACACUUUGCAACAAGAGGUUUCAAAAAAAAAAAAAAUGUACAGUUCGCACGAUCUAAUUUCCACAAUUUUUUAGACUCAAAAAGAUAUUAAAUCUGACCUUUUUUUUUACAUCAAGGCGCAAAAUGCAUGCUCAAAAUAAUAGCAGACGCAAAAUAAAUCAUAAUAAAAAGUUGAUAAUGAUUUUUGUGUUUUCCAUGCAUAAUGAAAAAUGUAGUUGAGCCACAUAGGCAAAUAAAAGAUUAAUGGAAAAAUUGUCUAAUUGGUAUUAAACCUAUUGUAAGGACAUUAAUUCAAUUAUAAAUUAUCCAUUUUUACCAAUUUAGCGUUAAAAUUUUACCCCAAAUUCUAGAUUUCUAUUUAAAAUUGGCCAGAAUGACUAUAUUGAAAUUUUGCGUAAAAGUUGAAGACUAAAUUAUAAAAUUGAAAGGUUUAUGACCAAAGUGACAUCCGUUAAAUAAGUUUAGGACUGAUUGGAUAAUUUUUUGAAGGAUUAACCGCUCCGUUAUUUUCUCUACUCUUAUAGCCCGUUUGGAUAAGAAAAUAAAUAAUAUAUAAAAAACACACACAUUUAUAUAAAUUAAAAAAGAAGUAUAUAUUUUUGUCUUACAAAAAAGAGAUGUGUGAUAUCUUUCACCCAGAUGGUUUUCAUUAAGUUUAGGGCGCGAAUGGUAACGUUUCUGUUCUUUUUUUGUUCAAGGGAAAAGAAACAAAAAAAAGUGUUUCUAUUCCGGGGAACAAUUUUUGAACAAAAGAACACGUUUGGUAACGUUUGGUCCGGGAAUAAAAAAUGAACAGAAACACGUUUGGUAAAUUUUAUUCUUUUUUUAUUUCUUUUAAUUUUUUAAACAUUUUUAUUUUAUUUUUUAUUUUUUCCUUUCUUUUUAUUUUUUCUUUUUUCCGGCCGGUCCCCGGCCUCCGGCGACCGGCCGACGAGGCCGGCAGCCUCGCCCAGCCACGGCGAGGCUCGCCGGCCCUCGCCGUGGUUGGGCGAGGCUNNNNNNNNNNNNNNNNNNNNNNNNNNNNNNNNNNNNNNNNNNNNNNNNNNNNNNNNNNNNNNNNNNNNNNNNNNNNNNNNNNNNNNNNNNNNNNNNNNNNAUAUGGCUUUGAGCUCAUGGCCAUGGCCAUAUAAGUUCAAAGCUUGCAAAGCUUGAGGCAGCCAUGGCUGUCAAGCUUCGGAGCUUGCUUGCGGUUGACAUUGCUACUCAAGCUCGAAGCCUGUGACCAUCAUGGCCAAAUUUGGCUUCAAAGCUCUAGAUCUGGCCUUGAAGUUUACGGUCCAUAUCCGUUUGAGCUAGAAGCUUGCGAUUUGCCAUGGUUAGAUCUACUUCAAAGUUCACAACUGCCAUGACCACUUGAACUUAAGCUUGAAACACGUGGUUGUCAUGACUUCUUGAGCUUGAAGCUCGUGGCCAGGGUAGAGAUCGAGCGGCCACGGGGUUGAGAUCUAAAGGUCGUAGAUCUCAUCUACGAGCUCUCAAUCGCCAUGGCUGCUCGAGCAUUUGAGCUGCAGCCAAGGCUACAGGAAGAAUCCAGGUCAAAAAUAGAGUCAAUUUUUGAAUAUAAAGAAAAAAUAUAUAAUAUAGAGAAAUUAACGACGUUUCCACCACAUCAACAAAUAUUCACAACGGCCCCAAAAUAUAUAGCAACAUUUGAGUUAAGGCUUAGCUUCAAAGCCAUUUGAGUUUUAAAAGCCCAAAAAAUGAAAAAGUACCAAAUUCCAAUGUUAAAUUAAACGAAAAUUCACAACAGACCCAAAAUCUACUUAAAACAAAAAAGCAUGAAUGAAAAAUAAAAUAGAAGGCCAAGGAACGCUGCAGCUUCUUCGGUAAAUAGUCCUACAGAUGGUUUGAGUUCUUUCGUUUGAUUAAUUUCUUUGAUAAAGUUAUUUUUUUUUCAGGUGAUUUUUUUUCAGGUGAUUUUUUUUCAGGUGAUUUUUUUUUCAGCUUCAAUGAGAGCUUGCAUUCCGAGAAGAGCAGGUUCUGCACUGGCUGGCACUCACUGCGGAACUCACCACCUAUGUAGCACCGACACGUACACGCGACACGACAUAUCGACACAUCAUUUCUUAAAAAUAGAUAAUUUUGACACAUUCCGAUACAUUAUAUAUUAAAUAUAUUUUUAAUAAUAGAAUUAAUUUACACGAAAAAUAUUAAAUAAUAUUAUUCAUUAUUUUAAUUUGAUACAAUAAUACACAAAACUUAAAGGAAAAAAAUUAUUUAAAGAAAAAUGCUGAAAUGAUAUUUUUAAAUUUAUUUAUUUAUAGCAUUUUUUUUAUUACUUCUUUCAUAGUAAAAGACUUUAAAAAAAAUAAAACAAUUCUAAAAAAACAAAACUGAAAAAAAAAAUUGACCCCGUGUGUGUAUAUUUAUAACAAUUUUAUUACUUCUUUUGAUCCCUCAAGUAUUAGAAAUUUUUAAAAUUGACCCCGUGUGUGUCGGAAUCGCAUGUCGAAAUUCUGGACUCGCGUGUCGGAGCGUGUCGGAGAGAGUUUAUCACGUGUCGGAUUUUUCGACACUCAUUGACCGCGUGUUGGAGCGUGUCGGAACGUGUCGAAGUGUGUCGGACAUGUGUCAGAGUGUCGGACACGACACAAAAGCUUCCGGAGAGUGUCCGUGCUACAUAGCUCACCACUAGCUGACUUGAGCAGCCUCUUCAUUUCGCCAGCCCUCGUCUCGUACCGCACAGUGUAGGCCUUGAUUCCUGGGUGUUUCUGCUCAAACUUCGAGACGAGGUUCUCAUUCUCGUGCAGGAAGAUGGUGCGACCGUCAAAGUUGAGAACUUUGUACAGGAGGGCCUCGCGGUAAGGCCGAAAACUAAAAGGUUGCAGUGGGAGGCAGCAGCGGCACAACGGGCGACUGCGGCGGUUACGGUGGCAAGCUCAGCGGACAUCAUUAUGUGGGUGGACUUGGCAGUGGCGGCAUAGUGGAGGAGGGUGGCGGAUAUGGAAAGUGGAAGCGGGACUGAAGAGGUGGCACAACCCGUGGGAGUGCUUGUGUAGUGUAGGUGGUGAGUAGGGUUAGAAUGAAGGCGUUGGUGAAGAGCGUGCUGAUGAAGAUGAACCACCAGCUAUUGGUGUUUGAAGAUGAUUGCUUUUGGAUCGUGGGAUGGAGCAGGCCAUAAGGUCCAAAGACCAAAUCUACAUGAAUGAGGAGCAUACGGCCCAAAUCUGAACAAACAAUUCUGAGGUCAUCAAUUAAGACGGUUUGUAUGGUCCGCAGAAAACAUUGAUUGAUUGCGCGACCAGUCUCUGCAAACCCCAGUCUAGUUCACCUGAAAUUAAUCGUCCUAACCCCGGAAUUCGAAUCCCAGGGGAUGGAGUAUUAACUUUGUGCUUUUCUUCUCUUAAAAUCUCUCUCUCUCUCUCUCUCUCUAAGUAAUUUGUUCAUUUCAUUUAACAUAGUCAGAGAAUUGCAGCGGGCACUGUAUAUAUUAGUGUGACUAGAUAAUGGGGAAAUCACUACGAUGGAAGAAUUCUUGCCCAAAGAAAAACAACAAACGGAACAAAACAGAUAAAACUAAAAUAAGCCUACCUUCCAUAUUGACCUCUUAUCGAUGGGUAGUACUUCAUCUCCUGCACAAGUCUAGUUUAUAGCAUUAAAAGAAAAAUAGCUCGAAUGUGAUUGAUGCAGGUAGAAGGACAAAUUAAUGAACAAAAAUUUAGGGGCUUGUUUUGCACAAAAUUAAGAAUCAAUGAAAAAUAUGAACGAAAAUGUAUAGAGCUUUGUUAAUAACGAAAAUAAUCUUCUGUUGACUAAUUAUUUUAAACAAUACAGACAAUCAUUUCUUGGAAAAAAAAUAAUUUUGAAAUCAUCAAUUUCCCAUAAAACAAACGCACCAUUGACAAAUGAAAAUCACGUCACAUAAUUCUCAUGGUGCAAAAAUAUCUAACUAGAUAAUUACUAAAUAUUGAAAUGAAUCACCUAAAAUCCCAACAAAAUUUCUAAAAUACAAUGAUUAUAAAGAAAUAAACUUAAUUAUAAUCCUAGAAAAUAUUUGCCAGAUAGACAUUUCAUUCUUUUGCAAAACAUAUUUUUACUUUGAAUUGAUGAAAGAAUUAUGAGAGAUCUUUCUUCUUCUUCUUUUUAUUUCUUUUAGAAAUUUGCACACGCAAGUGUGUUUGCAUUUGUACCUAUAUUUGUGGAUCUAAUUAUCCGUGUUUUUAUCGUUUCUACCAUGUAAUGCCAUUUCUUUUGUAAGCAUUUUCAAUUAAAGGAAUUAAGGAACCGCAUCAUACCGAUGAAAACAAAAUUGGGCCUUUUGAAGUUAUCCUAAAAAUUUGAUCAUAGUGAUGAAACAGUAAAGAGAUGAAUAAAGGUGGGGCAUCACUGUCAUUUGACUUCACUCACUCGUGCGCACCAUUAACUCCAUUAUUGGGGCCGCAAGAAGGUCUGAUUGAUUCAAUCAUGGAGGGAUUUGCUGUUGGACAUGGACAUCAGGCCAUGUCAUGUCUUUUGGGGUUCGUUGAUGUCGGUGGCAAAUAAUACAAAUCGUCUCCUAACUAAAGACCAAGGUAAUAGUAGCAUCCGAUUUUGCUCGGUAUUCAAGGCUGGCCAAUACCGCUGGUGUAAUCACCACUGGUGUGGUCCUGUUGUGCCUCACCGCCGUCGCUCCUCAUGCUGAACCUCCGGGCCUAGCUCAAACCACCCCCCCAACCCUCCUCUCUCUGACUUCUGAUGGAGACUGAGGCUAGGCACAUAACCUCCAUUGAUGAUGGUGCUCAACUUCAUAUCUAGGUCGCACGACCUGAUGUCAUAACCAGUCUAAAUUGAACAACCAGCCUUCGAUGUCCAUGCAGGUGUCCUCGUCAACAUAUUAGACGUCUAGUUAAUGGUAUUAAUUGCCAUAUCAGCAAUUUUUGUUAGUCUUCAGGAAGUAAUGAUCAUAUCGAGUCAAAUUCAAAAUAUGCAAAUACUAUGGAAUUGCAAAAUAUUUCCAGCACAACAUUGUCAUGACAGGGAAAAGUUUAGGUACCGCCCAUACUAUUACCCAAAACAAUAGAAGAUAAUAUAAAUCAUCAACAUUGUCAAUUGGGUAUAUUAAUGAGAAAAGUUAAUUUACAGAGAAAGGUCCUUUAUGGGAAUCAUAUUUGCAGAUGGAAGUGAAUAAUGUAUGUUUUACCCCUACAUUCAGUCAUCCAAUACAAUUGAGUGAUUGUUUUAAUCUCCCUUAUGAAAAAUAGUGUAAACGUUUUCUUGUAAAUUACAAAAACCAAUCUUGGAUUUUCACCUCAAUUACUAACUUUGCAUUUGCUAAUUCCGAAUUCUACCCACACUUUCGAACAAGAGGUUUCAGAAAAUCUACACUUCGCACAAUCUAAUUUCCAUAGUCUGUUAGACUCAAAGAUCUAAAAUUUAGACCUUUUUCAACAUCAAGGCGCAAAACACAUGUUCGAAAUAAUAGAAGAUGAGAAAUAAAUUAUAAUAAAAAGCCAAGAAUGAUUUUUGUUAUUUUUUCUACAUGAUGAAAAAUGUAGUUGAGCCACAAAGGAAGUACAAACAAAAGGAUUAACAAAAAAAAAAUCAAUCAAUCCUAAACCUAUUUUAUGGAUGCUAGUUCAUAACUAACUUUCCAAUUUUGUCAAUUUAGUAUUAAACAUUUACGUGAAAUUCUAAUAUAGCUCUUUUAAUCACGUCAGCAAUUUCUAACUAAAAUUUUUCGGAAGGACUACAUUAGAAGUCUGCGUAAAGGUUCAGGAUCAAAUUAGUAAAAUUGAAACAUUUAUAACUGAAUUAAUAUUCAUACAAUAUUUAGGAUUGAUUAGGAAAUUUUUUUGAGGAUUAACUAUUCCAUUAUUUUCUUUUCUCUAAUAGUCCGUUUAAAUAGGGGAAUUAAAAAAUAUAUACUCAUAUAUAAAUUAAAAGAAAGUAUACAACUAACGGAAAAGAGAUGUGAUAUCUUAUGCCCAAUUGGUUUUCAUUUUGUUAGUAGCUCGAAAUUUGCGAUGUUGAUCAUCACGUUUGUCCCCCAAAAGUCAUAAAGUCAAGUUUCCCGUUUGCCCCAUCAAUUCAGUAUCUAGGAUAAUUCCAAGUUCUAUUCUCACGACCGCGCUGCUUAAUCAUAAUCUUCUGUCCAGGGAAAAGAACCAAAAAAAUUAUAAACCUUUUGUAUUUGUACCAAUUUAGUCCUAAAUUUUUUUAAUUAGACCAAUUUAGUUCUAAACAUUUUUAUAUUUGUACCAAUUCAGUCCAUCCAGCUAAUUUAAACCGGAAAUUGCUGACGUGGCCACGACAGUCUUAUUUGGUGCCAUGUGGACAAAUUUUACAAUUUUUGAUAUUUUUUUUAGAUAUUUUCAAUUAUUAUUUUUUUUUUCAUUUUUUCCUUUUUUUCUCUCUCUUUUUUUUUUUUCCUGUUUUCCUUUCUCCUUACCCCUCGCCAGUCGACUGUCGUCAGCCCCAAGCUAGUUGGGGAGAGGGCCCUCGCACCCUCGUUGGCCAAAACUGAGGGCGUCAACCCCCGCCCAGAUCUAGGCGAGGGCGUGGCACCCUCGCUCGUGGUGGGUGAGGGUGUCGUGCCCUCACCUAGAUCAUUAGGAUCAUUAGGCCCUCGCCUAGAUCCAGGUGAGGGCCACGACAGCCUCCCUUGAGGCGUCGCGGCUCUCCCACCAUGAGCUUGGGCCUUUGUGCCCUCACCUGUGGCUGACGAGGGCACGGAGGCCCUCGCCCUUGCUAGCUAAUGGGCAAGGGUUUUGGCCCUCGCCUAUGGCCGGCAAAGGGGCAGCGACCCUUGCUAGUGGCCAACGAGGGCACAGGGGCCCUCGCCUCGACUAGCCUGUGGUCAAUGAUGGUCAGCCAGCAAACUCAUUGGUCAAAGGAUAAAGAGAAAGGAAAAAGAAAAAAAUUAAUUAAAAAAUCUGAAAAAAUAUAAAAAAAAUUAUAAAAUUUGUCCAUGCAGCCCCACAUAAGACUGCCGGGGGCCACGUCAGCAAUUUCUGACUUAAAUUAAUCAGAUGGAUUAAACUGGUAUUAAUAUGAUAAUGUUUAUGACUAAAUUGAUCCAAUUGAAAAGCUUAGAUUUAAAUUGGUAUCAAUCAAAUAGGUUUAUGAUUUUUUUAGUACUUUUCCCAUUCUAUUCAAGUCCAAACGUGUCUUUAGUUAUUGCUUUGCCCAAGCUUUUGUAUUAUUGACAUAAUCAGAUCAAUGAUUGUGCCCUCCACGUAGCAAAAUGACGUCAAUGUACGGGAUAUAUAAUCCAUCUCUUAGGCAUCGAGAGAAAUGUUUCAUAGCGAUGUUAAAGUCUAGAUGACAAAUGCCAAAAGCUUCCCACUUUUUUUUGGGAAUUUAUCAUCUUGAUAUGGAAUAACACUACAUGAUACCCCUAAACUUUAUCGGCUUGUGUAAUAUCGUAUUUGAAUUUAUUUUUUUGCAAUCAGAUUCUUGAACUAUGAUUCAUUCGUUCACAUUGGAUCUUCCAUUAAAAGACCCAAAAAAAAAAAAAUGCUUAUGUGACCGUUAAAUGCCAGGUUGACUCAAUGUGGCUCCUACGUCCUCAUUAGAAAGAUUAAAGAAAUAAAAAUAAAAAAAUAGAUUUCUUCAUCGAAGGAAAUUUGGAGCGACAACACCAUCUUGAGCCGGAGCCCACAGGCAAUUUGUCGAUAGUGUUCGAGUUUAAUGAGGUGAGCGAGGAUGGGUCGGAACACUUUUCAAUAGAGGCCCGCCCGAUCGGCUUCGACUUUUUUGGCAAAGGCGGUGGCAUCCAGAGUGAGGUGGUGAUGGCUCGGAACUAGAGGCUCCCCUUCGGCGUCCCCUGGCUUUCUAAAAGGUGUCGCGUCGAUUUCCAACAACGUUGAAGAGAUUGGAGAUGACUGGAAAUUCCUCUGUCUUUUUUUUUCUUCUCAUUUUUUAAGUCAGUCAUAUUUCAGGCCUAACCCAGCCCAAAAUUAAAUUAAUGCCAAUCCAAGAGGACUUGUUUAGGCCCCAACCUUUUAACCGGGCCUGAAGUUGAUCGGGUGGGGCAUAUUUUUCAAUAAAUAAGCCACCCAUUUGCAACUAUGCUUCCCAUUACUAGACACCAUUUGGAACUCGCGAACUCAUUGCUAAUUUAAUCUUUAUCUGCAAAAGACAAACAAGCAUUCCUAUUCUGUAACAUAGAAAUGGCAACAAUUUAUUGCUUAUCCCUGUUCAGGAUCAAUAUUUUUCCCAAAAAUCAACCAACUAUUAUUAAAUUAACCCCAACAGCAGCCAGUCACGCUAUUUUGGCAAUAUUAACCCUAAAGCAAUGAAGAUAGUGCUGAAUAUUAAAGCAAGGGGAAACCAACCCUCACGAAUUUUACAUGAAAAUCUCAAUAUAGGAAAAAUCACGGGAUCACUCAAAGACUUAUACUAAUAACCAAGAAUAGUAGGAUACGCAAUAGUUUAUCCUUAAUAACACGGCCAGAGGCUCUUUAGAUUAGCAAAAUAUCAGCACCACAGAGGUGGAUUAACACAGAAGCAAGAAAGGUAUAACUGCUGCCAAAGAAAAUUAUGAGACAAUUUGGAGAGGAUUAACAAACAAAACCAAUCAAUUUAUAGAUCUUACCCUUCACGAACAACCUAUUGAAAUUUCCGCCAAUUCUAACAAAGUUUCACUAUCGAAUCUAGAUUACAACUUCUCUUCAAAGCAAAGCUUUCUGCCUCCUUUUCUUUGUGAAAACAAAUUGCUUGUCUCUCUCUCUCUUUCUCUCUCUCUUCUAAAUCAACAACAUUUAGCCCUAUCUUUUUAAUUAUUUUUUUUUUUAAGAUGAUGAGAUGGGCAAGUCUCCCCCUUCACCUCAUGAGGGAAGUUUCAUUAUACCCGCUUUAUCUAUACAAGAAUCAAGUUUCACCAUUGGUAAGACUUUAGUCGUCAUAUCAUAUCUAUUAUCAGCAGUGUAGACUUUCUCAAAUAAAAAGAGUUUCUCUUCUAAUUUAUCUUGGAUCCAAUGACAAGGAUAAGGCAUUAGUCUGGGUAAAGCAACCAAAUGCAUUUGAACAUCACUCUACCUUUCAGCAAUAUGACAAGGAUAAAGCAUCCCUGCAUAAUGAUGUCUUGUAUUUGCACGAAUGGAUUUGGUCUUGUUGGAGGCAAGACCACUUAUCUCAGCAGCUACCAAAGAGUUGAUAUAUCUAGAGCACUAUCAUGAAUCACUCUCUGAGGAUAAACACCCUCUAGGAAUGCCACGAGGGUGCCCUGAUGACGCCACGGACGAAGUGCCCUGUCCAUCGUCAAUCGCAUGUUGCCUAAGAAUGGACCUAACUAUUAGCAGUAACAAACCAAAUAGAAAUCUGUUACAGCAAGUAAGCAUUAACCCAGGUAACCAAAGUGGACUCUGCUUUUAGCAACAACUUCUGCAGAUUCCUGAGAACGCACGCUUGAUUUUUUGUUUGUCGCUUGUUCAAGCCUAAACCACCUUCACAUGUCAUAACUAAGGGUCAUGUUAUAACAAGUUUGUACUGGUGUUUAAUAUCCCUUCUCAAACGGCGAAAAUGCAACAUUGAAAUGGAGAGAUCAGUUUCCCUAUAUGUUGUCUAAUUUGCUUGCAAACCAUAAAUGGUGGAAGUUGAGAUCAAUGGUGUAACUUGACAAGCCUAAGUUUCAAACCACUAAAACAUGUGUGUUUACAGUAUUGUCUCUGUUAUCAUUUGAUCUUUUGUUUUGAUAGGGAAUUUUUUGGAAACAUACUAAAACUGACAUCAAAGGCACUUUAACGGCAAUAAUAUUAGGUUAUAUUAGUGUCGUGUUUGUCCAAGACUACUGGUACAUAGCUUCGAGGAAAUUUAACAUGAUAUCGACCGACUAAAUUAAAGAUCAACGCAGCCAAAUGCUAGACUCUUAAGAAAUACUGCCCAGUAGAGAGAUUUGUCAAUUAAGAAAUUUAGCCGAAGCUCUCUCUGUUUUUCUUUUACACAUUGACGGCCAGCAUAAUAAUAAUAUAAUGUUUCAUUUAAUCAUACCAUGUUAGAUAUUAUCUCUUGGCCACCAAAUGCACUUGGUCAAAUUCAGAUUUAGCAUUUGAUAAUAAUUAUGUUCUAUUUGUUUCACGGAAAAUGAAUGAUCCGAAAGACAUUUUUUAGAAAAUGAUCUCUUAUAUUGCUUAGAAAUAAUUAAUCGAUGAACAAUAUUUUCAUUGUCGAUAACGAUUUAUGUUUAAAUAUUUUGAUAAAAAGAAUUUCUUGAUCAUUAUAAUAUCUUUUUGAAAAUAUUUUUCUAGUCAUUCGUUGUGAAACAAACUGCACAAAAUGAAAAAAUAUUCAACCAAAGAAAAUGGACUAUUAGGCCCAGUUUUCAUUGGCCCAAAAAGCCUCUUGGGCUUAAUUAAACCUUCGUUCCUUUUUUUUUUUUUUUGAGCGAAAACCUUCGUUUCUUAGAAAAGCGAAAGAAAGUCACAUCUUUCAGUCGACCUCGAGAGCAUAUUUGGUUCUGAAAAGCGAAAGAAAAUAAUGGAGAUCUCUUGUGGUGAUCGAGAUAGAUAGUAGUGUAAGAAGGUGAGAUGAAGAUUUCAGAAAUGUUGUGCCGUAGUUGUGUUCAAGCCGUAAUUGCUGAUGGGUGUCUGUGGAAUUACUUCUGUUGGACGUGCUUGUUUGUAUAAACGGCGGUGCUUUCUUUGAAAUGGAGAUUAUUUUGUGCUUGAGGCAGAAAUUGGGAGUGCAAGAAAUUUGAGCAUGGACCCAUCUUCUUCAACUGGAAAGAGAGAUGUGCUUCAUUCCCUUUUUUCCAUGUUAAUAUGCAUGCGAUUGUUCAAAACGAAGUUGAACACAAUCUUUUGUUAAAUUUAAAGGAUCGUUACGAUCCUCGAUUACCUCACGAAAUUUCAUAAUUAUAUACUUUUUGCGCUCGAGUUGCUGAGUUCUUAUGGGGCAUGCUUAAGAUUUGAUUCCAUGUUCAUUGAUAUGUGGCGUCUCACUAGCAGAUGGGGGAGCUUGCCGGCGAUGAACAUGUCAAGUACAUACUGUUGUGAAAAUAUUGCUUCGAAAUGGGUUAAAUAAUGAAAUCGGAUCGAGUAAAACAACUCGGACUUUGAGGCAUGAUAUCACUUUCUUUAAGGAUUUAUUUGCCCCACAACGUUGCUAAUGGUCACCGGCAAAAAUCCUCCAGGAUACAACAAAGUCUCGGAUGAGAAUACUAAAUAGCAAUUAUAGUAUUUCUCCAGGGUCUCUCUAAGAAACAAUCGAAAAAUUGGCUGCAGUUUUUUCAGAAAGAAGACUCGAAAAAUGACCACACUUUUCUUUCCGAAAAAUGACAAGUAUAUAUAUGAAACAGUCUUGCAACUUUUCGUGAAAAUUGCGAACAAACACGUCUUUAGAAAAUUGUUUGGAUAAACAAAUGCGACUCUUCGGAAGAAGUCGAAAAACGAACAAUUACAAUCCUUCGGGAAAGUUAAAAACCGAAUAGGUAAUUUUCCAAAGGUUGUCUUGAAAAGACACAAACAAAAUUCGGAAUAAUUUUGUUAAUAAUAAUUUUUUUAAAAAUUUUUUAAAUAGAAUUUCGAAUUUUCAUUUAUAUUUCAUUUCUAGAAUUCUCAAAUUAAAAGGCAACCUUUGAACUAAAGAUAAAAAAUAAAAAAUAAAUAGGGCGCGCAGGCGUGCUAAGUGCGCCAAAUAAUCGCGCACCCGCACGCGGGUAUGAUGGGGUCUACCUCCACCUAAUCACUCCUUUAGGUACAAAAGGAAAUCCCACAUAUUUAAACUAACCCACUUGCUCCCACCUUUUCUAUGUGGGACAAAGUAAAAGGCACUCAUUUUGUUUUAACAAACAAAAUUCCAACACAUACUGUAUGUUGAAAACGUAGGUAUGACAUUUUUACAAUUCUCUUCUUGUUCUCUUGUCCACUUCCUGCCAGUUACUGGAAAUGACUUGGUUUUUCUGGAUCUGCUACCAUCCAGCAUUUCAGAGUUUACUGAUAUGAGUUUUUGGGUUGAUCCUGCACUCAGAAAAAGGAUAGUUUUUGAGUUGCUGGUUAUGGAGCACUUUAGAUUGAAUGAAGCAUGUUGGGGAUAGACCACUGUAGAUCUUCUUGGAAAGGUUGGCAUUGUGGAUUCAAAUGAAGUUGUUUCCUGCAAUGCCAGCAUGAGUCUGGUUUGCAUUUAUUUGUCUCUCGGCUUCUUUUUCGCGAGUACCCAUGAAAAACAUGCAGCUAACAGAACCACCACUCCACAUUCAAUCAAAUAUAUCUUAUUUGACAGUAUGCUUAAGAUAUCAGCUUGGGAAUAACAAGUUCCAUCUAUUACAAUGACGACCACAUCUUAGGAGUGAUUAGUGUUGCUUUAUUUAUUUAUAUUCUAAAACUUGACUCUAAAGAACAAAGUACGAAUGACACUUAGGGCUGCUUGUGCAGGUGGCUUUGGUGCCAAAUAUUGGACAUGAUCCGCAUCUGCUGUAUGCUCUCAGAGCCGUGCAAGUACUGGCCCUUUAUGACAAAUUAGAUGUUCUUGACAUCAAUAAGGCGACAGAUUGUAUCCUUGGGAAUAGAGUCUUAGAUUCACAAGUUCCUUGAUGAACUUACCUUAGGCUCUGUUUUGCAUUUAUAAGGUCAGAUUAUGUUGUGGAAUUUUAUAGCGUGUAUAUUGCUAACCAGACAUUGAUGAGGGGGGCUUUCUCUAUGGAGAUUGAAGUUGCUA
rnacentral:lncRNA from 1 species